rnacentral:lncRNA from 1 species
AAUUAAGCCAGAUGUUGUUAUAUAUAACACCUUGUUUAUUGGCCUUUUUGAAAUACACCAGGUUGAGCGUGCUUUCAAGCUGUUUGAUGAGAUGCAAUGUGAUGGCGUGGCAGCUGAUACCUGGGCAUAUACAACCUUUAUUGACGGGCUCUGCAAGAAUGGUUAUUUUGUAGAGGCAGCUGAACUAUUUCGUACUUUGAGAGUACUCAAGUGUGAACUUGGUAUUGGAGCAUACAGCUGCCUCAUUGAUGGAUUGUGUAAAAUAGGCAAACUGGAAACUGCUUGGGAACUGUUUCAAAGUUUGCCUCGUGUAGGCCUAAUGGCAGAUGUUGUAACAUAUAACAUCAUGAUCCAUGGGCUUUGUAAUGAUGGGCAAAUGGACAAGGCACAUGAUUUAUUUCUUGAUAUGGAAGCAAAGGGUGUGGAACCCGAUUUUGUCAUAUUUAAUACGCUUAUGCUGGGUUUCAUCCGCUGUAAUGAGACAUCAAAAGUUAUUGAACUCCUUCACGGAAUGGAUAAGAGAAAUGUAAUGCCAGACGCAUCUAUACUUUCAAUUGUUGUGGACUUGCUUGUAAAGAAUGAAAUUGGUUUAAACUCGAUUCCACAAUUCAAGAGACAAAAGUAAGCAGACGGGUUGAAUCUUGAUUUAGUAGUGCGUCUCUUCUGCUUUAAAACCAGAUCUGGGGAAUCCCAUUCUUAUUACAACGUGUGAAGGAGUGUUGUGUAUUGUUGGCAUGUUCCCAGGUUCUGUUCAUGGAUUCUGUUUGCAGACAUGGCCGACUCUUUGUCUCAUCAGAUAAGUUUCAAAUAAUUCUGGCAACGUUUUGUUGUAAAAUUACUUUUUUAUCAUUUAAUUCAUAUGUUUUCCUUCUAUAAUGCCUCUUUCGCAUUUCCUGCAAGUGCAAAAUUUUUGAGCUCUUCCUCUUAGACCUCUUUUUCUUCUCUAAAUAGAUAAAAUGGCAUUUCAUUGUUCUCUUGCGAGGUUGCUGGUUUAUGCUGAAACUUUCAGUUAGUUAAAUUGAUUGUCUUUGAAAUUGGAACUUGUAGUUGAACUAGUUUGCAUUUCGAAUAUAUGAGAUUACCAAAUGUAACGGGAAUUGGUGCCGAAUUGAUUAUGUUAUCAGGUUUUUCAGUCUGUGUUCAUCUUUUAUUUCUGUUAAUAAUUAAUAGCACAGCUUGUCUUCUCUGCUUCUUUGGUUCCUGUCUAUUGUCAAAUAUAAACUUGUAAAGACAUUUUGUUUUGGCAUGGCACAUGCUAGAUUUUGUUUUUGGUUUGAAUGACACUACACAUCUAAGUAAUUGUCCAGAUUUUUUUCAUUCCUAGUGACAUGGCACUCAAUUGAAUGGUGACUCAUGUAUCAUGAUUGUGUGUGUUGGUAUUUGUUAUACUACGUGUUGGCAAGACAAAGUUAACCCUUUUUUUUUUUUUUUUUGGCUUUUGGAUUUUGUUUCAUUAUAUAUAUAUAUAUAUAUAUAUAUUGUAUACCGUUAUUAGCUUCGACAACUUGAGUUGCAGUCUUGUGAGUUUAGAACCUGCCAAAGUAAGCAUACACAUGACAAUGAAGAAUUGAAGAUUGUGAACGGUUAUUAGCUAUUGUUGCAAGUUUAGAACCUAUAAAUUGUAUACAGUUAUUAGCUAUUGUUGGAGCCUUAAGUGUGAACUUAUCAUCGUUGCCUACAGUUGCCUCAUUGAUGAAUUGCGUAAAAUAGGCAAACUGAAAAUUGCUUGGGAACUGUUUCAAAGUUUGCCCCGUACAGGCCUAAUGCCAAAUAUUGUAACAUAUAACAUCAGGAUUCAUGGGCUUUGUGACGAUGGGGCAAAUGGAUAAGACACAUGAUUUAUUUCUUGAUAGACCAUUCUCAGGGCACAAAGGGUGUGAUGCCCAAUUGUGCCAUAUUUACUAUGCUUAUGCGAAAGAAUGAGACAUCAAAAGUUUCUUCACUCAAUGGAUAAAAGAAAUGUAAUGCCAGAUGCAUCUAUAGUUUCAAUUGGUGUGCGCUUACUGGUUAAGAAUGAAAUUAGUUUAAACUUGAUGCCAGAAUUCAAGAGACAGUUCAUUAGAUGAGUUGAAUGUUGAUUUAGUAGCCUUGAAGUUUUGAAAAUGUUUCCUGAUGGAUAAAUUGAACUUGUAUGCACACGUGUGAACUAAAAGAAAAAUGAUAUACCAUUGUGGAAUCGAAAUUCUUUUGAAUGGAAAAAAGUUUGUCAGGAUCGCCUGAUUUCUAAUUGAUUUUAAGGGAAAUUAUCAUCGGUAUACCCUUAAAUGUCAUUGGUAUCAAACGUACUACAACACUUUUCGCUUAUAUCACUCGUAUACCCUAAGUUGACAAAAGAGUUCUGGCGUCCAACUUUCCGUUUACUACCGUUAAGAACUUAACAGAAUUUGAGCAAAAUGACUAUUUUACCCUUUAAACUCAAAAUGAGGUAAAAAAAUAAAUUUGCCUUGAAAAUUAAUGUAAAUUUUCAAUACACAAAUUUUUUUUAUUUUGUUUUUAACAAUACAUUUUUUUAUUAAAAAAAUAUGAAUUAUUAAUGGUACAGAUUAUUAACAAUUAUCCAUAAAAAAUAUUCAUCUUAUACCAUAAAAAAUUAUUAACAACAUCUUAUUUAUAAUUAUACAUAUUAUAUCAUAAAAAAUUCAAGUUGGAUCUUGGAGGAGUAGAUCUUCAAUAAUUUAGGUUAAAUUUUGGAGGAGUAGAUUCGGUUGUAAAGUAUGUUUUUUUUAAAGCAAUUAUUAACAAUUAUCUGAUAAAUGGGAUGACAUGUCAUUUUUAUCAAAAUAUAUCAUAUGACAUGUCGUUUUUUACUAUGUAAAUGGGAUGCCAUGUCGUUUUUUAAAAAAAGACUAGAUUACCCUUAUGAUGUCAGCGCUCACAAACGGCAGUUAACGGAUCGGUGGAUGGCAGAAGUGUUUUGUCAAUUUAGGGUAUACGAGUGAUACACUUGAAAAGUGUUGUAACACGUUUGAUACUGGUGUCAUUUAAGGGUAUAUAAUUGAUAAUUUCCCUUGAUUUUAAUAGAAAACGUGCUUUAAGCAUGAGGUAAUACUAUAAAGUUUUUUUAAGAAAGGUUAUAAAUUCCAGUAAUUGAGUCUAAAUUUGAUAUUAUAUUCAUAUGGUAUAAGGUAGAAUAUUAAUUUUAUCAGUUAUAAAAUUUACUAUCUAAUAGAUGAACAACACUUAACAGUCUCAUUACAUUACCAUCAGUUACUCCACUCUCUUUUCCUUCUCCUUCUUCUAAUGUAAUAACUUUAUACUUGCAGAUUGGUUCCUCUGUUUCCAUGAGGCACUAAUAAUAAAUCCACUGUGAUAACUCUUGAGUAUCUACCACUUCGUCUGUAAUUAAAACUCAACAACUCAGAUGAAAAACUUAAAACUAAAAGAGAUACCCAACUCGCAAGCGACUUUCGCAGCCCUAUGGGCUACUACCCUUUCAUUCUAGAUUCUUGCUUAGAGAGAGAGAACUUGUGAAGAAAACUUCUAUCAGUAGGAGAGCGCUUACAAAGUAGAUUAUUUUAUAUUUCUCUAGACUGACUUUUUUACUUUAUCAAAGACAAAAGCAGCAUAAACAAAGACAGAAGAUUAACAAAAGCAUCAAUUGCCAAAGAGUGAAGAGUAUUAUUAUAUUUUAAGAACAUAGGUUAUGACCAACUUAAAAGAAGCAGUUAGGGCUUGUUGGAUAUCGUUUUAAUAGCCUUAUUUUCAUUUUUGUUUUGGGAGUAUAAAUAUAAUACAUAUUCAGUGGGUUGAAUCUAAAAAAUAAAUUAUAAAACAAAGAAUUGAUAUUCACUUUUAUAGUUAUAAAAUUAAGAACCUGUUGAACAUGUUCUCAAACAAAUUACAAAUUAAAUUAAAAACAAAACCCCAAAACAAAAUCUAAAAACUUAUCUUCCUCUCCCAAAAUCUUAUCCCCUCCCUCUCGUUAUCUCAUCACAACGCUGCUUUCUUCAUGGUUGAUACUUCUCUUUUAACCACAACCCACUUGAACUGUGCACUCAUCUUUCUCUCCCCUUCCCUUUUAUCUAGGUCUACUUCACAGCUCUCUCCCUCUUGGUGGCUGUUACUUGUUCAUCAACUGCAAUCCAUCGUCGCAAGGUACGACAUUGGAAUAUUUGACCAAAAACAUGUCAGGACAGAGUGAUGUCUAUCAUGGUUUAUUGCUGCAAGUACAUUAUUUUCUUUGUACUAAAGUGAAUCUUUGAUGUAUUUAUUAAAUUUGGUGGAGCAAUCUUAGUUAAUUUUGAUGAUUUAUAUAUGCAUUUAAUUUCAUUUUUAAUAAUUCAUGUGCAGGAAAUAUGGAUUAUGGGCUUUGCUUGGACUGAUGGUUUGCGCAAUUUCAUUUGGAAUCAAUCAGCUUCAAGGAUAAACACUCAUCCUUUCUUGUGCAUGGGACUUGCUUUUCUUCCAUCCAACAUUUUGGUUCUUUUUUUCUAUGGUAGUAGUUUUAUGUUUUGUGUUGGUGGGAAACUUCAUGCUGCAAUUUUGUCAAACUCUGUUGACAUACCCUAAUCAGUAAUGACUUUGCUGCAUGGCGAAAGCAUAAGCUCAUAGUUGACAUUGUUGUCAUUAGAGCUUGUUUCUAUAAAAUAAGUGUAAUUUGAAAGUACAUUGUACACUAAUCAAUUUGAAUUAUCCCCAACAAGUUUUGAUCAUGCUUGAUGCAUGAUGUCUAUCAUUUAAUUUUUUUUAUAAUUAUUUUGUUUAACUUAUAUGUAUUGUAAUACAUAGCUUAAUUAUAGUGUUAAAACAAUGGCAAUGUAAUUUUUUUUUAUUAAUGCUAAUACUAAAACUUUAUCAUCAUGUAAUACUUUAUAAUUGUUUUGUUUAAAUUAUUUAUGGUAUGUCUGCGUAUUAAUUUAAUAAACAAUUAGUUUUUACUAAAAAAGUAUGACUUACAUUUUUAGCAAAAACUGUUCAUGAAAAUAGUACUACCGAAUACAUUUUCUCUAUUUUUAUCUUUUUUAAUUGUGUUUACCGAACACAUGUUACUGUUUUCAAUUUUAAAAUACAAGAUAUAGAAAAUGAUAUCAUAUGCUUAUUUAAUUCAAAAUGCAGCAACUGCCAAACACUAUAUUUAUUCUCAUUUUUGUUUUUAGAAAAUAUUAAUUCAGAAACAAUACUAAACAAGAACUUAGUUUUAGUACGAAUAAUGUUGUGUUAGUUAUAUAGGCUUACAUGCACCCUUAGAUUUAUUGAAAGUAUCAAACCAACCCCCUAGUUACCGUUGACUGAUAUCUAACCAGUUGACCGAUGUUGACUCUUAAAAGUAACUAUAACAUCUAUAUUGUAAUCUCACUUUAUUAACUAAUAAAUUUUAAAAAUAUAAAUAGAUCAAUAAUAACAAAAUAAUUAAAGUUGAAAUCCAAGAAAUUACCCAAAAAACCAUACCUAAACCAAACCUGAAAACCAAAAUGCAUAAAAUUUCAUUAAUUUAGGUUGUGACAAUGAGUAGUCCACAUUAUAUGAUGAAGGAACAACUUUUGUUAUUUUACCAAGUUAUUAAUGCUAUGUUUACUUACUGGAGCGGGCGUGAGAAGUGUAGAUUUCUCUCACUCUAGAGUUUACUUGCAUAUUCUAAGAGGUGUGGGAAUCCCACUUCUUUGAUCCCACCCAAUUUUAAAGUAUGGAGUGUGAUUCCCACUCCCAUGAGGGAAGGUCCACUCCCAUAACUUUCUUUUUUACCUUUCUUUUAUUAAAUUUACUACAAUCAUAUUUAGUAAAAUAAAACAAAUAACAUCAUAUUUAUUUAAUAAAUAUUAUUAUAUUAUUUUAUAAAAUUCUAUUUAUUAAAAAGAAUAAUAUUAAUCUUAUUUACAUAAAAUUAUUAUUAUAUUUAUUUAAAAAUAAUAGUAUUAUAUUUAUUUAAUAUUAAUAAUUAAUAAUAAUAAAUAGUUUAUUCUAAGAAAAUAUUAAUUUUGCACUAUAUUAUUAAUAAUUAUGUUUCAUUUGUGUUGCUCUUAUCAAUAAUUUUUAAUUUACAUAAUUAAAAUUAAAACUAAUAAAAAAUUAUGAUUUACAUAAUUAAUGAUAUUAAUAAUUAUUGUUAAUUUACAAAUAUAAUGAAAUAAAUAUUUUAUUUCAAAUAUAUUUUUUAUUAAUUUUGUAAUUAAAAGUUACAAUUCUUUAAAUAAAGGUAAAACCAUAAUUUGAAACCAUUUACUCCCCUUCUCAUUCUAGUGAGAGGAAACAACUUGCUUCCACUUCACACCAUCAAUCACAAGAUUCUCACUUCUCAAGAUUUCCACUAUAAUCUAAAAUGUAAACACUGUCUAUAACAUCAAAUAAAAUUCUUAAUUAAGUAAACCAUAAGGUGCUUGCGUAUAAAAAAAAUUAAUAAUAUUAAUUUUCAUAAGAAUUUAUGCUCGUAGUAUUACUUUACUUUUUAUUAACCAUUGCUUCAACUUAUGGUAGAUAUUAAGAGAACAAUAAUAAUAGAGCUAUAAAUGUUUGCGUACUAUCAAUCAACUUAACACUAUAAUUACCAACAAACCCUUAAUACCACAAAUAAUUAAAUUAUUGGGGUUUUAAAAUGACUCUCCAGACUUUGCAAGACUUCUUUAUAUGUAGGUGCCAUGGUUCCUAUAAGUAAUAUCAGCCACACUUUUUGUUAUUGUUAAACAAAAUUUAUAGGUACAAUUUGUGAAUUUGUACAAAAUGUGGUAUUAUACAUUUGAAGCAUGAACCGACAAGACAAUGUUGUGUUAAUAAUAAAGAAAUAAAAAAAAAUUGUAUAAAAUACAGAUGUUGUAGUGUAACUUGGAUUCUUUUUCUUUAUGAUUGCACCUAUCAUGUGAUUAUUAAAAAAACCAAAAAAAAAAGAACUCCUGAGAUUUUAAAAUUUUGUAAUUGUACUAUUUUUGGAUUAUCAGAAGACUUCCUCUCCUUAAAGAUGCCCUUAAUCCAUAAAUGGUCCAAAAAAUAAUUCAUGAAAUGAAUUUAUUAUUUUAGAUAAGUUUCAAGUACGCAUACCUUUUAUAGCUCCAUAUUGCAUAACUCCUCAUUUCAAUCAAUGGAUGCAUUUGUUUACUUUUUCUUUUUUGUAAAUUUUUGAAUGGUCGUAAUUCUAUAGAUAAUUAAUUAAGUGUUAUUGCUUUCAUUAUUUUGUAGAUGCAUAUGAUGGGUGGGGACGUUGGGGGACAUGGAUCUCAAUACACUAGAGGGCUAUAAUAUUUAUUCUUUAAGAGGAACCACAACCAACAACAAUGCUUUAAGUUCCAUUUCAUGUUACUUUUGUGCACUAGAUUGCAUAAACAACAUUUAUUAUCCAAGGUCAGCCUCUCAAAGACUUUGGUUACAAGACAAAGCAUGGGAUUGCGGCCAAAAUUUUCUUGCAGUGAAAGGCUUAGAAGCUGAUGACAGCUGCUGAAUUGUGGGCUCCAAUGGUUUUAAUAUUAUUCUCUUAAAAACAUAUGUGUUGAUUAGAGACGAGAAGAAGAGGAUGAUCUGAUUCAGCCAGUUGUAGAAGAAAGAGCACGCAGUGGAGUUCAGAUUUUGAAUUCUCUUGUUAAAUUGUUUUUAAUUUACUACAAGGUAGAAUACGUUGCAUUGUUAAAAAAUACUUUGAACAUCCUAUUUUUGUAUUACAAAUAUACCAAAAAUUAAAUUAAUUUUUUUCUUUAUUAGUAUAAACUAAAUUUUGCCUGAAUCCUCAUCCUUGUAAGUGGAAUUUUAUUGUGAAACUAAUAGUCCUUCCUAGUUGAACUAACUAUCACUUUGAACAUAUGUGUCAUCUCUAACAACAGCUUCCAAACCUACAGUUGCCUGCUUCUUAGCAUUAGAAGCAGUAUCCGCAUUGGCUUUCAACCAGCCAUAAUUAGGAGGAGGGCACCGUUGUUUCUGUUUGUCAAUUUCCUUCCUUGAACCAUAAGCCAUAAUUAGGAGGAGGGCAAACUUCCAAAUAACAUUCAAAAUGGUGUUGUGAAAAAUUUUCACCCUUUUGGUAAUAAAAAAAAACUUUAUUUCUAGUUCUCUAUUAACAAUCUUACCAUUAAGUUCUCUCUUGAGUAGAAACAUCAUAUAUAUUAAUUUAUUGUUAAUAUAAAAAAAAACUAAAUAUUUAUAACUUAAAAGAUAAGUGUUGAAUAGAGGUAGUCUCACAGAAAAAAAAAGUAUUUCAAAGCAGUAGUGAUAUCAGAAUUUUUUGUAAUGAUACGAUAGUAUCACACUAGAUUUUUUUCCGCAUUACAAAAAGUUUGUAUUCAAGAAUAAAUUAGCAAUAUCAGGAACAAAAAGCCUCCAGGACAUGUCAUAUUAAUUUUGUGAUAUAUUAGUUGGUGGAUCUUCUUUCCACAUUACAAAAAAUUAGAAAUGCAAUCUAAAUCGAUAUCAAUUACUAAUUUUAUAUUGAAUGGGUCCUACAUGAAAAUAAGGGGUAUUUUUAUAAUUUAAGAAAUUAUUAGCGAUUUACCCUAAGUUUACUUUGUGUCCAAAAAUACUAUGAAAACUUUAACUUGUUUAGUUUUUUUACCUUAAUUUAUAAUUUAUAUCAAUCGCUCACUAAAAAGAUAGAAUAACAUCAUAAAAUGACAAAAUAAAAACAAACACAAAUGACAAUACCAAUCAUUUUAUAAGGAUAAUCAAGUCAUUUCGGCACCAAAUUACAUAUUCAAUUAUUUUAAAUAUUAUAAAUUACUUUUAGAUUGAACCCCGGUCAUUUUAAUAAUCAUGGCCAUUUAACCUAUCUAAACAUGAUAUUUCGAGUAGACUUAUGUUUGUGUAGGAAGAUAAUGUAAAAAAAGUGGCACUUUUAUUCAACUGAAUAAAUUUCACAAUUUAAAUAAACAAAAGGAUAAAAUUUCAUAAUUAACUAUUAUUUGAACUAAUUGAUUCGGGAGCCAUGAUUUGUAGCGGUCCCAAAAGCAUAACAUUAUUGUGAGUAAUGUUAUUGUGAGAUAAAUUAUUAAUUCUCGUACUUGCAAAAUAAACGGCAGAAUGCGGUUUAGGGACGGAUUAUCGAGGCAUUUGUUAAUAUUCGGAAAUGAAAAGAAAAGGGCAAAUAAAAUUUUAACUUAUUAUUAUUAUUAUUUUUAAAGAUUGUAACUCAUAUGAUUAGACAAAUAAAGGAGCUAAAGGCCACUUGGCGGCUUCACUAGGAGCUGUUUGAGUUUAAUUCUAUUGGUAAAUGACAAUAGUGGUUAUUUUAUAAGGAUAAUUCAAUCCUUUUGGCACCAAAUUACAUAUUAAAUUAUUUUAAAUAUUAUAAAUUAUUUUUAUACUAAGUGAUGGAUCUAAUUAUUUUAAUACUCAUGACAAUUUAAUCUAUCUAAACAUGAAAUUUUGAGUAAAUUUAUGUUUGAGUAGGAGGAUAAUGUAAGAAAAAUUGACACUUUUAUUCAACCGAAGAAAUUUUACAAUUUAAAUUAGAAACGAUAAAAUUUAAUAAUUAUUGUGAGUAAUGCAUUCUACUUGUAAAUAGUCGGUAUUGGAAGGAAAAGGGCAUAUAUUUCUCUCCUAUUUUGGUAAUUCUCUUCUUCUUCAACCCCAAAUAAUCAAAAGCUCUCCAAUGGCUUUCGUAUCCACAACUCGUCCAUUUCAUUUUACUUCAAUUUCUGUAUCAGCUCUUAGAUGUAAUUUCUCAUCUUCGUUCCCUCAUACCGGGAAACCCACAUCUUCAAUUUUGGAAAAUGAACCCUCCUAUCCGAAUACAACAGCUAAACUGAAGGAGUCGCUACGACUGACGGUCAAAGACCGAGCCUCACUCGAAAAAUUCCUCAGAGAAAGGUUCAAAUCAUCCGGUGAAGGUGAUAUUACUACUAUUACUCCUAAUGAAGCCUUUUGUAUCUUUGAUUACAUGCUCAAUAUGCGCCCUUCUCCGCCUCCUGUCUCUUCCUUUAAUAUUUUGUUUGGUUGUCUUGCUAAGAAUAAACAUUAUGAUACUGUCCUUUCACUCUUCAAGAGACUCAAUUCAACUGGGUUGUUUCCAGAUCUUUAUACGUACAAUAUCUUGAUUAACUGCUUUUGCAAAAUGGGUCGAGUUUCUCCUGGUUUUGUUGUUCUUGGGAGAAUCCUCAGGUCUUGUUUUACUCCAGAUGCUGUGACCUUUAAUUCUUUGAUUAAAGGUUUGUGUGCGGAGAGUAGAAUCAUGGAGGCUGCCGCAUUGUUUACGAAACUCAAAGCGUUUGGUUGUGAGCCUAAUGUCAUUACGUACAGUACUUUAAUUAAUGGAUUGUGUCGAACUGGCCAUACAAUCGUUGCUUUAAAUUUAUUUGAAGAGAUGGCUAAUGGAAAUGGGGAAAUUGGUGUUGUUUGUGAGCCAAACACUGUUACAUACACUACUAUUAUAGAUGGUCUUUGUAAGGAAGGUUUUGUGGACAAGGCCAAGGAACUGUUUCUGAAGAUGAAGGAUGAGAAUAUUAACCCUAACGUGGUUACUUAUAACUCUUUGAUUCACGGUUUUUGUUACGCUAAUGAUUGGAACGAGGCGAAGUGUUUGCUUAUUGAGAUGAUGGACCAAGGGGUACAGCCUAAUGUUGUGACUUUCAAUGUCAUCAUGGAUGAGCUCUGCAAGAAUGGAAAGAUGGAUGAGGCAAGUCGGUUGUUGGACCUGAUGAUUCAAAUUGGUGUGCGUCCAAAUGCUUUUGUCUAUAACACAUUAAUGGACGGGUUUUGUUUGACAGGUAGAGUUAAUCGUGCGAAGGAACUAUUUGUUUCUAUGGAGAGUAACAGGUGCAUGCAUGAUGUUUUUAGUUACAGUAUUUUGAUAAAUGGUUACUGCAAGAAUAAGGAAAUAGAGGGAGCGCUAAGCCUUUAUAGCGAAAUGCUCUCCAAAGGAAUUAAGCCAGAUGUUGUUAUAUAUAACACCUUGUUUAUUGGCCUUUUUGAAAUACACCAGGUUGAGCGUGCUUUCAAGCUGUUUGAUGAGAUGCGGCGUGAUGGCGUGGCAGCUGAUACCUGGACAUAUAGAACCUUUAUCGAUGGGCUCUGCAAGAAUGGUUAUAUUGUAAAGGCAGUUGAACUAUUUCGUACUUUGAGAAUUCUCAAGUGUGAACUAGAUAUUCGAGCCUACAACUGCCUCAUUGAUGGAUUCUGUAAAUCUGGCAGACUCGAAAUUGCAUGGGAACUAUUUCGUAGUUUGCGUCGUGGAGUCCUAAUAGCAGAUGUUGUAACAUAUAACAUCAUGAUCCAUGCGCUUUGUGCUGAUGGGAAAAUGGACAAGGCACAUGAUUUGUUUCUUGAUAUGGAAGCAAAAGGUGUAGCACCCGAUUGUGUCACAUUUAACACGCUGAUGCUAAGUUGCAUCCGCAAUAAUGAGACAUCAAAAGUUGUUGAACUCCUUCACAGAAUGGAUGAGAGAAAUGUAAUACCAGAUGCAUCUACACUUUCAAUUGUUGUGGACUUACUUGUAAAGAAUGAAAUUAGCUUAAACUCGAUUCCACAAUUCAAGAGUCAAAGGUAAGUGAGUUUAAUAUUGAUUUAGUCGCAUGUUUUUUCUGCCUGAAAACCCCGAUCUGGAGGAUCCCAUUCUUAUUACAACAUGUAAAGGAGUGUUGUCUAAUGUUGGCAUGUUCCUAGGUUCUGUCCAUGGAUUCUGUUUGCAGACAUGGCUAACUUCUUGUCCAACAGAUAAGUUUUAAAGUCUUUCGACUUUAUGCUGUAAAAUAACUUUUUUUUUUUUUUUUUUUCAAUUCAUGAGUUUUCCUUCUGUAACACAUACUUCUCAUUAGCUUGAAGUGCAAAUUUCUUAGGCUUUUCCUGUAUGGCCUCUUUUUCUGCUCUAAAUAAAACGGCAUUUUAUUUCCCUGUGAGGGUAUAAGGUUUAUCUUUAAACUUUCUGUUAGUUAAAUUUGUUGUCUUUGAUAUAGGGAACUUCCAGUUGAGCUGAUUUGUAAUUCGAGUAAAUGAGAUUACCAACUGUAUUGGGAAUUGAUGCCAAAUUAAUUAUGUCAUCAGGUUUUUCAAUCAUUGUUCAUCAUUUAUUUCUGUUAACAAUUAAUAGCUGCCUCAUUGAUGGAUUGUGCAAAAUAAGCAAACUGAAAAUUGCUCGGGAACUGUUUCAAAGUUUGCCUCGUGCAGGCCUACUGCCAAAUGCUGUAACAUAUAACAUCACGAUUCAUGGGCUUUGUAACGAUGGGCAAAUGGAUGAGGUACAUGAUUUAUUCACGCUUCUGUCUAUAACACGUUAAUGGAUGGGUUUUGCUGGACGGGUAGAGUUAACCAUGGGGAGGAACUAUUUGUUUCUAUGGAGAGUAUGGGUUGCAAACAUAAUGUUUUUAGUUACAGUAUUUUGAUAAAUGGUUACUGCAAGGAUAAGGUUGGGUGUGCUUUAAAACUGUUUGAUGAGAUGCGGCGUAAUCAUGCGGCAGCUGAUACAUAUAUAUACGGUACCUUUAUUGAUAUGGAAGCAAAGGGUUUGGAACCCAAUUUUGUCAUAUUUAAUACGCUUAUGCUGGGUUUCAUCCGCAAUAAUGAGACAUCAAAAGUUAUUGAACUCCUUCACAGAAUGGAUAAGAGAAAUGUAAUGCCAGACGCAUCUAGACUUUCAAUUGUUGUGGACUUGCUUGUUAAGAAUGAAAUUAGUUUAAACUCGAUUCCACAAUUCAAGAGAAACAAGCGAAUGAGCUGAAUGCUGAUUUACUUGCAUGUUUUUUUUUGGCCUAAAAUCUGGAUCUGGAGAAUCCCAUUCUUAUUACAACAUGUGAAGUUGUGUUGCGUAGUGAUGGCGUGUCCCCAGGUUCUGUUCAUGGACUCUGUUUGCAGACAUGGAUGACUCUUUGUUUCAUCAGAUAAGUUUCAAAGCCUGGCAACUUUUUGUCGUAAAAUUACUUUUUAUUUUUCAGGUCAUGUGUUUUCCUUCCAUAAUGUUUCUUUUUCAUUUUCUGGAAGUGCAAAGUUUUUAUGCUCUUUCUGUAUGACCACUUUUUCUUCUCUAAAUAGAUAAAAUUGCAUUUCAGUUUUCCUUUGUGAGAAGGCUACUAGGUUUAUGUUGAAACUUUCUGUUAGUUAAAUUGAUUGUCUUUGAUAUCUAGAACUUCUAGUUCUACUGUAUUAAAAAAAUAAAAUAAAAAAGAACUUCGAGUAUAAUUAUGCAUCAGGUUUUUCAACGUGUUCAUCUUUUAUUUCUGUUAACAUUUUGGCUUUGGACAUGCUGGAUUGUUUUUGGUUUCAAUGAUACAAAACAUCUAACUAAUUGUCCAAAGUUCUUCAUUCCUUGUGACAUAGCAUUCAAUUGAAUGGUGACUCAUGAAUCAUGAUUGUGUGUUUUGGUAUUUGUAUACUAUGUAUUGGCAAGACAAAGUUUGUUGAAACUUGAGAAACUUUUCUCCGCCUACCAUUCUUGAUUCAUAUUCUUAUGCUAACAAAUCUUGAUCAUGAUGAGUCUCCUCUUUUCUUUACAACCCACAAAUAAAGUCCUGGCCAUAAGCCUCAAGGCCUAUUGGCUAUUGCAGCGGUGAGUUCACUCUCAGGAAUCAGAUCUUUCAAAUUCGAGGAAAUUUGAAAAAAUUGCAAAUGUCUACAAAGCAAAUGUGAUCUAAAGGUCCUUUUUGUUAUCACUCACACAACAUUACUCAAGAGUAUCUAUGUUUUACAGUUGGUUCUGUUGUGAAAUAGCAUUUCUGAUUAUUAUAGAAGACAAUUCUUCGACGCAUGUAUUUGAGAUGCGUAUAGAGCGUUGGAAUUAUAUGCUAAAGUAAGCGUGCAAAUGACAAUGAAGAAUUGAAGAAGGGGAAGGGUUUACUUGUCAUUUUGUUUUGGAAAGCAAUGCGUUUUAUGCGGCGAUUUUUUUUUUCUCUACGUUGUGAAAAAAUUUAACUGAUUUUGAAGAUCCUUAAAGAUCGUCCAUCUUGGUUCUGGCUUUGUUGCAGCCUUGAAGUUUGCAAAACGAUUCCUGCUGGAUAAAUUGAACUUGUAUACACACAUGUGAACCAAAAGAAAAAUGAUACAUGCACCGAAAUACUUGUUAAAUAGAGAAAAGUUUGUCUGGAUAGCCUGGUUUUGAAUUGAUUUUAAUAGAAAACGAGCUUCAAGCAUGUGCUCCAACUACUCUGGCAUGAGGUAAUACUAUAAUUUUUUUUUUUCUUUAAUGAGUGAGGCUAUAAAUCCUGAAUUCCAACUUGACAUGGCAUUAAUCUGGUGAGUGGCAGAAUAUUAAUCAAACAGAGGGGCUAAUAUGCUUUCUGGAAUAUGAUCCGCUGGCAACCGGAAAGCCAAGGAAUUAAUUAUUCCAUUAUUAAUUCCAAUGGCAUCGUUGUAUCAGCUAAAAAGCACAAGAUAAAACAGAUCUACGCACUUGCCCCAUUUAUUUAAGCAUACUGUUGGUUUAGCAUUUGCUUAAAUUUGAAAGUAGAGUGUUUCCAUGCCACAUUGCCAUGACAUUGGUGAUUGGCCUACAUUUUUUUUUUUUUUUUGUGUAAUCUUUUUUGGUUGCAGUAAUAAAAUGUUAAUCCUUUCUUCUCAUGAAUGUUUUCUUGAACUGAAAUGUUAAUAAUUUCUUCAUGUUGAGGCAUUAAACUACUACAGACCUAGGGUGGCAAUAUAUGGAAGUAAAUGGUCGUUUAGUAGGACCCUUUAAUUAGGGUAUUAGCUGCUCAAUUUGGAGAUCUCAUGGACCAACAAUUUAUCUGGAAUGUCACAUUCACAUAUUUGAUUGAAAAAGGAAUUAAGGAAUUUCAGGUGGCCCGGAAACGCAACCGACUAUACCCGGCAAUGGCAGAAGACAUUAUAGAUUAUAGAUUAUUGAGUUAAAUAUGAAUGGUGGGAUUUCAGGUGGCCUAAAAAGUUAAACAUGAAUGUUCUAUUUAAGGUGCUCUGUAACUCGUAGUUCAACAAAAAGUUUUAAAACUAGAUAUUAAAAUGGUGGGAUUUUGUCUUUUAUCUCUUGUUUCUCUUCCCUUAAUCGUUUCUUGGCAUGUUUUAUCAACUCUUCCCUUGGGUCAUUUUGUAGGACGGGUUACACCAGCUAAACACAUGGGAAGGUUAUGUAGACUGGACUCUGGAGGAAUAAACCUGCCCUGAGAGGCCGUCAUGGGGGCAUGCUUUGCUGCUUGUUUUGUCUUGGGUCUGUCUAUUUUUCCUAUUACUAAAGCACAUUUUCCACCGUUUUCUCACAUGCUUACCAUCAUGUAAAAACCUUAGCUGCUGCGUACGAUUAAACGUUUACACUUUAUAGUAAAAGAAAUUACAUAUUAAGAGAAAUAUUAUAUUUGCAUGUUGAUAUGAAUUAGCACUAGAAACAUGAGGCUUGCUAAUUAGAAUUGUUAUAUUGUCGAACUCAGCUGUGGAGGUACUGGAGAAUCCAGUAUAUCUGGCCAAUGCAAGCAACCUUGUGCUGUAUCUUUCAAAAUUUAUGCAUUUUUCAUCAUCCAGCUCUGCAAACAUAGUUACCAAUUUCAUGGGUUCCUCUUUGCUCUACUUGGCUUUUUAGCGGUUGCUUUCUUCAACACCUACAGCAUCUAUGUCAUAAGUGCGGCAAUAGAAUUCACGGUAAGUUUUUUGUUAGGAUCAAACUUUUUAACUUGUUAUAUUUUUGUAAUUUCUUACUAAUAAGGGAGAGUUGCCUAUUUUUAUCCGAUUAUCAUGCCUCAUACAAUUUUCUUGGGAUUUGCUUCGAUGCCUCUGUGACUCACUAUGAAACUCAAAAACUUUCUAAAACUAGCUCCAAAUACACAUUUCUUUGGAUUAAACUUCAUCUGGUACUUCCUCAGCAAACCAAAGGUUUCUUUCAAAUGCUGCACGUGGUCACUCGAGUUGUGAGAUUUUGUGAUAAUGCCAUCCUUAUAUGCCUCCAUUAUGUUCCCAAUCAGCAGCUUGAAGAUCUUAUUCACGAAUCUCUAGUAUGUUGCUCAUACAUUUUUCAAGCUAAAGAACACGACAUUAUAACAAUACAGCCCUUGGUUAGUAACAAAAGAAGUAUGCUCCUCAUCCUGAUCGAACAUCGGUACAUGGUUGUAAUCCAAAAAGGCAUCUAUAAAUGGUGGUAAUGGUUUUACUGGAUGGUCUAGUGGUUCUAAUCAUACUGGUUUUGGUUCUCAAAAUAGAGGGCUACUGUCAACUCCAGGACGUGGGAAUUUUUCCUCUUCGCCAAAUUUCAAUCCUGGUAAUGGUCCUAUCAACAAACCCCCAAUGGGUCUUUUUCCUUUUGGUAAUCGGAUUCAAUGCCAAAUCUGUCAGAAAAUGGGUCACUCAGCUAUUGAUUGCUACAAUCACAUGAAUCAUGCAUAUGAGGGUCGUAUCCCUCCCCAUCGGCUUUCUGCAAUGAUUUCUACAUCAACAUCUUUUGGUUCCCCAAAUUGGUUAACAGAUACUGGUGCUAAUGCUCAUAUAACUCCAGAUAAUGGGAAUUUAAUGCAUCCUCGUGAUUACAAUGGUCAGGAUACCAUCGGUGGUGUCGUCGGUGGUUCAGGUUUGCCUAUUAAAUCCAUUGGUCAUUCUUACUUAUCUGCUAAUUCUUCCACUUUUCUUUUAAAUGAUGUUCAUCAUUGUCCACAAGCUUCCCAUAGUAUUUUAUCCGUUCAUAAAUUUGCUAAUGACAAUCAUUGUAGUUUCACCUUCUUUCUUGAUUAUUUUGUUGUAUAGGAUCUGACAACGAAGAAGACAUUUUUCCGCGGACUGAGCAGUAAUGGUCUUUAUCUAUUUCCUGGUCGAAUUUUUCAACCUAGUCAUCCAUUUGCUUAUGUUGGUGUUUGUAGUGAUGCUCGAAUUUGGCAUUCACGGCUUGGACAUCCUUUGUCCGUAGUUUUAAAUCAACUUAUAUAUUUUAAUAAGCUACUCAUUUUAGGAUCUCGAUCUUUAUUUUUUUGUUCGUCAUGUCCUUUAGGAAAGAGUCAGAAAUUACCUUUUACAUGUUCUUUUUCAGUCUCUCAUUCUCCUUUGGAAUUAAUACAUUCUGAUGUUUGGACUUCUCCUAUUCGUUCUAUUUCUAGUUAUAAAUAUUAUGUUAUCUUUAUUGAUAAUUUUUCCAGAUAUGUAUGGCUUUAUCCUAUGCGAUUGAAAUAUGAUGUUUUUAUAAUUUUUAAAACUUUUAAAUCGUUGGUCAAAAAUAUGUUUUCCACUACUAUUAAGUCACUUCAAACUGAUGGUGGUGGUGAAUAUGUUAAUCAUCAGUUUAAGGAUUAUCUAAAUACUCAUGGCAUUAAUCAUCGUCUCACAUGUCCUCAUCAUCCUGAACAAAAUGGUAUUGCUGAACGUAAACAUAGACAAAUUGUUAACAUGGGCUUAACUUUACUUGCACAUGCCUCCAUGCCUACUACUUAUUGGACUAAAGCUUUUUAUACAUCUGUAUAUUUAAUCAAUCGUCUACCAUCUCAAUCUUUAAAAUUUCGAGUACCGUACUCUUUACUAUUUUCUAAAACUCCUCAAUAUGAUUUUUUAAAGAUCUUUGGAUGUGCAUGUGUUUUCUUGGGAUACUCAUUCAAUCAACAUGGAUAUCGUUGUUUGCAUAUUUCCUUCAGGCACUGUAUUUAUAUCUCGUCAUGUUCUUUUUAAUGAAAAUUUAUUCCGUUCGUUGACCAUGUUACUACUAGGCCUCCGGGGGUGAGUACUUCAAUGUCAGAUUCUACAGGACUUAAUAUUCUUUGGAUUAAUGCUAAUACUUCACAUUCAGCUCUAACAGAACCUACAUCACAAUCUCCUUCCCAAGCCAAGUCACCAUCUUCAUUUAAUUCACCUUUACCCCAUUCCUUAUCAUCUCCAAUUAAUUCUCCAUCAUUACGUUCAAGUGCCUCUUUAUCUUCCUCCACUCCACUCAUCUCAAAUACAAAUUCUCUUAGCCUUAAUUCGACCCCCACUAAUUCAAGUAAUAAUACAAUUCCAGAAUCAUUAUCUUCACCUACACUAACACCAUCGAUGCCCUGUGAUAAUAUUAUCUUCUCAUCCAAUGGUCACUCGAGCAAGAGCCGGUAUUGUGAAACCAAACCCAAAAUAUGCAAAUGUAGUUACUAAUGAUGCUGUUGAGCCUAAUGGUUUUGUACAGGCAAAUAAGGAAUCUCGUUGGCGACAGGCAAUGGGUGAUGAAUUUAAUGCUCUUCAAAGAGCUGGUGCUUGGGUAUUAGUUCCUCUACAUCCAUCUUACAAUGUCCUUCUAAAUAAAUGGGUGUAUCGAAUUAAGCGAAAAGCUGAUGGAAGUAUUGAGCGUUAUAAAGCUCGUUUAGUUGCUAAUGGUUUUCAUCAACAACCUGGCCUUGAUUUUGGUGAGACGGUCAGUCCAGUGGUUAAUCACAAUAUCAUUCGUCUCAUUUUAGCUAUAUCUGUUACCAAUAGCUAGUCUAUUCGACAGUUAGAUGUGCAAAAUGCUUUCCUGCAUGGUUAUUUACAGGAGGAUGUCUAUAUGCGCCAACCUAUUGGUUUUGUUGAUCCACAAUAUCCAACUUUUGUGUGCAAGCUUCGCCGAUCUCUCUACAGCCUUAAACAAGCUCCUAGGGCAUGAUUUCAAUGUUUCUCUAGUCAUUUAGAACAAUUGGGCUUUCAUGAAUCACUAGCAGACUAUUCUCUAUUUAUUUAUUCACAUGAUUCAGUGCUUUUAUAUUUACUUAUCUAUGUUGAUGAUAUUUUAAUUACGGGAAAUAGUUCAUAUCAUAUUUCUCAAAUGAUACAUCAUAUGAGCAAAUUAUUCUCUAUGAAAGAUCUUGGUCCUGUACAUUAUUUUCUAGGUAUUGAAGCUACUCAAAUAGCAAUGGGGCUCCACUUGUGUCAAACCAAGUAUAUUCUAGAUCUUUUACAUAGCACUGAGUUCCUUCAUUCAAAGCCUAUGACAACACCAACAAUGAGUGGUCGUCGUCUCAGUCUGUUUGAUAGUGAUUUACUUUCAAAUCCCACCGAAUAUCGUAGUGUUGUUGAUGCUUUGCAAUAUCUUAUAAUCACUCGUCCGGAUAUUUCAUUUGCUGUUAAUCAGGUUUGUCAAUACAUGCAUCGUCCUACAACAACUCAUUGGUGUGCAGUUAAACGCAUCUUGCGGUAUUUGAAAAGUACAACCACUUAUGGUCUGCUUUAUUCAUCUGGUUCAAUGGAACUACAAGCCUUUUCUGAUGCCGACUAUGCUGGUGAUCCUGAUGAUCGAGUAUCCACAGGGGGUUCUUACAUAUUUAUUGGACCUAAUCUCAUUUCCUGGAGUUCUAAGAAGCAAAAAAGGGUUUCUCGUUCCAGUAUUGAGGUUGAGUACAUACAGCUUGCAUAUACAACUGCUACUUUAUCUUGGUUUCGAUCUUUGUUCAAAGACUUACAUAUUCCUCUGUCUUGUCCUCGCAUGUGGUGUGAUAACAUAAGUGCCAUUUCCUUGGCCUGCAAUCCUGUGUUUCAUGCCCAGACUCGUCAUGUAGAGGUUGACUAUCACUAUGUUUGAGAAAAGGUUAUUCGUGGAGAGCUUGAUGUUCGUUAUAUCUCUACUCUCGAUCAACUUGCCGAUUGUCUUACUAAAGGCCUGUCUACUUCUCGCUUUCGCUAUCUAAUUUCCAAGCUUCCAAUUCGUUCUUGUCCUGUCAGCUUGCGGGGGUGUGAUAACGAUAAAGAUAAAACUUAAAAUAUUCUUAUCGUUAGUCUUGUAAUUAUCUUUGUAGUUAUCGUUUGUCUUGUAAUUAUCCUUGUAGUUAUCUUGUAAGCUAAUGUUUAUCAUAUGUAUUCUUAGCUUGUACAUAAGUUUGUUUGAAGUCACUUGGAAUUUAAAAAAUCCUAUGCUUCAAUAUAUUAUUAAUCAAAUCCCCUUAUAUCUUGGUAAAAUCUUUUUUACUCUUUCAUUCGCAAGGAGCUGGAUGAUGGCUGGAAAUAAGGAAAUUCAUUUUUUUUGUUUCACCCCAAUUGUUCUUGUAUUUGCAUAUUGCCAUAUAUCAUAAAAUACAAAUUUAUGUAUGUCAAAAUGAAAUCGAUCUUAAAAAAAAAAAAGAUCUCGCGUUACUGCCGCUCACACACCCCCAUGCCGCAGCUGCUAUUAAUUCUGUUUGGCGCACCAGCAUUACAGCUUCUAGCUUUUCUUUAUUCCUUAAGUUGAUAUUGUUCCUCUUUAUAGGCUUCAAGUUAAUGUCGUCUUCAGUCAUUCUAGAGUCGCUUACUUUUGAUCUGGCUAUUGUUGUUUCUACCUCCUUCUUCAUUAAUUGCCGUCAGCCGCAUAAGGGAAGGAUGUAAGUUUAUGUUUACGAUUCCUAAUGGUGAUGAAUAAGACAUGGCGUAAGAGAUAUGUUAACUGAAUUUAGUGUGUUUUCUAGGAUCAUAUGCAAUACAUAUGUAUUUCUUGUAUAAUUGUUGUUUGUAUAUUGUAUUUCAAUCGGGCAUGGCUAUCUUUGUCUUACUCUUGUACAUUUCUAUUACUUUAGAUAAUUAUUAAGGUGUAGAUGGCUUUCACGGAUAAAUAAUAAGCCAUUUUAGGAGCUUUUCGUGUAAAAAUAUAGAACUUAUACUGUUGAAAUGUCGAGUAUACUUAGUAGUUGAUAUUUGUUUAUAUUUUUACAUUAAUCUGGGAUGGGAUUUGAACUUUAUAACCGAAAUUGAAUCUAAACCAAAAUUAAGAUAAGAAUAUUCAAACUAAAUCGAUCCAAAAUGCAAACCUAAACCAAAUUGCGCUAAAUUAAAUUUGAUUUAGUUUGGUUUGGGUUUACUCUCUAAACCUGAUUGGAUUGACUUCUCUAACCCAAUUAAGUUUGAGCCCAAAUUGAAACCUAAACAACCUGAAUCGAAGCCCGAUUUGCCCACCCUUAUGAUACGAACCCAUCCAAAAAAUAACGCAACCCUAAUCAAUUUAAUCUCCAAGAUUAAAUAGAAGCGCUACCCAAUGCUCAAUGAAAGCAUGAACCUUAGUAUGUGAGGACGCUACAAUCAGUUAUGGAUGAUUUGAUUAUAAGUUAAGAGUUUGAAUGACACAAAAAUUUGAUAAAUUUAAAGAGUUUGUUUAAGAAUAAAAAAGAAUUAAUUCUCUCACCAAUUGCAUCAAAAUUUAUUUGUCUUUGUUUAUUAGAUGCGAGUACAUUAUAUAGAAUUGGUUACAAAAAUUUUUAGAAAUAAAUCCUAAACCGAAAUCAAAUUGGAAUCCUAAUCUAAUGCAAAUAAGAAAAGAAUUUUAAUUAAAUCAGAAUCCUAAUCAAAGCAAGUAGGAAAGAAUCUAAAUCGAGUCAAAAUUAUAAUCUAAGUAAAUAGGAACGAAUUUAAAUUACACCAAUUAAAAUAAAAACUCAACAAUUAAAAUAGAAAUAACUUAUUGUUUCUCUACCAGCCUCAUCCAGAAAUGAGAAAGUAUUCAAAAAGAAAAGUAGUAUAUUUUUCAAAUGGAAAAGUAUUUGAAAAAGAAAAAUAAGAUAUUUUCCCGCCGUAAUGUGCAAGCCAACUUCUUAUUUUAUGGAAGUGAUUAUUUGGAAACUUUAAGAGCCGUAAUCAUGCAUUUAUCACGUGCAAUUCCUUUAAUAGGCCUCCAUAAAUUUGAUUGAGCCUCAAUUACUUGAAUAAACACAUUAAACGCUUCUUUAAAUUUGUUUGUUCGAGCUUUAGUGACAGGUCCGAUGAUAACUUGAAUAGGAUCUGAAUAUAUCUAAUCCCACAUACUUAUGAUAGUUUUGUCCUCAAUCUCAUCAUUUUACUUCCAUAAUCUCGACCCAAUCUUUAAAUUUUUUUCAUGCUAGCUUGACUUUACUAUGACUGCCUUGAGAUUUUCAACUGGUUUUUAUCUCCCUUUCUUGAAAUCUGUUUAAGUGUCAAGUUAUCUACGUGGCUUCUUUAGUCGCGGACACAUAAUAGCACCUAACAAUUCUCUAGUCACCCUGUACAACUUUCGCCACACUAUUUACUCAUUCUUUGAGUGCCAUGUAAUGGUUAGACAUCAUGGACUUGCUAAUCCUCAUAAAGGGUCUUCCAAAAAUUAUUUGAUAUGGGCUGUCUUCCUCGACUAUUAUAAAAAAUCUGGCAUGAUGGUCUUUUCAAAUGGUCUGGAGCCGAUUGUUACUAGCAGCUCUAGGCAUUAAUUUUCUUCUUCUAUGUCCUUUCAAAGAACUGUUGGUGUGCUUGUUGGGUAAAAAUUCAAAUGCUAUGGGUGUCAAUGUGUAAGUGUACACAACAAGUAAUAUAAUGAUAAGUAUUCAAGAUUAUCUCCACAGGAGUUGAUGUUACGGAAAUUACUACAGCAACUUUAACAAUUCUGUUUGAAGUGAAAGUAGAUUGAUUAAUUAAACUAAUAAACCACCUAAUAAAAUGCAAUAAGUAAAUAUGCAGAAAAGCAAACUCUCAUGUCAAACACAAAAAUAAAAUCAAUAGGAAUGAAGUAGUUGAGUGACUAAACUCUCUUAAUGGAAUUGACUAUUUCUUGCAAAUUUCGAUCCAGUUGCUACAGCACUGGGCAGAAUCCUCAUGCAUCAUCAGCUGUCGCAUGUUAGAUGUCUUAUAUCUAUAUGCAACCUAACAAUGACCAAUUGUUAUGCCAACAUAAUAUAUAACAUUACACAUUUAGGUUCUAUUACCCUAUAAGGUGAAUCUCUAUAUCUUGUUCAUCACUAACAUAAUAUAUGACCCUUUUUGGAAUCAAGUUGAACUCAAUUUAGGAACUCAAUCUAAAACUAAAUAUUAUUCUGAUAUGUUCCACUAAGAUAGGUCAUUUUGUGGCUCUUUCCUAGCUUGUAUCAUUAAGUGGGUGGUCAGCCAAAAUAAUGACUUUAAAUAAACACUAUCACAACAAAAUGUUAUAGCAAACAUGCAGCCAGGGACAUAGCCAGGAUUUUGAUCGAGUUGGGGCACAUUUAAAAUAAAAAAUGACUCGAAUGCGCGAUUGCUCGUGUGGUAAAUGUGGGCCCCACAAACUCUAAAUGGGAGCUUGCCACAUGUACAAUCGUGCUCCUUAUAGAGUGUCUCUGCAUGCAUCUAAUUAAAACGCUAUUAAAAUAUAAUACACUUCUAAAAAUUUAAAUGGCAAUAUAUAACAUUACAACUAUAAUAUUCAUUGAUAAUAAAUUUACUUAGUAUAAUUAUUCUCAGUGAAAACUCCUCAAUGAGAUUUUAUGAGUUGAAAAUAAUGCAUUAUCAAUAUAAGUAAAAAUAUAUUUUUCAAUCUACAAGACUAGGUUAUAACUUAAUUUGCUCUUAAAAUCUUUUAAUAAUAACAAAAAAUAUUUAUAUAUUGCAACACACAAAACAAAAUGAAUGCUAGAUAAAAUUCUAGAUUUUAAAACUAGACAAAAGAUUAUCAGAAAAUUAAAAAUUAGAAUUGGGUAGACUUACAACUUAUGGUUCAAUGUCGAAAGACCAACUAUUUAAUUUGGCUUGAAUAGAAAACAAAAAGAUUAAAGACUGGUCCAUUAACCAUUUUACUAACAUUUUGUUGUGAUUUUUUUUCAUUUUAAUAUUUGUUCUUGUGUCUUUAAUUGAGUUUCAUGAAAUGUUAAUAACUAAUUAAAUUAUUUAUAAUUAGAAAUUUAAACUAGGGACAAUAUGAAAUAUUUCAAAAUUACUAGAGUCAAUUUCAAAUUUUACAAUUCAGUUGGGGUAUUUUUCAUAAAUAACAAAUAAAAUACAAAUUUUUAGUAUAAUUUUUUUAAAAAAAAUUUAAAAGGCAGCAGGGGCAUGUGCCUCAGCUCGUCCCAUGCUGGCUCCGUCUCUGCAUGCAGCAACAUAUAAAUUCAGUUAAAGAGCCAUUAAAGUUGUUUAUCACUCAACCACAAGGAAUAUUAGUUCAUGAUUUUCAAAAGGAAACUAAACAACAAAGUUUCAGCCGGCAAAUACAUUCUCAUGUCAAAAAAUUAAACAAUAAAUCAAAAUAAGAAUAAGAAAGACUGAAUUCCAAUUGAUUCCAGCAAACUUCUCCACUGAUGCAGUCUUGAUUCUUGCUCCUGAAAUCUAUUUUUCCUUGUUUCUUUUCUAUUUAUGAUCUUGGUUGACGGCCUCCUUUUUUUCUUUUGUACAUGUGCCUAUGUUAUAGUACAAAAUUAGGGUAAAUGGAAGUUUAGAGCGCGCAUCUUCCCGAUUAGGAAAUUGUAGAUUGCAAUCCGUUAAGUAUCUUGCGCGAAAUCUUCUCCGUCAUUGUUCCCAGAUUGUUACAUCACGGUUUGCUACAACAAUAGCUACAGUAUAUGCACUGUUCCAAAUUUACUCCAAUUCUUCUAUAGCCGUAUUCUUUUGUCCUUUUUGCAAACCCAUUGCUACAACAUCCUUCCCAUGAAAAUUUAACUUUGGGUUACCUACAAUUAUACAUGUGUUUUAAGGACAUAAUUAUUAGAAAUCAAGCAAAUUUUAUUAAACUUAAACUAAAAUGAAUGUUAAUGUAAACUAUCAUUAAAUGCACUAAAACACAUCAAUUACCCUCUAAGUAAUCUUGAUUUAAGUUUAAAAGUAUCAUGAUAAUCUUAUUUCAUAGAGUUAUCAAUGCUCUAACUUCAAGUCGCGCGAAUCUAUAAGGAUUCUUAUGAAUUCUUUGCUCGUUACAUUAGCUUUUAACACCAAAACAUCUUCAUGCAAGUAUAGUAUCCCUUCCUCAUCGUAUUAUGUCCAAAUGAUUGGAACUUGCUUGGUUCUUGCUCAUUUUUUCAAUAAAGCAUUGAAGAGAAUAUCAUGACUUGUUAUUGCAUACCUUUUGUAGUACUUCUAGGCUUUGUUAGAGUUAUUUACAAGAGUUGGCCCUCUUACAAUAACUCUAUCUACUGGCUCUUCAAAAAUCAUAUCACCAGUAUUCUUUUUUGCUGUAUGCACUGUUGAUCUGUCAUUGGAUAAGAACUGUCAAUAUACUUAUUCAAAUAAUAAUUUCUUACCAGAACUUCUACUUAUUUUUUUAAGUCGUGACACUGUGGUUUGGUGUGGCCAUGGGUGUUAUUCAUCGCAUUAUCCUAUCUCUUAGAAAAUUUUGGCAAGUAAGGACUAGUGAAGGUAGGUUUGGGUUUUGGUUUAGUUGACCUUAUAUUUUGAGUUGGGUUAACUUGGAUCGUUAUAGUGAGGAUGGCUAUCAACUAGUUAUAUCAUUUCAAGUAGCUCUAUUUAGAGAGGGGUGGGGUUAAUUUCUUUUUACAUAGUAUGGGGAGAUAAGAGUGGCCAAAAUCGAAUUUAGAUUGGAUUCGGAUCAAUUUGAUCAUAUAUUAAAUUUUUCGGAUUGAUUAAAAAAACUCAUCUGAAUGUACUGGAACUUCAAUCUAAUAUGAAUAUAUUUGGAUCAGAUGAAUAAUUUGGCUUAAGUUAGAUUUGGAUCGGUUUGGUAAAUCUCAAAUUUAAUUUUAAUUUACAGGUCACUAAACUCAAUGGAUAAGACAUAAUUUGUAUAUCUCUGUAAUAAACAUUCAAUUUUGAUAUUCAACUACAUAGAUAGAAGAAAAAUAAGUCAUUUACAUUACAAUUGUGGUGCAUAUCACUGAAAAUUAUCAUAAUAAUUCAUAUUUUUCCAAACAAAAUUAAAAGAAACCAUAAUUUAAACAACAUAAUAAGCAAAUAGAAUUUCUAAAGAAAAGGAAAAAGAGUAUAUGUAAGCUAGAAAAAGAGAAAUCAUGUAUUAGAGAAGAAAAGAGCAUUGUUGCACAAAAACAACUAAUACCAAAACUAAUAAAAAAAAUCUCAUAUUCAUUUUCCAAUUUUCUCAUAAGCUUACGCAAUUCUUCCUCUUCUACUCUUCAAAAUCAUUUGCCAAUUUUCUCAAUUUUCUCAUAAGGUGAUCUCUGGACUUGUGAUGAGAAAAUUACUUGAGUAACUUACGGCUGCUUAGGUUUGGGAUUUUGGGGAAAACAAGUUAGGUUUACACAUUACAAACUUCACUAGUCAAAUUGUCGAAUUACAUCCGAAUUAGAUUUGAUCCGAUUAUAAUCUCAUCGGAUUGGGUUGUUUCUAUUUAAUCAAAUUACAACAAUAGUCCAUAUUCAAUUUGAAUAUAUUUGGAUUGAAUCAAAUCCAAUCCUAUGCUGACCCUUAUGGGAAUAAGUAGCCGUCCUUAUUAUGACCGCUCUACUCACUGAUGGUUUGUCAUGAUGCCUAACUAGUCCACUUAUUUUUUAGCUCUCCUUUCAUUUCGUUUUAACUCCUCAAGUUACUCGUCUCUAACUCUUGCUGCUUUUUCCUCCUCGAUUUCAAUAUCCACCUUCACCUAGUCAUAAGCAGCCGAAUAAGAGUUUAUUAUUGGGUUCCUUAAGUUAUACCAUAAUUGCCCUAUCUUUACUCCCUCUUUUAAUCCCUUCAAGGCCUGAAGAUGAUUGAAAGCUCCAUGGUCAAGGAUUGUUUGGUGAUAUAUCUUGAAAAAUCUCUUAGAGUUUGAUUUUCUUCUUACUCGAGCCUCAUUGGCUCUAUCAUGUCAUCCUUUGGUGUUAUUGCUCCUAAAAAAUGUUCAGCAAAGUCUCCAUGCAAUUGAUCAGAAGUUCUGAUGCUUCCCUAUGGCAAUUUGCGAUACUAAUCAUGUGCAUGCUAUUCUAAUGUCAAUGGAAACACUCCACACCACUGUAGUGGUGUCAAACCAUGUACUCUAGUCAUCUCAUUAAAUUGUUCUAUAUGCAUAAAAGGUCACUCUUUCUGGAAUAUUUUAGGUUCAAAACUAAUCCCUUGAUAUUGUUGUGCUCAUGAUUUUUGCUGAGAGUAAGAUUCAUUAUCCAUAAUUAUUCUCCGGCUCAGUGCUCUUUCAAUCCUAUACUUCUUCAUAAUUCGUGCUAAUCUAUGCACCUUAUCUUCUAAUUUCCCAACGCGACUUGGGUUCUACACCCUUAUCUACUUGUAGUCAGCGUUCUGUUUAUUCCAUAGAUUUUCACCGAAGUAAGUUUGGUUGCUCUCCAAAAAAAAAAAAAAAGAAAUCACCUAAUACUUUCGGGGCAAGGCAAGCUUCCAAAUAACAUUGCAAAUGAUUUAGUGAAAAAGCUUUCAUCUAUUCCGGUAAUUUAGAAGCACUUUAAUUCAAUUCUCUCUUAAGAGUCCUAUCACUUUAGGAUGAUUUUUAAGUAAAAUCCUUGUAUAGAUUAUAUUUUUGUUAAUAUAACAAACACUAAAUAUUUAUGAUCUGAAAGAUAGUUGUUGAAUGGAGAUCGUUUCACACAAAAAAGUAUUUAAAAAGAAUGUGGUAUUGUAAUAUUAAAUAAUUUUUUGUAGUGAUAUAAGAGUAUCACACUAGUUUUUUUUUUUUUUUUUUUUUUGCAUUACAAAAAAUUGAAAAUAAGAUCUAAGUAAUUUCAAGAAUAAAUUAGCAAUAUUAGGAACAAGUUUUACGAAAAGCUUCUGGGACAUGUCAUACAAAUUUGUUAUAUAUGACAGUCUCUACUAGAUCUUUUUUCCACAUUACAAAAAUUAGAAAUGAGAUCUAAAUCGACCAAUUAUAAAUUUUAUAGUGAGUGGGUCCUAUAUGAAAACAAGGUUUUUUUUUUAUUAUAGUGUAGUCAAUUAUCAGCCAUCUACCCUAAGUUUAUUUUAUAUUAAAAAAUACUAGGAAGAUUUAAUUUGUUUAGUUUUUUACUUUAAUUUUAUAAUUUGUAUUAGUUGUCUACUAAAAGGGUCCGGCUACGGUGCAAUGGUGAUACGGUACCACCGUUGCAUUCAGUCGUUGGAUCCACUUGGAUGAAUGGAUCCAGUGAGAUCCAACGGCUGGAUGCAACGGUGGUACCGUACCACCGUUGCACCAUAGUUUUCUCCCUACUAAAAAGAUAUAAUUAUCCUUACUAAAUGACAAAAUAGAAACAAAUACAAAUAAAAACUGCGGUCAUUUUGUAAGGGUAAUUCUAUCUUUUUAGCAUCGAAUUGCAUAUUAAACUAUUUUAAGUACUUAAAAUAAUAUAAGUUCUUUAUCAAAUAAAUAAAAUUUUAAACUAUGUAUUUACCAAAUAUUUUAAAAUCACAGCUCUUCUACUACAUCUCCAAAUAAAUUCUUAAAAUCAUAAAUAACUAAAUUAAUGGGGUUUUAAAAGGACUCUCCAGACUUUGCAUGAUUUCUUUAUAUGUAGGUGCUGGGUGAUCAUGUUGGUUCCUAUAGGUACCAUCAGCCACACUUUUUGUUAUUGGUGAAAAAAUAAUUUUGGGUACAAUUUGUGAAUUUGUAUAACGUGCGGUAUUAAACAUUUGAAACAUGCAAUGACAGUAAUCUAAUCAAUAAUUAAAAAAAAAUUGUAUAAAAUACAUAUGUCGUAGGCAACUCGGAUCCUUUUCUUUAUAAUUCCAUAUCAUGUGAUUAUCAAAAAACUUCUUGGGAUUUUUAAAUUUUGUAAUUGCACUAUCCUUGAAUUAUCAAAAGACUCUUGAUAAUGUUCUUCUUCUUAAAGAUUCCCUUAAUCUGUAAAUGGUCCAAUAAUUAGUUCAUAAAACGAAUUUAUUACUUUAGACAAGUCUCAAAUAUACAUACCUCUUAUAACUCCGUAUUGCAUAAUUCCUUACUUAAAUGCAUUUGUUUCCUUUCUCUAAAUUUUAGAAUGGCUCUGUCUACUAAAUUUCCUCUUUAAAUUUGACUGCCAACUGGGAAUUUUGCCAAAAUUUCCACCCCAUCUUACUCUCUGAAAUAUGUCCUCCACGUUACUAUAGCAAAUUUAACAUCUAGGAUACUGAAAACAUUUUGUUUUAAUUUUUAAAUCUUUAGCUGUUGAAAAUAGGUCUUUAGCUGCUCAUCAGGAGAAAAUUUUCAUCUAAAACUUUUUUUGAUAAGGCAAGCUUCCAAAUAACAUCCAAAUGGUUUGGUGAAGGUUUUUCACCUUUUCUGAUAAUCCAAAAGCACCUUAUUUCUAGUUAUCUCUUAACAGUCUUAUUACCUCAGGUUCUCUCUUUAUUAAGUAAAACCUCAUAUAUAUUAAUUUGUUGUUAAUAUAAAUAAAAAUUAAGUAGUUGUUUGUUUUUUCAACUUAACGAAAAGUUUUCAUUCAUUAAAUUAUUAUCCCAAACUUUUUAGCUUUUUACUUAAUCUAAAAAGUAUGAAUAAUAUCAUUAAAAGAUAUUUUCCAAAAUAUCUCUAUCUAAUUAAUUAAUUUUCAUCAUUAUCCGAAUAAAAUUUAAUAAUUAGUAUUAUUACUCAUCUCUAUAACUUAUGAUAAUAUAGUGGUAGACUAUUACGAAUUUUACCAUCUUAUUUUCUUCAGAUUUGAAUUAUUUAUCUUCAUAAUUUUUUAUGACUAUUCUUAGUAUAAAAACAUCAUAAAUUAUAAUAAAAUGGAUUGACAUAUACUAAUUUAGAAUAUUAAAAGGUUGUGUUCAAUUGAAAAUAAUUUAUGUUAUGAUGAUAUAUUAUCUUUUAUAUGUUCUUUGAAAUGUUUAUUAUUUGAUGAACAUUUACAAUAUGUUAGGACACAAAUGUAGAAAUACUAAUUUUUAGAUUUUUUUAAGUUAAAAGAUAAACAACUUAAUAUUUAUUUUUAACGAUUCAAUAAAAAAACAAACAUAUAAUUAAGAUUUAGACAUUCAACUCUAUUCAAAAUUCAGACUAAUUCACACAUAUUUAGAUUUCAGACAAGAAACAUAUGCCACCUAAAUGUUUAUGACUUAAAAUUAUUUAAUAAUCAUGGCACAUUUAACCUAUCUAAACAUGAAAUCUUGUGUAGACUUAUGUUUAAGCAAGAGGAUAAUGUGAGAAAAUUGACACAUUAAUUUACAAUUUGUAGGCCAACUGAAUAUUUUUUGUUUGUUUUUUUAUUUUGAUAAUAAAACAAGCCUCGCAAGAGCUUAGGUUUUUAGCCAACUGAAUAAAUUUUCCCACUCAAAUUAGAAACAAUAAAAUCUAAUAAUUAUGAGCCCAUCAGACAAACAGUGAGACAUCAUAUUGUUAAUACCUACUCGUAAAAUUAACGGGAUAACACGGUUUAUGCGGACAGAUUAUCAAGGUAUUGUUAAUACCUUCUGUAUCGGUAUUUCUUUUUUUCUUCUUCUUCAACCCCAAAUAAUCAAAAGCUCUCCAAUGGCUUUCGUAUCCACAACUCGUCCAUUUCAUUUUACUUCAAAUUCAAUAUCAGCUCUUAGAUGUAAUUUCUCAUCUUCGUUCCCUCAUACCGGAAAACCCAAAUCUUCAAUUUCGGAAAAUAAACCCUCGUAUCCGACCGCAACAGCUAAACUGAAGGAGUCGCUACGACUGACGGUCAAAGACCGAGCCUCACUCGAAAAAUUCCUCAGAAAAAGGUUCAAAUCAUCCGGUGAAGGUGAUAUUACUACUAUUACUCCUAAUGAAGCCUUUUGUAUCUUUGAUUACAUGCUCAAUAUGCGCCCUUCUCCGCCUCCUGUCUCUUCCUUCAAUAUUUUGUUUGGUUGUCUUGCUAAGAAUAAACAUUAUGAUACUGUCCUUUCACUCUUCAAGAGACUCAAUUCAACUGGGUUGUUUCCAAAUCUUUAUACUUACAAUAUCUUGAUUAACUGCUUUUGCAAAAUGGGUCGAGUUUCUCCUGGUUUUGUUGUUCUUGGGAGAAUCCUCAGGUCUUGUUUUACUCCAGAUGCUGUGACCUUUACUUCUUUGAUUAAAGGUUUGUGUGCGGAGAGUAGAAUCAUGGAGGCUGCCGCAUUGUUUACGAAACUUAGAGUGUUUGGUUGUGAGCCUGAUGUUUUUACAUACAAUACUUUGAUUAAUGGAUUGUGUCGAACUGGCCAUACAUUUGUUGCUCUAAAUUUAUUUGAAGAGAUGGCUAAUGGAAAUGGGGAAUUUGGUGUUGUUUGUAAGCCAAACACUGUUACAUACAAUACUAUUAUAGAUGGUCUUUGUAAGGAAGGUUUUGUGGACAAGGCCAAGGAACUGUUUCUGCAGAUGAAGGAUAACAAUAUUAACCCCAAUGUGGUUACUUAUAACUCUUUGAUUCACUGUUUCUCUCAUGCUGAUGAUUGGAAUGAGGCCAAGUGUUUGCUAAUUGAGAUGAUGGACCAAGGGGUACAGCCUAAUGUUGUGACUUUCAAUGUCAUCAUGGAUGAGCUCUGCAAGAAUGGAAAGAUGGAUGAGGCUGCCGCAUUGUUUACGAAACUUGGUGUGUUUGGUUGUGAGCCUGAUGUUUUUACAUACACCACUUUGAUUAAUGGAUUGUGUCGAACUGGCCAUACAAUUGUUGCUCUAAAUUUAUUUGAAGAGAUGGCCAAUGGAAAUGGGAAAUUUGGUGUUGUUUGUAAGCCAGACGCUAUUACAUACAGUACUAUUAUAGAUGGUCUUUGUAAGGAAGGUUUUGUGGACAAGGCCAAUGAACUGUUUCUGCAGAUGAAGGGUAAGAAUAUUAACCCCGAUGCGGUUACUUAUAACUCUUUGAUUCACGGUUUUUGUUAUGCUAAUGAUUGGAAUAAGGCCAAGCAUUUGUUUAUUGAGAUGAUGGAUCAAGGGGUACAGCCUGAUGUUGUGACUUUCAAUGUGAUCAUGGAUGAGCUCUGCAAGAAUGGGAAGAUGGACGAAGCAAGUAGGCUGUUAGAAUUGAUGAUUUUGAGAGGAUUGAAUCCCAACACAUCUACUUAUAACACAUUAAUUGAUGGUUAUUGCUUAACUGGUAAAAUAGAUUGUGCUAGGGAAUUAUUUGUUUCUAUGGAGAGUAACGGGUGCAUGCAUAAUGUUGUGAGUUACAACACAUUAAUAAAUGGGUACUGCAAGACUAAGGAUGUAGAGGAAGCUUUAAAUCUUUAUAGGAAAAUGCUGUCUAAAGGAAUUAGGCCAACAGUUGUUACAUAUAACACCUUGUUUCAUGGCCUUUUUGAAAUACAGCAGGUUGACCAUGCUUUAAAACUGUUUGAUGAGAUGCAGCGCAAUGAUGUGGCUGCUGAUACCUCUACGUAUAAUACCUUUACAGAUGGGCUCUGCAAGAAUGGUUAUAUUGUAGAGGCAGUUGAAUUAUUUCGUACUUUGAGAAUUCUCAAGUGUGAACUUGAUAUUCAAGCCUACAACUGCCUCAUUGAUGGAUUAUGUAAAUCCGGCAGACUUGAAUUUGCGUGGGAACUGUUUCGUAGUUUGCCUCGUCGAGUCCUAAUGGCAAAUGUUGUAACAUAUAACAUCAUGAUCCAUGGGCUUUGUAACGAUGGCCAAAUGGAUAAGGCACAUGAUUUAUUUCUUGACAUGGAAGAAAAUGCUGUGGCACCCAAUGUCAUCACAUUUGGUACACUUAUGCAUGGUUUUAUCCGAGUCAAUGAGCCAUCAAAAGUUAUUGAACUUCUUCACAAGAUGAAGGAGAAAAAAGUAAUGCCAGAUGCAUCUAUAGUUUCAAUUGUUGUCGACUUACUUGUAAAGAAUGAAAUUAGUCUGAACUCACUUCCGUCAUUUCCUGUCCGAGAGCGACAGGGGGAAGUUGAUGAGUCAAAUGUCAAGUAGUAGCAGCAUGUGUUUUGAGCCUAAAAACCUGAUCUGCAGCAUCUCAUUCACAUUGCAAAAUGACGUCGCCUGGUGACAGCAUGUUCUCUCUGGUACUGUUCAUGGAUUCUUGAUUGUUCUCGUGAUCAGAAGAGUCUCAUUCAUAUUACAAAUCCUGAUCUGGACAAGCUAGCAUACGUGAUCACCAACUGCACAUGGUUGUUGAUGCCAGAUUAAGUAUGGUAUCAUGUCUUUCAACUUGUUAUUCACUAUAGUCUUUCACCCUCUGUCUUGUUCUCUCUUAAUGACCCAUUGCUUUAGAAGCUAAUGAAUUAGUUGAAGCUUGUCACUUUAUUGGCACUGACUAUCAUUUAUGCUUUGAAUUUACAGCAUAUUUUAUCCUUACUGUACUCUUCGCAUAGUUACCUUUGAGGGCUGCUAGUAUGUAAAACUAAAAGACCUUAUAUAAGCUUUUCAGUGUAUAUCUGUUCUGUGAAAUGAUUCAUUCUGCAAGGCCCUAGGCUUAUGACUCAUCUAUGAAAUGAUUUACCCUCACCUGCACACAGGCAUUUGUCCCUUUCGAGCAAUCUUCAAACAAUGUGAAAAAAAUGCUUGAAACACGACACAGACUUCACUGUUUACAUGAAAAGCGGCAGAAACUUGUGAAAUUACCGAUUAAAAAGUACCUACUGUGAGGAAGAUGCUAUAAAACUCACUCGGAAAAUGUAAAAUGGUUAACAGACAUCCACCAGAAGCACAAUUCAGAACAUGGGCUGCUUUUGGCUGCCCGGCUUUCAGAAGUCAAUAUUUAGAUGAACUUUGGGGAGAUUAGGAUCACCAGUCAGUCAGAUUUAGAUAGAAAGUGAGAGAUUGCUAUUGCCGAGUCAUUGCUUCUAUCCUAAAUGCUUUGAUCUACCUGAAAAGUAUAUAAAUAUCGGGGUUAAAACAGAGCAGUUGAAAUCGUAUUGAUGAACUCAACUGAGAUAAAUGAUAAAAGAAAACUAACCUACAUUCUGUACAAAACUCGCCCAUCUUCCUUUAAGAGCUGACUUCCCAAGAAGAGAUCACCACAAUAGUUCACAUCAACAGUCUCCACUUGAGAGUUUUUAUAACCACAAUAUUCAUUCCAUUCAAACCACAUCCUUGAGAUCAGUUCCUUCUUCAGGAGACUCGGCAGCAACCAAUCUAUAUGCAUAAGCUUUCUUUGUUUGGCCUGGCUGGAAAGCCCAGCCGAUUGCUUGGCGGAUUUCUGAUGGAGUACAGGGAACAUCCAGAAUAAUGAUCCAAAUUUUUGUGGACUUACAUGUAAAGAAUGAAAUUGGUUAAACUCGAUUCCACAAUUCAAGAGUAAAUGAGUUUAAUCUUGAUUUAGUAUCAUGUCUUUUCUGCUUUAAAACCAGAUCUGGGGAAUCCCAUUCUUCUUACGACAGGUGAAGGAGUGUUUGUGUAUUGCUGGCAUGUUCCCAGGUUCUAUUCACGGAUUCUGUUUGCAGACAUGGCUAACUCCUCGUUUCAGAUAAGUUUCAAAGUCUGGCAACUUUUUGUUUCAAUUCAUGGGUUUUCCUUCUAUGAUGCAUCUUUCUCAUUAGCUGUAGUUUCAAAUUUUUUAGGCUCUUCCUGUAUGACCUCUUUUCUUCUCCAAAUGGAUAAAAUUUGUUUUUCAUUUUUCUCCUGCGAGGGUACAGGUUUAUGUUGAAACUUUCUCUUAGUUAAAUUGAUUGUCAUUUGAUAUUGGAACUUCUAGUUGAACUAGUUUGCACUUCGAAUAUAUGAGAUUACCAACUCUAAGGAAUUGGUGCCAAAUUGAUUAUGUUAUCAGGUUUUUCAGUCUGUGUAAUUGUCCAAAUUUUUUUCAUUCCUAGUGACAUGGCAUUCACUUGAAUAUGAAAACCUACGUGUUCGCAAGACAAAGUCUGUUGAAACUGACAAACUUUUCUCUAUGAAUAUUGAAGACAAUAUAAUAAGAUAAAAUUAAUCAAAAACAUCUAUACUUGACAGGGCUGGAACGUCUGUUAUUAGUCCUCGCCUUCCAUUCUUGUUUCAUCUUCUUCUGCUAACAAAUCUUGAUCAUGAUAGUCUUCUCUUUUCUUUGCAACCCACAUAUAAAGUCUCGGCCAUAAACCUCGAGGCCUAUUCUCUUUUGCAAUGGUGAGUUCACUCUCAGGAAUCAGAUCGAAUUUGAAGAAACUGCAAGGGACUACAAAGCAAAUGGUGUGAAGCUCCUUUCACUUAUCACUGGCACAGCAUUACUCUGGCAAAUGGUUUAAAAUACCAUUCGCGUUGGAAGUUCAAUCAUUACUGUUUUUUUUCCCCCUCUUUUUACUUGCUCUUGCUAUUUUUGUUGUCUGAAAUUAUCUGAAGUUCCAUGCAUGCUCCAAUAGAACGAGUAAUGUAAUGUAGGUGCUGACCAACUCCAAAUAAGUAGUUAGUUGCCUAGUAGUUGCUUUCCAUGAAAUUUGUUUUUGGUAUGAAUAAUGUUGUCUUAAUUUUACAAGCUUCCGUGCAACCCCUCAUUUAAUAUUAGAUUUAUCCGUUGAUUGAUGCUGACUCUUGAAAGUAAUAUAAUAUUGUAUAAAUAUAAUGAAAUCUCACUUUAUUAAUAAAUAUAAUUUAAAAUAAAAAAUAAAAAAUAACUAAAGUUGAAAACCAAGGAGCAACUUCUAUCCUCUUAGUCUCUUACCAAGUUAUUAAAUAUAGAGCAGACAAAGGUAUAUGUAUAAUAUAUAUAAUUUUCUUCAUGAUUCAAAAUCAUAUCUCAAAUGUCAAAUAAAAUUCUCAAUUAAGGGUGUUCGGGGAUUAGAUUUUACGAAUUUUAUAUUAUUAUCGGAUAAGAUAUAAUAUGGUAUUAAUGUAAUUAUAUUUUAACUUAUUUAUUUAGUAGUAAGUACUAAUGUCAUAUUUAUAAGUUUUAUUUUUAAUUAAAUAAAUAUUUUUUAUUAUUUUUAGAUUCAUGAAUUUUUAUAGAUUUACAUAAGUAGAUUCAUAUUCAAUCCACCGAUUACAAAUUAUCAAAUUUUCAAUCUAAUUUAAUCUAUCAAUCUAUAAAUUAUUUUAAAUAUUAUAAAUUAUUUUUAGACUGAGUGAUGAAGGGUCAUUUAAACAAUCAUGGUCAUUUAAUCUAUCUAAUCAUGAUAUUUCGAGUAGACUUAUGUCACAUUUAAUCUAUCUAAUCAUGAUAUUUCGAGUAGCACCCGAUUGUGUCACAUUUAAUACGCUGAUGCUAGGUUGCAUCCGCAAUAAUGAGACAUCAAAAGUUGUUGAACUCCUUCACAGAAUGGAUGAGAGAAAUGUAAUACCAGAUGCAUCUACACUUUCAAUUGUUGUGGACUUGCUUGUAAAGAAUGAAAUUAGCUUAAACUCCAUUCCACAAUUCAAGAGUCAAAGGUAAGUGAGUUUAAUAAUGAUUUAGUCGCAUGUUUCUUCUGCCUGAAAACUCAAUGUGGAGGAUCCUAUUCUUAUUACAACAUGUAAAGGAGUGUUGUCUAAUGUUGGCAUGUUCCUAGGUUCUGUCCAUGGAUUCUGUUUGCAGACAUGGCUAACUUCUUGUUCAACAGAUAAGUUUUAAAGUCUUUCAACUUUAUGUUGUAAAAUAACUUUCUUAUUAUUCAAUUCAUGAGUUUUCCUUCUGUAACACAUACUUCUCAUUAGAUGGAAGUGCAAAUUUUUUAGGCUUUUCCCGUAUGGCCUCUUUUUCUGCUCUAAAUAAAAUGGCAUUUUAUUUCCCUCCUGUGAGGGUACAAGGUUUAUGUAUAAACUUUCUGUUAGUUAAAUUGGUUGUCUUUGAUAUAGGGAACUUCCAGUUGAGCUGAUUUGUAAUUCGAGUAUAUGAGAUUACCAACUGUAUUGGGAAUUAAUGCCAAAUUAAUUAUGUCAUCAGGUUUUUCAAUCAUUGUUCAUCAUUUAUUUCUGUUAACAAUUAAUAGCACAGCUUGUCUUCUCAGCUUCAUUGGUUCCUCUAAAAAAUAAUCUUGUAAAGACAAUUUUUUUUUUUUGGCAUGGUAAAUGCUAGAUUGUUUGUGGUAAAUACAAAAUUGAUACAAUCAACUUGUAUGAUAAGUUUUAAAAGUUUAUUCAUAUUUAUAUUACAUAAUUAAAAGUUCAUUCAUAUUUAUAUGAGAUAUCUAUUUUAGGACACAGUUUAAUAAUCAUGGAAACUAACCAUUUAAUAACAAUUAUGGUCGUUUAACCUAUCUAAACAUGAAAUUGUCAGCUGGCUUAUCUUUGAGUAGGAGGAUAAUGUAAGAAAAUUAAUAUUUUAAUGUACAAUUUGUAUGCCAAGCGAAAAAUUUCACAAUUUAAAUUAGAAAAAAUAAAAUUUAAUAGUUAAAUAUUAUUUGAGCCAAUUGACUAGUGGGACAUUAUUUGUUACUGUCCAAAAAGCAUAACAUUAUUUUGAUAAAUGGUUACUGCAAGAAUAAGGAAAUAGAGGAAGCGUUAAGCCUUUAUAGCGAAAUGCUCUCUAAAGGAAUAAAGCCAACAGUUGUUACAUAUAACACCUUGUUUCUUGGUCUUUUUGAAAUACACCAAGUUGAGCGUGCUUUAAAACUGUUUGAUGAGAUGCAGCGCAAUGGUGUGGUUGCUGAUACCUCUACGUAUAAUACCUUUACUGACGGGCUCUGCAAGAAUGGUUAUAUCGUAGAGGCAGUUGAACUAUUUCGUACUUUGAGAAUUCUAAAGUAUGAACUGUGGUGUCCAAUUUCAUCACAUUUGGUACGCUUAUCCAUGGUUUUAUCCGAAUCAAUGAGCCAUCAGAAGUUAUUCAACUUCUUCACAUGAUGAAGGAGAAAAAAGUAAUGCCAGAUGCGUCUACAGUUUCAAUCGUUGUCGACUUACUUGUAAAGAAUGAAAUUAGUCUGAACUCACUUCCGUCAUUUCCUGUCCAAGAGCGACAGGGGGAAGUUGAUGAGUCAAAUGUCAAGUUGUAGCAGCAUGUCCUGUCCAUUGCUUCAAUCCUAAAUGCUUUGAUCUACCUGAAAAGUAUACAAAUAUCGGAGUUAAAACAGAGCAGAUUAAAUCGUAUUGAUGAACUCAACUGAGAUAAAUGACAAAAGAAAACUAACUUUUCCUGUUCAAAGCUCGCACACCUUCCUUUAAGAGCUGACUUUCCAAGAAGAGAUCACCACAAUCGUUCACAUCAACAGUCCACUUGAAAUUUUUUAUAACCACAAUAGUCAUUCCAUUCAAACCACAUCCUUGAGAUCAGUUCCUUCUUCAAGCAAGUGGGAUGGUCUUCCUCUUGAGGAGACUCAGCAGCAACCAAUCAAAGCACAAUAAAGGUAACAUCCAGAAUAAUGAUCCAAAUUUUUGUGGACUUACAUGCAAAGAAUGAAAUUGGUUUAAACUCGAUUCCACAAUUCAAGAGUUAAUGAGUUUAUCUUGAUUCAGUAGCGUGUCUCUUCUGCUUUAAAACCAGAUCUGGGGAAUCCCAUUCUUAUUACAACAUGUGAAGGAGUGUUUGUGUAUUGUUGGCAUGUUCCCAGGUUCUGUUCACGGAUUCUGUUUGCAGACAUGGCUAACUCCUCGUUUCAUCAGAUAAGUUUCAAAGUCUGGCAACUUUUUGUUGUAAAAAUAACUAUUUCAUUAUUCAAUUCAUGAGUUUUCCUUCUAUGGUGCAUCUUUCUCAUUAGCUGUAGUUUCAAAAUUCGAGCGAAUUUGAAGAAACUGCAAAAGACUACAAAGCAAAUGGUGUAGAGCACCUUUCACUUAUCACGGGCACAGGAUUACUCUGACUUUCUGCAUUUUACUGUUGGCUAUGGUUUGAUGCAUUAUUUAUUGUUCUCAAAUACCAUUCUCGUUGGAAGUUCAAUCAUUACUGUUUCUUUUUUCCCCCCUUUUUACUUGAAGUUACCUGAAGUUCCAUGCAUGCUCCAAUCGAACAAGUAACGUAGGUGCUGACCAACUCAAAAUAAGUAGUCAGUUGCCUAGUAGUUGCUUUGCAUGAAAUUUGUUUUUGGUCUUAAUUUUACAAGCUUUCAUGCAACUCCUAAUUUGUUGGAAGUAUUAACUCAACCCGUCAUUUAAGGUUAGAUUUAACCAUUGACUUAUGUUGACUAUUAAAAGUACUAUAAUAUUCUAUAAAUAUAACGAAACCUACUUUAUUAACAAAUAUAAUUUAAAAUAUAAAAAAUCAAUAAUAAAAAUAACUAAAGUUGAAAUCCAAGGAGCAACUUCUAUCCUCUUACCAAGUUAUUAAAUAUUAGAGUAGAUAGAGGCAUAUACUUUUCUUGAUGAUUCAGAAUCAUAUCUUCAAAUAAAAUUCUCAAUGAUUGCAGGCCUCAAUACCAUUAGGAUGAACUAGACCAUCAUGAAUUUUUGCGCAUCUUGCAAGGUCCAAUUUCUCCAAGUUUAUGAUCAAGCCAAAAAAUGUCAUAAUUCCUUUUAUAGUAAUUUCAUAGUGUUUACUAAACUGUAAUAGAAAUGGAUUGAAACACAAAUAGGGAUGGCAAUGGGGAGGGGGGAGGGGACCAACAUCCCCGUACCCAUCCUUGAUAUUUUGUAUAUGUCCCCAUCUCCUUCCUAUCCCCAUCAGAAUUACUUGAGGGGAUUCCCGUCCCCUCCCCGAAUAAUAACAGGGAAUCUCCGAGGGUCCCCGAUCCCCAAAUAACUGAUAUAUUUGUUUAGUUUUCAAACUUAAUUUAAUCAUAUUAAUGUAAAAAUAUAUAAAAUAAAAUGAAAUGAUCAUGAAUGGGCCUUAUAUUUCAUUCCACUCCUUCAAACUUUUGGUAUAUAUAAUAUUCAAAUAAUGAUUUUCAAAACAAAAUUCAAAUAAUGUGAUUUUUAUACAAUAUUGACGUGAUUGUUGUCCAUGAGUAACGAUACCUACUGAUCACCGACUAUGAUGCAACAAAGCCGCAUGUGUGGCUGCUAGUUGACGUUGCGACGAGUUAGGCUACUCGGACACUGACAACGUAACGUGCUACUGGGCUAUGAUGAGAUGAAGACGAGUUGAGUGCUUACUACUGCAUGAAUAAUUUGGAAAUGAUGAGCAAGACUGUGAGAAAGUAAUUUAGAGUUUGAUUUGUGAGUUAUAAGCUUGUGGGAUUGUGUGCUUUUGGUUGUAAUUAAGUCUAAAUUAUAUUAAACAUUUUAUAUUAACUAAUAUUUAUUAUUUGUAUAAAUAUUUUGAUAUUUUUUAUUUACACCAAUAUUUUAUAUUUUACAAUUUAAAAUUUAUCGUUUAUUGACUAAUAAUUCUAGAAAAAUAAAAAUAAAAUAAAAUAUUAAAAUAGGGAAAUGGGGAGGGGACGGGGAUUCCACCUCAUCCCCAUCCCUUCCCUGAAUAAGUAAUUGGGUAAAAAAUUGUCCUCGUCCCUUUCCCGAAUAAGAAGUGUGGUAUAAAAUCGUCCAUGUACCCUCCCCAAAUGGAUAAAAUCCUCAAGGGCCCCAUUCCCAUGGGGAUUUCUGCCAUCCCUAAAUUAGAAUAAAUUAUUUACUUAAACUGUAGGAAUUAGAAUCAAAAUAAACUGGAUUGUCAUUGAUGUGUCUAUUUUGUCUUGGAAUUGAAAUCAAAAUGAGUUACAUUUUAACAACUUACUAAAAAGUGCUUAAUGAGCUAUUGUCAUAAUUAUUAUUUUAUAUUUUAAUUAUGGUAAUUAUUUAUUCAAAAAUUAUAAUAAUUAUUAUUGUUAAUAAUAUAUUCAUAUAUUAAUUAAUUGAAAAUUAUUUAAAUUAAUUAAUUAUUAAUCAAUUAAUAUAUUAAUUGAUUAAUUAUAAUAAUACAUUAAUUAAUUAUAACUGAGGACAAAAUAGAUACUUUUUAUUUUGUGAGGGGGUAAAAUGGUCAUUCCAAGGAAUGGGAGACUCAUUCCCGCCUCCCUUGGGAAUUAAUCUUCCAUUUGCCAUUCCCAAAUUGCGGUGGACUCAACGAUUUCAAUUCUGAUUCUUGACUCUAUUUUAUGAAGUAAAUGCUCUCAAUAAUUUCGAUUCCCCAAUCCGAAGAAGUAAACGCACAGUUACUGUUUCUUCUAAAGCUCAAACUUGUCAGGUUUGAGAUACCUGAUAGAUACUUCAGUCAUGCAUCCACUCCAUCAUAAGACAAACUGAAAGUUAGAAAAAAAAGGGACAAUUCAAGGAAAAUGCACACAAGUGAGGUUUCAAAAUUAAAGUAGACACUUCAGCUGCAAAUCAGCAUACACAUACAAUGGAGGUCAUACAAAUAUCAUUUCUAUAACCGCCCUACUGUAUUCUUGAAUGAAGAUGGUUUAAAGUCAAGUAAUAAGAUAUUUAAACUUAAGCAAAACAAUACAAUUAAAUUUGCUGGAACUUAUGAGUAACUUAAUCUCAUCUCUCCUCCUAAUUUAAUUGGACAGGCGUAAAUUUUCCAUGUUAAUAUGGAUGAAGUAAAUUUUCUUUUUAUAAUAUAUCUAUGCAUUAAAAAAAAUUAAUAAUAAUAACUUUUACAAGCAUUUAUGCUUGUAUUAAUACUCUACUUUUUACUACACGAUUGCUUCAGUAUAUGGUGGAUGUUAAGAUAACAAUAAUACUAGAAUUACAAACACUUGCAUACUAUUAACUAACUUAACACUAUAAUAUUGUUUACGGUGUAAGCCCUCGAGGUGAUGUUAAUAUGCCAAAGAUUUAAAAAUAUUAGUUCUAGCUUUUGAAGAAAAAUAUGCUUUCAGUCAGAAGGGAAAAAAACGAAAAAAAAAAAAAAAAGCUUUCUAACAAGAUAUCAAAAUGGUUAAUAAGAAGAGCAGUAGUAAUGGGGUAAAAGCUCGUUUAAUCCCUAUAUUUUGAGGUUAGUACUUGUUUAGUUCCUAUAUUUUUAAAAAUGCUUCAAAACAUCUUUGCCGUUAAAUAUUGACACCCCUGCCGUUACUUUGUAUUCCUUUUAGCUUACUUUUACAAUAUUACCCUUUUUGCAAUAUUGUUUCUUUUUUUGGACAUUAAUAAUAAAUAAAAUUACCAAUUUAACCCCAAAAAUAAAAUAAAGACAAAGAAAAUAUAUAUUAAUCUUUGUCAAAACUAUGUCAAAAAAAUAAAUAUUGUAAAAAAAAUUAAACUACUAAUUUUUUAGACAUUAAUAAAAAAAAAUAAUAUAUUAACUCCUCGUGGAGUAUUCAAAAAAUUAAUAUAGAUUUUUUUUUGUUUCUAUUUUACUUUUUUGGGUUAAAUUGAUAAUUUGAUUUUUCUUGUUAUUAAUGUUUAAUAAAGAAGAAAUAUUAUUAUACGAGGGUAAUAUUAUGAAAGUAAGUUAAAAAGAACAAAAAAUAACAAUAAGGGUGUCAAUACUUAACGAUAACGAUGUUUUAAGACAUUUUUAAAAAUAUAGAGACUAAAUAGAUAUUAAUCUCAAAAUAUAAGAAAUAAACGAGAUUUUACCCGUAAUAAUGUUACGAGGGGGUUCAAAUGGAGGGGGACAGGUAUUUCCAAAUUUGUAUCCAUUAAUUUUUUUAAAACUCAUAUCUGUCACUUACUUGUUAUUAUUUUAAAUAUCAAACUUGUCAACCCUUAAGAGGAAACAUGUAUUUAACGGACUUUGCGCGGCUAAUUCUCAUCAUUCGCUACUCUAAAUUUUAUUUUACAGAUUUGCCCAUCAUUUACAACAUUUAAUUAAAUACACUUAAAUUAUAUAGAUUCAACGGUUCAACCUUCAUAUAUCACAUGAAAAGAAUACUGAAUUUUUAACAUCUCUCAUCAAGAGAUUGUACUGUGUUUACUCAAUUAGAUACCAAGUUUAUAUUCCAACUAAUGUGUUAAUAGUAUUUGAAUUAAAAAUGAUAAAACUUAAUAAUUAAUUAUUGCUUAAGUCAAUUAAAUAGUAUCAUAUCAUUUGUUUGAAAAAAAAAUCUUUGUUGUUUCAAGAGUAUUAAUCCUUUUUCAUUUACUUAUUAUCAUUACUAUCUGCAACUAAUCAUAAUGAUUUGCAUCAAUAUGUGAUUGUUUUUUUUACUCCAAGAACAGCUUUUAAAUGCAAUUUCUCUUCUUCCCCACUCACCCUUGAAAACCCACUAUUUGUGUACUUCCAAAAACGAUUUAUUGCUGACCGCCAAAGACCGAUACUCACUGGACAAAUUCCUAAAAGAAAGAUUCAAAUUCCAAUGUCUUAUACCUAUUUGAUUUGCAGUCCUUGUUAUGCUAAUGACUAGAAUGAGGCAAAGUGUUUUUUAAUUGAGAUGAUGGAUCUAAGGGUGCAGCAUGAUGUUGUGAUUUUCAAUGUUGAUCAUAGAUGAGCUUUGUGAAAAUAGAAAGAUAGAAGAAGCAUUUAGGUUUUUAGAAUCGCAUCAAUGGAUGGGUUUUGCUUGACCUAGGGAACUAUUUGUUUCUGUGGAGAAUAAAGGGUGCAGAAAUGACGUUGCUAAAUACAACAAGUUGAUAAAUGGGUAAUGCAAGAAUAAGGAAGUAGAGGAAGCGUUAGGCCUUUAUAGCGAAACGCUUUCUAAAAGAAUUCUCCUAGAAUAUGUUGAGGGGAUGGGGCAGCUGCCCCCAUCGCACCCUAAGCCAACAGACUCAAAACUGUAAAUGAAAGAAUCAUGAUGAUCUGUUUUGGUUUGUGAGAUGUUAGAGGAGGAGGAUUGACUAGUAACGGGGAGAUGUUUGGGUUUAUAAGGUGGUAGGUCACUCCACUUAAAAGGCUAGUCUUUUGGGUUAGAUACUUAGAAAUCUUAUGCUAAGUCCCCCCAACAAGCGGUAUCAGAGCUAGACCCUAGUAGCCGGAAUGUAGUGGUGGAACAACUCAGGUGUGUCGGACGAAAGGACCUGAGUCCGGCGGUGGUUUCGUCCGAAGGGGGGAUUGUUGAGUUGUAUCCCACAUUGACUAGUAAAAGGGAGAUGUUUGGGUUUAUAAGGUGGUAGGUCACUCCACCUAAAAGGCUAGUCUUUUGGGUUGGAUACCUAGGAAUCUUAUGCUAAGUCCCCCCAACAAGUGGUAUCAGAGCUAGACCCUAAUAGCCGGAAUGUAGUGGUGGAACAACUCAGAUGUGUCGGACGAAAGGACCGGAGUCCGACAGUGAUUUCGUCCGAGGGGGGGAUUGUUGAGUUGUGCCCCACAUUGAUUAGUAAAGGGGAGAUUUUGGGUUUAUAAGGUGGUAGGUCACUUCACCUAAAAGACUAGUCUUUUGGAUUGGAUACCUAGAAAUCUUAUACUAAGUCCCCCCAACAUGGACUUUCUUCUAAAGAAUGAUAUCCGUUUAAACUCAAUUCCAGAAUUCAAAAGCCAAAAUUGAAUAUUGAUUUAGUAGCAUGUUUUUCUGCCUGCUGAAAAUCGAAUAUGGAGGGUCCGUUUCAUUAUACCAAAUGUGAAGGAGUGUCACGUUGUGAGGGCAAUGUAAUAUCCUCGCCAUCUGGUUCAGUUCACCAAAGAAACUUCCCCAUUAAUUUCUUGAAAAAGUUAAGUUCAAACUGUAAAUGAAAGAAUCAUGAUGAUCUAUUUUGGUUUGUGAGAUGUUAGAAAGAGGCCAUUGUUAAAUAGACAUGAAUGCUGGAGAAAACUUUAUGUUCUUUUAUUGAAUUAAGUUGAUCCUACUCGAUCUCUGCAUUUUGGAUUCCUACUUCAGAGUCGAAGAAGUGAAAUAUGGUGUGAAAAAAUUGUAUGCUUAAGUUAAUUUGAAUCCUUGUUAUUUAAUAAAAGCUCAGCUUCUUUCAAUCCGCACCUACGGUGGUCAUUUUUUUUUAUAUAUAUGGCGAGUAAUAAAUAGAUAAGAAGUAAUGUUUUUAGAACACACAAAAUAUUUUUAUUUCAAACACUAACAAAGUUGCAGACAAAAUAUUUAAAUAAUCUUGAUGUAUGUAUCUAAUAGCGUGUUUGUUAAGUGGAAAUAAAAAUGAGGGAAUGAGAUACAUUAACUUAGCCCAAGUGGUUAGAGCCACUCCCUCACAAAUGUGGGGGAAGUGGUUCGAGCCUCCGCAGACGCAUUGUAGGAAUUUAAUUUAAAUGUCCUUUCUUAGAGUUCCAGAACUUGAGUGAAGUCAGUCUUUCUCCCAGAUUGGGGCCCAAGUGGUUAGAGCCACUCCCUCACAAAUGUGAGGGAAGUGGUUCGAGCCUCCUCCGCAGACGCAUUGUAGGGAUUUAAAAAUUUAAAUGUCCUUUCUUAAAGUCCCAGAACUUGAGUGAAGACAGUAUUUUUCCCAGGCUGGGAGUUGACGUCUCUCGAAUAUUUGAGAGGUGAAGGCAGUCUUUCUCCCAGACUGGGAGUUGACGUCUCUCGAAUAUUUGAGAGGCUUAAAAAAUCUAAGCGGUGCCAUAUCAGCAUUGAUGUCAACAGGUCUCAGUAUAUAUAUGAUUGUACAUAUCAGUUAUACUCUCAUGUAAUAUGAGUUGUAAUUUGAGCAAUAGUCUCAUGUUAUAAAAAAAAAACUUAUUUACUUAUAAAGAGAGAAGGAGGAUCGAGAAUUAAAUUUGCUGGCCUCACAUCAAUUUAUGACUAACUCUUGGAUUUCUAAUUUCUAAAGGGGGUUUGGAAUCUAAAUCUCAUUUUCAAGACGGAUUAUACUACCCCCGCCCAAAUGUAAUAAUUUUCAUUUUGUCCUUCUUUUAAAUAUUUAAAAAAUAAAUAAAAAUCGCAUGAGUACUGUGCAAAGAUCGAUUGUUACUGAUACUCCUCACGGAUAUUUGUAUUACUGUCGGUCAUUGUUGUUGCAGUUGCUGCCUGUUGUCGCUGCUACUAUCGAUCAUCGUUAUUGCCUACUGCUAUUGAUUGCCGGUUAUAAUGAUGAUUAUUCUUGCCUCAGUUAUUGUUGAUGUUAUUAUUACUCGCACCGAAUUACAUAUUAUUAAAUUAUUUUAAAUAUUACAAAUUAAAUUAUUUUUAAAUGAGUGAUCAAACCUGAUCAUUUAAUAACCAUGGCCAUUUAACAUAUUUAAACAUAAAAUUUCGUGUCAAAUUAUGUUUGAGUAUAAGGAUAAUGUAAGAUAAUUGGUACUUUAAUUUACAUUUAUGUGCCAACUGAAUAAAGUUCGCUAUUUAAAUUAAAUUAGAAACGGUGAAAUUUAAUAAUUAACUAUUAUUUAGCCAUUUAAACGCAGAGACACAAUUUGUCACGGUUCCAAAAGCAUAGCAUCAUUGAAAAUACCGUAUCCCACUUCUCUUUUUCUAUUUUGGUAAUUCUUUUUUUCUUCUUCAACCCCAAAUAAUCAAAAGCUCUCCAAUGGCUUUCGUAUUCUCAACUCGUUCAUUUCAUUUUACUUCAAUUUCAAUAUCGGCUCUUAGAUGUAAUUUCUCCUCUUCGUUCCCUCAUACCAGAAAACCCAAAUCUUCAAUUUCGAAAAAUGAGCUUUCAGAUCCGACUACAACAGCUAAACUGAAGGAGUCGCUACGACUGACAGUCAAAGACCGAGCCUCACUCGAAAAAUUCCUCAAAGAAAGGUGCAAAUCAUCAGGUCAAGGUGAUAUUAAUCUUAUAACUCCUAAUGAAGCCUUGUGUAUCUUUGAUUACAUGCUCAAUAUGCGCCCUUCUCCGCCUCCUGUCACUUCCUUCAAUCUUUUGUUUGGUUGUCUUGCCAAGACUAAACAUUAUGAUACUGUCCUUUCACUCUUCAAGAGACUCAAUUCCACUGGGUUGUUUCCGGAUCUUUAUACUUACAACAUAUUGAUUAAUUGCUUUUGCAAAAUGGGUCGAGUUUCUCAUGGUUUUGUUGUUCUUGGGAGAAUCCUCAGGUCUUGUUUUACUCCAGAUGCUGUGACCUUUACUUCUUUGAUUAAAGGUUUGUGUGCGGAGAGUAGAAUCAUGGAGGCCGCCGCAUUGUUUACGAAACUUACAGUGUUUGGUUGUAAGCCUGAUGCUUUUACAUACACCACUUUGGUUAAUGGAUUGUGUCGAACCGGCCACUUUGAUUAAGCCUGAUGCUUGGGAACUGUUUCAAAGUUUGUCUCGUGUAGGCCUAUUGCCAAAUGUUGUAACAUAUAAUAUCAUGAUCCAUGGGCUUUGUAAUGAUGGGCAAAUGGACAAGGCACAUGAUUUGUUUCUUGAUAUGGAAGCAAAAGGUGUGGAACCCAAUUGUGUCAUAUUUAAUACGAUUAUGCUGGGUUUCAUCCGCAAUAAUGAGACAUCAAAAGUUAAUGAACUCCUUCAGCGAAUGGAUAAUAGAAAUGUAAUGCCAGACGCAUCUACACUUUCAAUUGCUGUGCACUUACUUGUAAAGAAUGAAAUUAGCUUAAACUCGAUUCCACAAUUCAAGAGUCAAAGGUAAGUGAGUUUAAUACUCAUUUAGCCGCAUGUUUCUUCUGCCUGAAAACCCAAUCUGGAGGAUCCUAUUCUUAUUACAUGUAAAGGAGUGUUGUCUAAUGUUGGCAUGUUCCUAGGUUCUGUCCAUGGAUUCUGUUUGCAGACAUGGCUAACUUCUUGUUCAACAGAAAGUUUUAAAGUCUUUCAACUUUAUGUUGUAAAAUAACUUUUUUAUUAUUCAAUUCAUGAGUUUUUCUUCUAUAACACAUCCUUCUCAUUAGCUGGAAGUGCAAAUUUUUUAGGCUUUUCCUGUAUGGCCUCUUUUUCUGCUCUAAAUAAAAUGGCAUUUUAUUUCCCUCCUGUGAGGGUACAACGUUUAUGUUUAAAUUUUCUGUUAGUUAAAUUGGCUGUCUUUGAUAUAGGGAACUUCCAGUUGUACUGAUUUGUAAUUCGAGUAUAUGAGAUUACCAACUGUAAUGGGAAUUGAUGCCAAAUUAAUUAUGUCAUCGGGUUUUUCAAUCAGUGUUCAUCAUUUAUUUCUGUUAACAAUUAAUAGCACAGCUUGUCUUCGCAGCUUCAUUGGUUCCUCUCAAAAAUAAUCUUGUAAAGACAAUUUUUGUUUUUUGGCAUGUUAAAUGCUAGAUUGUUUGUGUGUAUUGGUAUUUGUUAUACUAUGUAUUGGCAAGACAGUUUCUUGAAACUGACAAACUUUUCUCUAUGAAGAUUGAAGACAAUAUGAUAAGAUAAACUUUAACAAAAGCAUAGAUGCUUGCCAGCGCUGGACCUUUGAUUAAUAGUCCUCGCCUUUCGUUCUUGUUUCAUAUUCUUCUGCUAACAAAUCUUGAUCAUGAUUGUCUUCUCUUUUCUUUGCAACCCACAUAUAAAGUCUCGGCCAUAAGCCUCGAGGCCUAUUCUCUUUUGUAAAGGUGAGUUGAAGAAACAGCAAGGGACUCCAAAGCAAAUGGUGUAGAGCACCUUUCACUUAUCACGGGCACAGGAUUACUCUGACUUUCUGCAUUUUACUGUUGGCUAUGGUUUGAUGCAUUAUUUAUUGUUCUGAAAUACCAUUCUCGUUGGAAGUUCAAUCAUUACUGUUUCUUUUUUCCCCCCUUUUUACUUGAAGUUACCUGAACUUCCAUGCAUGCUCCAAUAGAACGAGUAAUGUAAUGUAGGUGUUGACCAACUCCAAAUAAGUAGUUAGUUGCCUAGUAGUUGGAAUAAAAUUCUCAAUGAUUGCGAGCCUCGAUAGCUUUAGGAUGAACCAGACCAUCAUGAAUUCUGGUGCAUCUUUUAAGGUCCAAUUUCUCCAAGUUUAUCAUCAAGCUAAAAAAUGCCCUAAUUCCUUUUCCAGUAUUUUCAUAAUGCGUUUACUAAAUUGGAACUGAAAUGAACUAGAAUAAAAACAGAAAAUGUAAAUUAGAAUAAAUUAUUUACUUGAAUUGUAGGAAUUAGAAUCGGAAUAAGCUGGAUUGUUAUUGAUGUGUCAACUUUGUCUUGGAAUCAAAAUAGAAAUGAGUUACAUUUUAACAACUUACUAAAAAGUACUUAACGAACUAUUGUCAUCAUUAUUAUUUUAUAUUUUAAUUAUGGUGAUUAUUUAUUCAAAAAUUAUUAUUAUUAAUUAUUUUUAAUAAUAUAUUAAUAUACUAAUUAAUUGAAAAAAAAAUUAAAUUAAUUAAUUGUUAAUAUAUUAAUUGAUUAAUUAUAAUAAUACAUUAAUUAAUUAUAACUAAAGACAAAACAUACAUUUUUUUAUUCUGUAACAGGGCAAAAUGGUCAUUCCAAAGAAUGUGAGUUAAAUUGUUUAAUUUAAUUUAUAUCUGUUGUAAUAUAUAGCUUAAUUAUAGUGUAAAAACAAUGACAAUGUAAUUUUUUUUUUAAUGCUAAUACUAAAACUUUAUCAUCAUGCAAUUUUUUAUAAUUACUAUUUUUUAAUUAUUUAUGGUAUAUUUGUUUAUUAAUUAAAUAAACUAUUAUUUUUUUAACUAUGACAUAAAUGUUUAGUAAAAACUAUUUAUGAAAUAGUACUACCGAAAACAUAUUCUUUAUUUUUAUUUUUUUCAAUUAUGUCUACCGAACACAUAUUACUAAUUUCAAUUUUAAAAUAUAGAAUAUAGAAAAUGAUACCAGACGCAUAUUUAAAAUCAAAAUACACCAAUUGUAAAAUUUCAUUUUCAUUUUCAUUUUCAUUUUUUUUUCAGAAAAUGCUAAUUCAGAAACAAUACCGACCAUAAACUUAUUUUUGGUAUGAAUAAUGUUGUGCUACUUUUAUAGAACUUACAUGCAACCUCAAAUUUAUUAGAAGUAUCAACUGAAACCCCUUUUACCAAGUUAUUACAACUAUAUUUACUUCUUGAAGUGGGAGUGAGAAAUGUGGAUUCCUCAUACUCCAGUGAUUACUUGUAUAUUUUAAGGGAUGUGAGAAUUCCACUCCAUGGGUUCCACCCAUUUUUUGAGUUUAUUAUUUUAUAAAAUUUCAUUUAUUAAAAAGAACAAUAUCAAUCUCGUUUAAAUAAAAUAUUAUUAUAUUUAUUUGAGAUUAAUGAUUAAUAAUAAAUAGUUUAUUCUAAGAAAAUAUUAAUUUUCUACUAUGUUAGUAAUAAUAAUGUUUCAUUUCUAUUGCUCUCAUCAAUAGUUUUUAAUUUAGAUAAUUAAAUUAAAACUAACAAAAAAUUAUUAUUUACAUAAUUAAUAAUAUUAAUAAUUAUUGUUAAUUUAAAAAUAUAAUGAAAUAAAUAUUUUAUUUUUCAAAUAUAUUUUUUUAUUAAUUUUUAAUUAAAAACUAUAAUUUUUUAAAUAAGGAUAAAACUGUAAUCUGAAACUACUUACUCUUGAUCCGAGACAAAGUAAACAUGUAAAUUGAAUUUUAAUUCCAAUUCCAUACUCCUAUUCUAGUGUAAGUAAACAAUCUACUCUCAUUCUACACUCCCAAUCUCAGGAUUCACACUUCUCAGGAUUCUCACUCUAUUCGAAAAUGUAAACGCUAACAAAAUGUAGACCAGACAUAGGUGUAUAUAUAUAUAUAUUCUUAAUCAAACAUCAAAUAAAAUUCUUAAUUAAGUAAACCAUAAGGUGAUUGCGCAUAAAAAAUAAUAAUAAUAUUAAUUUUCAUAAGAAUUUAUGCUCGUAGUAUUUCAUUACUUUUUAUUAACCGUUGCUUCAACUUAUGGUGGGUAUUAAGAGAACAAUAAUAAUAGAGUUAUAAACGGUUGCAUACUAUCAAUUAAAUUAACACUAUAAUUUGGUUUACCAUACAAAUCCUUAAUAUCAUAAAUAAUUAAAUUAUUGGGGUUUUAAAAUGCAGACUUGCCAUGGCUCCUAUAAGUAAUAUCAGCCGCACUCUUUGUUAUUGGUAAAAAAAAUUUCUAGGUACAAUUUGUGAAUUUGUACAACGUGCGGUAUUAAACAUUUGAAGCAUGAACUGACAAUGUUGUGUCAAUAAUAAAGAAAAGAAAACGAAUUGUAUAAUACACAGGUGUUCUAGUGUAACUUGGAUUCUUUUUCUUUAUAAGUGCACCUAUUAUGUGAUUUUUUUUUGAAAAAAGAAAAAGAAAAAAAGAACUCUUGAGAUUUUAAAAUUUUGUAAUUGCACUAUCUUUAGAUUGUCAGGAGAUUUUCUCUCCUUAAAGAUGCCCUUAAUCCAUAAACGGUCCAAAAAAUAAUUCAUAAAAUGAAUUGAUUAUUUUAGAUAAGUUUCAAGAAUGCACACCUUUUAUAACUCCAUAUUGCAUAACUCCUCAUUUCACUCAAUGGAUGCAUUUGUUCACUUUUUCUUUCUUGUAAAUUUUUGAAUGGCCGUAAUUCUAUAGAUUAUUAGUUAAGUGUUAUUAUUAUCAUUUUUUUGUUGAUGCAUAUGUGGGGUGGGGCCGAUUGGGGGGCAUGGAUCUCAAUACAGCAGAGGGCCAAAAUAUUUAUUCUUUAAGAGGAACCACAACCAACAACAAUGCCUUAAGUUCCAUUCCAUGUUACUUCUGUGCACUAGAUUGCAUAAACAACAUUAUCCAAGGUCAAAGUCUCUCAAAGACUUUGGUUACAAGACAAAGCAUGGGAUUGCAGCCAAAAAUUUCUUGUAGUGAAAGGCUCAUAAACUGAUGACAAUUGUCGGAUUGUUUUGGGCCUCAAUAGUUUUAAUAUUAUUCUCUUAAAAAUAUAUAUAUUGAUUAGAGAUGAGAGGAAGAAGAUGAUAUGAUUUAGCCAGCUGUACAAGAAAGAGUACGCAGUGGAGUCUAGAUUUUGAUUUCUCUUGUUAAAUUAUUUUCAAUUUACUACAAGGUAGAAUAAAUUGCAUUCUUAAAAAAUACUUUGAACAUCAUAUUUUUGUAUUACAAAUAUACCAAAAAUUAAAUUACUUUUUUUUUUAUCAGUAUAAACUAAAAUUUGCCUGAAUCCUCAUCUUUGUAAGUGGAAUUCUAUUAUGAAACUAAUAGUCCUUCCUAGUGCUAACUGUCACUUUGAACAUGUGUCAUCUCUAACAACAACUUCCAGACCUGCAGCUAGCUGCUUUUUAGCAUUAGAAGUAGCAUCCACAUUGGCUUUCAACUAGCCAUAAUUCGGAGGAGGGGACCAUUGUUUCUGUUUGUCAGUUUUCUUCCUUGAAGCAUACGCCAUAAUUAGGAGGAGGGCAAGCUUCCAAAUAGCAUUUCGAAUGGUAUUUUGAAAAUCUUCCACCCUUUUGGUUAAAAAAAAUAAAAACCUUAUUUCUAGUUCUUUCUUAACAAUCUUAUCACUUUAAGUUUUCCUCUUAAGUAGGAACAUCAUAUAUAUUAAUUUGUUCUUAAUACAAAUAAAACUAAAUAUUUAUGACUUAAAAGAUAGGUAUUGAAUGGCAGGCGUCUCACUCAAUAUAUAUAUAUAUAUAUAUAUAUUUAAAAGCAAUGGUGAUAUCAUCAUUUUUUGUACUGAUAUGAAAAUAUCACACUAGAUUUUUUUCUCGCAUUACAAAAAGUUUGAAUUCAAGAAUAAAUAAGCAAUAUCAAGAACAAUUUUUACAAAACGCCUCCAGGACAUGCCAUAUGAAUUUGUGAUACGAAAAAUAGUAUACUAGUCACUGGAUCUUCUUUUCCUCAUUAGGAAAAAUUAGAAAUGCAAUCUAAAUUGAUAUCAAUAACUAAUUUUAUAGUGAAUGGGUCUUGCACGAAAACAAGAAAUUUUUUUAUAAUAUAAGAAAUUAUUAGUCAUUUAUCCUAAAUUUAUUUUGUCUCAAAAAAUACUACAAAAACUUUAACUUGCUUUGUUUUUUUACCUUAAUUUAUAAUUUGUAUCAGUCACUCUCUAAAACGAUAGAAUCACUUCAUAAAAUGACAAAAUAAAAAUAAAUACAAAUGACAAAACCGGUUCAUUUUAUAAGGAUAAUUCAAUCCGUUUGGCUUCAAAUUACAAAUUAAAUUAUUUCAAAUAUUAUAAAUUAUUUUUAUACUGGGUGAUGGACCUAAUCAUUUUAAUACUUAUGACAAUUUAAUCUAUCUAAAUAUAAAAUUUUGAGUAGACUUAUGUUUGAGUAGGAGGAUAAUGUAAGAAAAUUUGGCACUUUUAUUCAACUGAAGAAAUUUUACAAUUUAAAUUAAAAACGAUAAAAUUUAAUAAUUAACUAUUAUUUGAACUAAUUGAAUCGUGCGCCAUCAUUUGUGUAAUGUAUCCUAUUGCAAAAUAAACGGCAGGAUGCGGUUUGCGUUAAUGUAUCCUAUUUUGGUAAUUCUCUUCUUCUUCUUCAACCCCAAAUAAUCAAAAGCUCUCCAAUGGCUUUCGUAUCCUCAACUCGUUCAUUUCAUUUUACUACAAUUUCAAUAUCAGCUCUUAGUUGUAAUUUCUCCUCUUCGUUCCCUCAUACCAGAAAACUCACAUCUUCAAUUUCGGAAAAUGAACCCUCAUAUCCGACUACAACAGCUAAACUGAAGGAGUCGCUACGACUGACAGUCAAAGACCGAGCCUCACUAGAAAAUUUCCUCAGAGAAAGGUUCAAAUCAUCAGGUGAAGGUGAUAUUACUACUAUUACUCCUAAUGAAGCCUUUUGUAUCUUUGAUUACAUGCUCAAUAUGCGCCCUUCUCCGCCUCCUGUCUGUUCCUUCAAUAUUUUGUUUGGUUGUCUCGCUAAGAAUAAACAUUAUGAUACUGUCCUUUCACUCUUCAAGAGACUCAAUUCAACUGGGUUGUUUCCAGAUCUUUAUACUUACAAUAUCUUGAUUAACUGCUUUUGCAAAAUGGGUCGAGUUUCUCAUGGUUUUGUUGUUCUUGGGAGAAUCCUCAGGUCUUGUUUUACUCCAAAUGCUGUGACCUUUACUUCUUUGAUUAAAGGUUUGUGUGCGGAGAGUAGAAUCAUGGAGGCUGCCGCAUUGUUUACGAAACUUAGAGUGUUUGGUUGUGAGCCUAAUGUUUUUACAUACAAUACUUUGAUUAAUGGAUUGUGUCGAACUGGCCAUACAAUUGUUGCUCUAAAUUUAUUUGAAGAGAUGGCUAGUGGAAAUGGGGAAUUUGGUGUUGUUUGUAAGCCAGAUGCUAUUACAUACAGUACUAUUAUAGAUGGUCUUUGUAAGGAAGGUUUUGUGGACAAGGCCAAGGAACUGUUUCUGCAGAUGAAGUAUGAGAAUAUUAACCCGGAUGUGGUUACCUAUACCUCUGUGAUUCGUGGUUUUUGUUAUGCUAAUGAUUGGAAUGAGGCCAAGUGUUUGCUAAUUGAGAUGAUGGACCAAGGGGUACAGCCCAAUGUUGUGACUUUCAAUGUGAUCAUGGAUGAGCUCUGCAAGAAUGGAAAGAUGGAUGAGGCAAGUCGGUUGUUGGACCUGAUGAUUCAGAUUGGUGUGCGUCCAAAUGCUUUUGUCUAUAACACAUUAAUGGACGGGUUUUGCUUGACAGGUAGAGUUAAUCGUGCGAAGGAACUAUUUGUUUCUAUGGAGAGUAUGGGUUGCACACAUACUGUUUUUAGUUACAGUAUUUUGAUAAAUGGUUACUGCAAGAAUAAGGAAAUAGAGGGAGCGUUAAGCCUUUAUGGAGAAAUGCUCUCUAAAGGAAUUAAGCCAGAUGUUGUUAUAUAUAACACCUUGUUUGUUGUCCUUUUUGAAAUACACCAGGUUGAGCGUGCUUUCAAGCUGUUUGAUGAGAUGCAACGUGAUGGCGUGGCAGCUGAUACCUGGACAUAUAGAACCUUUAUUGAUGGGCUCUGCAAGAAUAGUUAUAUCGUAGAGGCAGUUGAACUAUUUCGCACUUUGAGAAUUCUCAAGUGUGAACUUGAUAUUCGAGCCUACAACUGCCUCAUUGAUGGAUUAUGUAAAUCCGGCAGACUCGAAAUUGCAUGGGAACUAUUUUGUAGUUUGCCUCGUGGAGUCCUAAUAGCAGAUGUUGUAACCUAUAACAUCAUGAUCCAUGGGCUUUGUAACGAUGGGAAAAUGGACAAGGCGCAUGAUUUGUUUCUUGAUAUGGAAGCAAAAGGUGUAGCACCCGAUUGUGUCACAUUUAAUACGCUGAUGCUAGGUUGCAUCCGCAAUAAUGAGACAUCAAAAGUUGUUGAACUCCUUCACAGAAUGGAUGAGAGAAAUGUAAUACCAGAUGCAUCUACACUUUCAAUUGUUGUGGACUUGCUUGUAAAGAAUGAAAUUAGCUUAAACUCCAUUCCACAAUUCAAGAGUCAAAGGUAAGUGAGUUUAAUAAUGAUUUAGUCGCAUGUUUCUUCUGCCUGAAAACUCAAUGUGGAGGAUCCUAUUCUUAUUACAACAUGUAAAGGAGUGUUGUCUAAUGUUGGCAUGUUCCUAGGUUCUGUCCAUGGAUUCUGUUUGCAGACAUGGCUAACUUCUUGUUCAACAGAUAAGUUUUAAAGUCUUUCAACUUUAUGUUGUAAAAUAACUUUCUUAUUAUUCAAUUCAUGAGUUUUCCUUCUGUAACACAUACUUCUCAUUAGAUGGAAGUGCAAAUUUUUUAGGCUUUUCCCGUAUGGCCUCUUUUUCUGCUCUAAAUAAAAUGGCAUUUUAUUUCCCUCCUGUGAGGGUACAAGGUUUAUGUAUAAACUUUCUGUUAGUUAAAUUGGUUGUCUUUGAUAUAGGGAACUUCCAGUUGAGCUGAUUUGUAAUUCGAGUAUAUGAGAUUACCAACUGUAUUGGGAAUUAAUGCCAAAUUAAUUAUGUCAUCAGGUUUUUCAAUCAUUGUUCAUCAUUUAUUUCUGUUAACAAUUAAUAGCACAGCUUGUCUUCUCAGCUUCAUUGGUUCCUCUAAAAAAUAAUCUUGUAAAGACAAUUUUUUUUUUUUGGCAUGGUAAAUGCUAGAUUGUUUGUGGUAAAUACAAAAUUGAUACAAUCAACUUGUAUGAUAAGUUUUAAAAGUUUAUUCAUAUUUAUAUUACAUAAUUAAAAGUUCAUUCAUAUUUAUAUGAGAUAUCUAUUUUAGGACACAGUUUAAUAAUCAUGGAAACUAACCAUUUAAUAACAAUUAUGGUCGUUUAACCUAUCUAAACAUGAAAUUGUCAGCUGGCUUAUCUUUGAGUAGGAGGAUAAUGUAAGAAAAUUAAUAUUUUAAUGUACAAUUUGUAUGCCAAGCGAAAAAUUUCACAAUUUAAAUUAGAAAAAAUAAAAUUUAAUAGUUAAAUAUUAUUUGAGCCAAUUGACUAGUGGGACAUUAUUUGUUACUGUCCAAAAAGCAUAACAUUAUUUUGAUAAAUGGUUACUGCAAGAAUAAGGAAAUAGAGGAAGCGUUAAGCCUUUAUAGCGAAAUGCUCUCUAAAGGAAUAAAGCCAACAGUUGUUACAUAUAACACCUUGUUUCUUGGUCUUUUUGAAAUACACCAAGUUGAGCGUGCUUUAAAACUGUUUGAUGAGAUGCAGCGCAAUGGUGUGGUUGCUGAUACCUCUACGUAUAAUACCUUUACUGACGGGCUCUGCAAGAAUGGUUAUAUCGUAGAGGCAGUUGAACUAUUUCGUACUUUGAGAAUUCUAAAGUAUGAACUGUGGUGUCCAAUUUCAUCACAUUUGGUACGCUUAUCCAUGGUUUUAUCCGAAUCAAUGAGCCAUCAGAAGUUAUUCAACUUCUUCACAUGAUGAAGGAGAAAAAAGUAAUGCCAGAUGCGUCUACAGUUUCAAUCGUUGUCGACUUACUUGUAAAGAAUGAAAUUAGUCUGAACUCACUUCCGUCAUUUCCUGUCCAAGAGCGACAGGGGGAAGUUGAUGAGUCAAAUGUCAAGUUGUAGCAGCAUGUCCUGUCCAUUGCUUCAAUCCUAAAUGCUUUGAUCUACCUGAAAAGUAUACAAAUAUCGGAGUUAAAACAGAGCAGAUUAAAUCGUAUUGAUGAACUCAACUGAGAUAAAUGACAAAAGAAAACUAACUUUUCCUGUUCAAAGCUCGCACACCUUCCUUUAAGAGCUGACUUUCCAAGAAGAGAUCACCACAAUCGUUCACAUCAACAGUCCACUUGAAAUUUUUUAUAACCACAAUAGUCAUUCCAUUCAAACCACAUCCUUGAGAUCAGUUCCUUCUUCAAGCAAGUGGGAUGGUCUUCCUCUUGAGGAGACUCAGCAGCAACCAAUCAAAGCACAAUAAAGGUAACAUCCAGAAUAAUGAUCCAAAUUUUUGUGGACUUACAUGCAAAGAAUGAAAUUGGUUUAAACUCGAUUCCACAAUUCAAGAGUUAAUGAGUUUAUCUUGAUUCAGUAGCGUGUCUCUUCUGCUUUAAAACCAGAUCUGGGGAAUCCCAUUCUUAUUACAACAUGUGAAGGAGUGUUUGUGUAUUGUUGGCAUGUUCCCAGGUUCUGUUCACGGAUUCUGUUUGCAGACAUGGCUAACUCCUCGUUUCAUCAGAUAAGUUUCAAAGUCUGGCAACUUUUUGUUGUAAAAAUAACUAUUUCAUUAUUCAAUUCAUGAGUUUUCCUUCUAUGGUGCAUCUUUCUCAUUAGCUGUAGUUUCAAAAUUUUUAGGCUCUUCCUGCAUGACCUCUUUUUCUUCUCUAAAUAGAUAAAAUUUGUUUUUCAUUUUUCUCUUGCGAGGGUACAGGUUCAUGUUGAAACUUUCUGUUAGUUAAAUUGAUUGUCUUUGAUAUUCGAACUUCUAGCUGAACUAGUUUGCACUUCGAAUAUAUGAGAUUACCAACUGUAACGGGAAUUGGUGCCAAAUUGAUUAUGUUAUCAGGUUUCCCAGUCUGUGUUCAUCUUGUCUUCUCUGCUUCUUUGGCUCCUGUCAAAUAUAAACUUGUAAAGACAUUUUGUUUUGGCAUGGCACAUGCUAGAUUUUGUUUUUGGUUUGAAUGAUAUUAGACAUCUAAGUAAUUGUCCAAAUUUUUUCGUUCCUAGUGACAAGGCAUUCAAUUGAAAUGGUGACUCAUGAAUCAUGAUUGUGUAUGUUGGUAUUUGUUAUACUACGCGUUAGACAAACUUUGUUGAAACUGACAUACUUUUCUCUAUGGAGAUUGAAGACAACAUAAUAAGAUAAAAUUUAUCCAAAACAUAUAUACUUGAAAGGGCUGGAACGUCUGUUAUUAGUCCUCGCCUUCCAUUCUUGUUUCGUAUUCUUCUGCUAACAAAUCUUGAUCAUGAUAGUCUUCUCUUUCUAUACAACCCACAUAUAAAGUCUUGGCCAUAAGCCUCGAGGCCUAUUCUCUUUUGCAGUGGUGAGUUCACUCUCAGGAAUCGGAUCCUUCAAAUUCGAGCGAAUUUGAAGAAACUGCAAAAGCCUACAAAGCAAAUGGUGUAGAGAACCUUUUACUUAUCACGGGCACAGGAUUACUGACUUUCUGCAUUUUACAGUUGGCUAUGGUUUGAUGCAUUAUUUAUUGUUCUCAAAUUAUAUUCUCGUUGGAAGUUCAAUCAUUACUGUUUCUUUUUUCCCCCUCUUUUUACUUGAAGUUACCUGAAGUUCCAUGCAUGCUCCAAUCGAACAAGUAACGUAGGUGCUGACCAACUCAAAAUAAGUAGUCAGUUGCCUAGUGGUUGCUUUGCAUGAAAUUUGUUUUUGGUAUGAAUAAUGUUGUCUUAAUUUUACAAGCUUCCAUGCAACUCCUAAUUUGUUGGAAGCAUUAACUCAACCCGUCAUUUAAGGUUAGAUUUAACCAUUGACUUAUGUUGACUAUUAAAAGUACUAUAAUAUUUUUAUAUUUUAUAAAUAUAACGAAACCUCACUUUAUUAACAAAUAUAAUUUAAAAUAUAAAAAAUCAAUAAUAAAAAAUAACUAAAGUUGAAAUCCAAGGAGCAACUUCUAUCCUCUAACCAAGUUAUUAAAUAUUAGAAUAGAUAGAGGCAUAUACUUUUCUUCAUGAUUCAGAAUCAUAUCUCAAAGUCAAAUAAAAUUCUCAAUGAUUGCAGGCCUCAAUACCAUUAAGAUGAACUAGACCAUCAUGAAUUUUUGUGCAUCUUGCAAGGUCCAAUUUCUCCAAGUUUAUGAUCAAGCCAAAAAAUGUCAUAAUUCCUUUUAUAGUAAUUUCAUAGUGUUUACUAAACAAUAAUAGAAAUGGACUGAAAGACAAAUAGGGAAUGCAAAUUAGAAUAGGGAUGGCAAUGGGGAGGGGGGAGGGGACCAACAUCCCUGUACCCAUUCCUGAUGUUUUGUAUAUAUCCUUAUCCCCUUCCCGUCCCCAUCAGAAUUGCUUAAGGGGAUUCUCGUCCCCUCUCUAAAUAAUAACAAGGAAUCCCCAAGGGUCCCCGAUCCCCAAAUAACUGAUAUAUUUGUUUAGUUUUCAAACUUAAUUUAAUCAUAUUAACCUAAAAAUAUAUAAAAUAAAAUGAAAAUGAUCAUGAAUGGGCCUUAUAUUUCAUUCUACUCUUUCAAACUUUUGAUAUAUAUAAUAUUCAAAUAAUGAUUUUCAAAACAAAAUUCAAAUAAUGUGAUUUUUAUACAAUAUUGACGUGAUUGUUGUCCAUGAGUAAUGAUACCUGCUGAUGACCGACUAUGAUGCAACAAAGCCGCAUAUGUGGCUGCUAGUUGGCGUUGCGAUGAGUUAGGCUACUCGGCCACUGACAACACAACGUGCUACUGAGUUAUGAUGAGAUGAAGACGAGUUGAGUGCUUACUACUGCAUGAAUAUUUUGGAAAUGAUGAGCAAGACUGUGAGAAAGUGAUUUAGAGUUUGAUUUGUGAGUUAUGAGCUUGUGGUUGUAAUUAAGUCUAAAUUAUAUUAAACAUUUUAUAUUAACUAAUAUUUAUAUUAUUUGUAUAAAUAUUUUGAUAUUUGUUAUUUACACCAAUAUUUUAUAUUUUACAAUUUAAAAUUUAUUAUUUAUUGACUAAUAAUUCUAGAAAAAUAAAAAAAAAUAUUAAAAUAGAGAAAUGGGGAGGGGACGGGGAUUACACCUCAUCCCCAUCCCUUCCAUGAAUAAGUAAUUGGGUAAAAAAUCAUCAUCGUCCCUUCCCCGAAUAAGAAGUUUGGUAUAAAAUCGUACAUGUACCCUCACCAAAUGGGAAAAAUCCCCAAGAGCCCCCAUCCCCAUCGGGAUUUCUGCUAUUCCUAAAUUAGAAUAAAUUAUUUAUUUGAACUGUAGGAAUCAGAAUCAAAAUAAGUUGGAUUAUCAUUUAUGUGUCUAUUUUGUCUUGGAAUUAAAAUCAAAAUGAUUUACAUUUUAACAACUUACUAAAAAGUGCUUAAUGAGCUAUUGUCAUAAUUAUUAUUUUAUAUUUUAAUUAUGGUAAUUAUUUAUUCAAAAAUUAUAAUAAUUAUUAUUGUUAAUAAUAUAUUCAUAUAUUAAUUAAUUGAAAAUUAUUUAAAUUAAUUAAUUAUUAAUAGAUUAAUUAUAAUAAUACAUUAAUUAAUUAUAACUGAGGAUAAAAUAUAUAUUUUUUAUUUUGUGAGGGGAUAAAAUGGUCAUUUCAAGGAAUGCGAGAGUCAUUCCUGCCUCCCUUGAGAAUUAAUCUUCCAUUUGUCAUUCCCAAAUUGCUGUGGACUCAACGAUUUUCAAUUCCGAUUCUUGACUCUAUUUUGUGAAGUAAAUGCUCUCAAUAAUUUCGAUUCCUCAAUCCGAAGAAGUAAAUGCACAGGUACUGUUUCUUCUAAAGCUCAAACUUGUCAGGUUUGAGAGACCUGAUAGAUACUUCAGUCAUGCAUCUAAUCCAUCAUAAGACAAACUGAAAGUUAGAAAUAAAAGGGACAACUCAAGGAAAAUGCACACAAGUGAGGUUUCAAAAUUAAAAUAGACACUUCAGCUGCAAAUCAGCAUACAUAUACAAUGGAGGUCAUACAAAUAUCAUUUCUACAACCGCCCUACUGUAUUCUUGAAUGAAGAUUGGUUUAGAGUCAAGUAAUAAGAUAUUUAAACUCAAGACAAAAAAAUACAAUAAAAUUUGCUGGAACUUAUAAGUAACUUACUCUCAUCUCUCCUCCUAAUUUAAUUGGACAUGCGUAAAUUUUCCAUGUUACUAUGGAUGAAAUAAAUUUUCUUUUUAUAAUAUAUGUAUGCAUUAAAAAAAAUUAAUAAUAAUAACUUUUACAAGCAUUUAUGCUUGUAUUAAUACUCUACUUUUUACCACACGAUUGCUUCAGUAAAUGGUGGAUGUUAAGAGAACAAUAAUAAUAGAAUUACAAACAAUUGCAUACUAUUAACUAACUUAACACUAUAAUAUUGUUUAUGGUGUAAGCACUCGAGGUAAUGUUAAUAUGCCAAAGAUUUAAAAAUAUUAGUUGUAGCUUUUGAAGAAAAAUAUACUUUCAGUUAGAAGGAAAAAAAAAAAAAGAAGAAGCUUUCUAACAAGAUAUCAAAAUGGUUAAUAAAAAGAGCAGUAGUAAUGUUACGAGGGGGUUCAAAUGGAGGGGCACGGGAAUUUCCAAAUUUGUAUCCAUUAAAUUUACCAAAAAAAAAAGAGAUUGGAUUGUUUUUUACAUAUUCUUAAUGUCACUUACUUGUUAUUUUUUUAAAUAUCAAACUUGUCAACUCUUAGGGGAAACAGGUAUUGGGGAAACAUGUAUUUAAGGGACUUUGUGCGGCUAAUUCUCAUCAUUCGCUACUCUAAACUUUAUUUUACAGAUUUGCGCAUCAUUUAUAACAUUUAAUUAAAUACACUUAAAUUAUAUAGAUUCAACGGUUCAACCUUCAUAUAUCACAUGAAGAGAAUACUGAAUUUUUAACAUCUCUCAUCAAGAGAUUGUACUGUGUUUACUCAAUUAGAUACUAAGUUUAUAUUCCAACUAAUGUCUUAAUAGUAUUUGAAUUAAAAAUGAUAAAACUUAAUAAUUAAUUAUUGCUUAAGUCAAUUAAAUAGUAUCAUAUCAUUUGUUUUAAAAAAAAAAAUCUUUGUUGUUUCAAGAUUAUUAAUCCUUUUUCAUUUAUUUAUUAUCAUUACUAUCUGCAACUAAUCAUAAUGAUUUGCAUCAACAUGUGAUUGUUUUUUUGACUCCAAGAACAGCUUGUCAAUAACAUGAAGUUUAUUUCUGACCGCCAAAGACCGAUACUCACUGGACAAAUUCCUAAAAGAAAGAUUCAAAUUCCAAUGUCUUAUACUUAUUUGAUUUGCAGUUCUUGUUAUGCUAAUGACUAGAAUGAGGCAAAGUGUUUUUUAAUUGAGAUGAUGGAUCUAAGGGUGCAGCAUGAUGUUGUGAUUUUCAAUGUUGACCAUAUAUGAGCUUUGUGAAAAUAGAAAGAUAGAAGAAGCAUGUAGGUUUUUAGAAUCGCAUCAAUGGAUGGGUUUUGCUUGACCUAGGGAACUAUUUGUUUCUGUGGAGAAUAAAGGGUGCAGAAAUGAUGUUGCUAAAUACAACAAGUUGAUAAAUGGGUAAUGCAAAAAGAAAGAAGUAGAGGAAGCGUUAGGCCUUUAUAGCGAAAAGCUUUCUAAAAGAAUUCUCCUAGAAUAUGUUGGGGGGAUGGAGCAGCUGCCCCCAUCGUACCCUAAGCCAACAGACUCAAAAUUGGAUGGGAACUUUUUUCAUUGAUUAUUUCACGAACGCCCGAUUCCAAAUAUGUAACAUACAACAUCAUGAUUCAUGGGCUUUGUAACAAUGGGCAAAUGGAUACGGAAGCAAGGCGUACGACGCCCAGUUGUGUCAUGUUUACUAAGCUUAUGCGAAAGAAUGACACAUCAAAAGCUAUUGAACUUCCUCACUCAAUGGAUAAGAGAAAUGUAAUGCGGGAUGCAUCUACACUUGCAACUGUUGUGGACUUUCUUUUAAAGAAUGAUAUCCGUUUAAACUCGAUUCCAGAAUUCAAAAGCCAAAAUUGAAUAUUGAUUUAGUAGCAUGUUUUUCUGCCUGCUGAAAAUCGGAUAUGGAGGAUCCGUUUCAUUAUACCAAAUGUGAACGAGUGUCACGUUGUGAGGGCAAUGUAAAAUCCUCGCCAUCUGGUUCGGUUCACCAAAGAAACUUCCCCAUUAAUUUCUUGAAAAAGUUAAGUUAAAACUGUAAAUGAAAGAAUCAUGAUGAUCUGUUUUGGUUUGUGAGAUGUUAGAAAGAGGCCAUUGUUAAAUAGACAUGAAUGCUGGAGAAAACUGUUAUGUUCUUUUAUUGAAUUAAGUUGAUCCUACUCGAUCUCUGCAUUUUAGAUUCCUACUUCAGAGUCGAAGAAGUGAAAGAUGGUGUGAAAAAAUUGUAUGCUUAAGUUAAUUUGAAUCCUUGUUAUUUAAUAAAAGCUAAGCUUCUUUCAAUCCGCACCUACGGUGGUCAUUUUUUUAUAUAUAUGGCGGCUAAUAAAUGGAUAAGAAAUAAUGUUUUUAAAAGACAUUUUUUUUUUCAAACACUAAAAAAGUUGCAGAAAAAAUAUUUAAAUAAUCUUGAUGUAUGUAUCUAAUAGCGUGUUUGUUAAGUGGAAAUAAAAAUGAGGGAACGAGAUACAUAAACUUAUUUACUUAUAAAGAGAGUAGGAGGAUUGAGAAUUAAAUUUGCUGGCCUCACAUCAAUUUAUGACUAACUCUUCGAUUUCUAAUUUCUAAGGGGGAUUUAGAAUCUAAAUCUCAUUUUCAAGACGGACUAUACUACCCCGCCCAAAUGUAAUAAUUUUCAUUUUGUCCUUCUUUUAAAUAUUUAAAAAAUAAAUAAAAAUCGCAUGAGUACUGUGCAAAGAUGGAUUGUUCUUGUUAUUGUUGAUGUUACUAUUACUAGCACCGCAUUACAUAUUAUUAAAUUAUUUUAAAUAUUACAAAUUAAAUUAUUUUUAAAUGAGUGAUAAAACCUGAUCAUUUAAUAACCAUGGCCAUUUAACAUAUUUAAACAUAAAAUUUCGUGUUAAAUUAUGUUUGAGUAUAAGGAUAAUGUAAGAUAAUUGGUACUUUAAUUUACAUUUAUGUGCCAACUGAAUAAAGUUCGCUAUUUAAAUUAAAUUAGAAACGGUGAAAUUCAAAAAUUAACUAUUAUUUAGCCAUUCAAACGCAGAGACAAUUUGUCACGGUUCCAAAAGCAUAGCAUCAUUGAAAGUACCGUAUCCCACUUGUAUUAAUAUUCGGAAGAAUGGAAGGAAAAGGGCAUAUGUUUCUCUUCUUCUAUUUUGGUAAUUCUUUUCUUCUUCUUCAACCCCAAAUAAUCAAAAGCUCUCCAAUGGCUUUCGUAUCCUCAACUCGUUCCUUUCAUUUUACUUCAAUUUCAAUAUCGGCUCUUAGAUGUAAUUUCUCCUCUUCGUUCCCUCAUACCGGAAAACCCAAAUCUUCAAUUUUGGAAAAUGAGCCUUCAGAUCCGACUACAACAGCUAAACUGAAGGAGUCGCUACGACUGACGGUCAAAGACCGAGCCUCACUCGAAAAAUUCCUCAAAGAAAGGUGCAAAUCAUCCGGUGAAGGUGAUAUUACUUCUAUUACUCCUAAUGAAGCCUUGUGUGUCUUUGAUUACAUGCUCAAUAUGCGCCCUUCUAGGCCUCCCGUCACUUCCUUCAAUAUUUUGUUUGGUUGUCUUGCUAAGACUAAACAUUAUGAUACUGUCCUUUCACUAUUCAAGAGACUCAAUUCCACUGGGUUGUUUCCGGAUCGUUAUACUUACAAUAUCUUGAUUAACUGCUUUUGCAAAAUGGGUCGAGUUUCUCAUGGUUUUGUUGUUCUUGGGAGAAUCCUCAGGUUUUGCUUUACUCCAGAUGCUGUGACCUUUACUUCUUUGAUUAAAGGUUUGUGUGCGGAGAGUAGAAUCAUGGAGGCCGCCGCAUUGUUUACGAAACUUAGAGUGUUUGGUUGUGAGCCUGAUGUCAUUACGUACAAUACUUUGAUUAAUGGAUUGUGUCGAACCGGCCAUACAAUUGUUGCUCUAAAUUUAUUUGAAGAGACGGCCAAUGGAAAUAGGAAAUUUGGUGUUAUUUGUAAGCCAGACGCUAUUACAUACAAUACUAUUAUAGAUGGUCUUUGUAAGGAAGGUUUUGUGGACAAGGCCAAGGAACUGUUUCUGCAGAUGAAGGAUAAGAAUAUUAACCCAGAUGUGGUUACUUAUAACUCUUUGAUUCACGGUUUUUGUUACGCUAAUGAUUGGAACGAGGCGAAUUGUUUGCUUAUUGAGAUGAUGGAUCAAGGGGUACAGCCUGAUGUUGUGACUUUCAAUGUGAUCAUGGAUGAGCUCUGCAAGAAUGGGAAGAUGGAUGAAGCAAGUAGGUUGUUGGACCUGAUGAUUCAGCGUGGUGUGCGUCCAAAUACUUUUGUCUAUAGCACAUUAAUGGACGGGUUUUGCUUGACUGGUAGAGUUAAUCAUGCGAAGGAACUAUUUGUUUCUAUGGAGAGUAUGGGUUGCAAACAUACUGUUUUUAGUUACAGUAUUUUGAUAAAUGGUUACUGCAAGAAUAAGGAAAUAGAGGGAGCGUUAACCCUUUAUAGCGAAAUGCUCUCUAAAGGAAUUAAGCCAGAUGUUGUUAUAUAUAACACCUUGUUUACUGGCCUUUUUGAAAUACACCAGGUUGAGCGUGCUUUCAAGCUGUUAGAUGAGAUGCAACGUGAUGGCGUGGCAGCUGAUACCUGGACAUAUAGAACCUUUAUUGAUGGGCUCUGCAAGAAUGGUUAUAUUGUAGAGGCAGUUGAACUAUUUCGUACUUUGAGAAUUCUCAAGUGUGAACUUGAUAUUCGAGCCUACAACUGCCUCAUUGAUGGAUUAUGUAAAUCCGGCAGACUCGAAAUUGCACGGGAACUAUUUCGUAGUUUGCCUUGUGGAGUCCUAAUAGCAGAUGUUGUAACAUAUAACAUCAUGAUCCAUGCGCUUUGUACUGAUGGGAAAAUGGACAAGGCACAUGAUUUGUUUCUUGAUAUGGAAGCAAAAGGUGUAGCACCCAAUUGUGUCACAUUUAACACGCUUAUGCUAGGUUGCAUCCGCAAUAAUGAGACAUCAAAAGUUGUUGAACUCCUUCACAGAAUGGAUGAGAGAAAUGUAAUACCAGAUGGAUCUACACUUUCAAUUGUUGUGGACUUACUUGUAAAGAAUGAAAUUAGCUUAAACUCGAUUCCACAAUUCAAGAGUCAAAGUUAAAGUGAGUUUAUAUUGAUUUAGUCUCAUGUUUCUUCUGCCUGAAAACCCGAUCUGGAGGAUCCCAUUCUUAUUACAACAUGUAAAGGAGUGUUGUCUAAUGUUGGCAUGUUCCUAGGUUCUGUCCAUGGAUUCUGUUUGCAGACAUGGCUAACUUCUUGUCCAACAGAUAAGUUUUAAAGUCUUUCAACUUUAUGUUGUAAAAUAACAUUUUUAUUAUUCAAUUCAUGAGUUUUCCUUCUGUAACACAUCCUUCUCAUUAGCUGGAAGUGCAAAUUUUUUAGGCUUUUCCUUAUGGCCUCUUUUUCUUCUCUAAAUAAAAUGGCAUUUUGUUUCCCUCCUGUGAGGUACAACGUUUAUGUUCAAACUUUCUGUUAGUUAAGUUGGUUGUCUUUGAUAUAGGGAACUUCCAGUUGAACUGAUUUGUAAUUCGAGUAUAUGAGAUUACCAACUGUAUUGGGAAUUGAUGCCAAAUUAAUUAUGUCAUCAGGUUUUUCAAUCAGCGUUCAUCAUUUAUUUCUAUUAACAGUUAAUAGCACAGCUUGUCUUCUCAGCUUCAUUGAUUCCUCUAAAAAAUAAUCUUGUAAAGACAAUUUUUUUUUUUUUUUUUGGCGUGGUAAAUGCUAGAUAGUUUGUGGUCUGAAUGAUACUAAUAAUUGCCCAAAUUGCCAUGUAACAAGGAGUGUUGCAUAGUGAUGUCAUGCUCACAGGUACCACUCAUCAACAUGGCCAACGCUUUCGAUGCAGUCAUUAUUAUGGAAAUUCAAGAGUUCUCCUCCUAAGAGGUCUCUCUCUCGUUCUCUUAAUUUCCUUAUUCUGUUUUGGAAGUAAUGUAAUGGGAAAAUAGCAUUUAAUUUCCUUGUGUGUGACAUUUUCUUCUAUAAAUGCUAUAAAAUAUCUUUUUUUUUCAUCAUUGAUAUGUAUUACACAAUCAGAAGACUACUCGUAUUUAUAUGAAACAUCUACUUUAUGGCACAGUUCAGAUUUUUAUCCUUAUAAAUAUUGGAGGGAUAUCUUUAUGUUUCUUCUGUGAUAACGUUUCUGCGUGCUGCAACCUUUUUAUUAGAUUGAUAGAAUGUGAAUACAAGGAAAUUCUGUUUGAUAAUCUCGGCAAACCAGGAUUAAUAUGAAAUGGAGCGUCAUCAACAAAUACUUAGCAUAUUGCUGACUAUGAUUUGUUCUCCUCCCCUCAUUCUUUUUGUGAGUAGAAUUGGAUUGUGAAACUUGUUAUGUCAGCACAAGUGUUCUUACAAGUUGACGUAAAAUACACUGACUUGAAAUAAUGGCAUGGUAAUUGGUAUAGAUAAGCUAGCAUGAGUAUAUUUUGUCACCAAUUUCGCCAACCGCGUCUGGGUGUGGAAAUUAUAUUGCAUUUCUAAUGUCAUUUGAAAGAAAAACUUGCAAAAUUUGUAAUUUGUUAAAUCUGAACCGUGGUUCACAUCUACUCUUCCCGAACUUGAGUCAUAUGAUUCAAUUUUUUAGUGGGCAUGGCGAGAUAGAUUUCUACCAAGCCCAACCCAUUUAUCUACCCUUUUGUAAUUUUCUAUCAUGCAUAUAUUUAUAUUUUUGUAUAGUUAAUAUCUAAUUAUUUAUGUAUUUUUAUCGAAUAACUACUAAUUAUAUUUUUCUAAAAAAUCGGCAUGAAAAGUUCAACUUAAUAUUGAAUUAAAUUUUGAUAAGUAUAUGUCAAAUGUUUGGAAUUCUUUUUCUAGUCUUCAUGAUUGAUUAAUUGGAAAAUAAAUGUGUAUGUAUUAAAAUGGUAUUGGAUAAACAUGCCCCUAUCACCCAAGUUUUCCUUUGGAUAAUUUCCUAACUUGCAAGUUGAUAUCGAUGUUUAAAAAGAACCAAAAAAAAAAAAAAAAAAAUACAUUGAAAUCUUUAUAAAUUACUUCUUGACCUAAUAGUUGACACUUUCUCACCUUAUUCUUGAGGUUGAAGGUUUGAAUUUUCUUAUGUGGAUUUUAGGUGAACUACAGAAAAACAGCUUAUAUGAGACAUUUUCAAAAUAAGUAUGAAUGUGGUACUUAUUCAUCAGAUGGACAUAUUAAUGACGUGAUAAAUUCGUGUUAUGUAAAUUUUCCAGACUGUAUAUUUAUAUUAUAAUAUUAAAUAAAUAAAUAAGAAGAAAGAAAGGAAAAUGCAGCUUCCAAAUUUUUUCAUAGAUUGGCUAUAUGCACAAACAGCAAAUCAAAACAAAAAGAAAGGAUGUGACAUGACCUUACUUCCUGUUAUCCCAGUUAUGGAAUUCAAGUCAAUCUUUGAAGUAAUGCACUUUUAUUACUCUAUGACAGAGACAGGUCCAAGUCUUUCUUCCAAAUUCAUAAUCUUCAACAUUUCUCCAACCAAUCAAGCAAGGCUAGAGAUAGGUAACAUACAUUUUGAUGUACAUUUGGCUUUUGUAUCAUCUACUUCACUAGUGAUCCAUUAAAUGGAUCCACCAUUAACGUAAAUGCUAGUUUAACUAUUGACAGUGGAGCAAGUAUGUAUGUGGUCCCUACGCACAAGCAUACACGCCCAUUAAAGCAUUUACUCUCCUCAUCAUUGGAUAUGAAUUUUGUGAACUAUAUAUCUUUUUGGGGGUUUCAUUUAUCUUUCCGGUCUCUUAUGAUCAUUCACGGCUCCUGCUGCUGCUUCUUAUUGGCUCUUUGACAUCCUCUGUCUUGUUCUUGCUGUGUGUGUCAGCCACUAGCAACUGCUUCAAGCAAUGUGAGUUUGUUGCGUGAGCUUCCGUUUUGGUUAUUUUCAAUUAUUAUUUUUGUUGAUGGGUUUGUGAUUUUGUGCUGUAUUAUUACAGGAUUACACUGUUUAUAUGGAAGAGAGAAGAUAUGAUGAGCCUUAGCUGGUUCAGGAUUCGGACCAUCAGAUUCUUUCGGAUAUUCUUGGAAGGUUUAUAUUUCAAUCUCUUUAGCCGAAUUUACCUAUUAUAUUUUUAUCAUAUAAACGCUAUGCAAAAUGUUUAUGUUAAUGUAUGGCGAAAAUUGAAAAAUGGAAAAUAAAAAUAUUUGUGCUGCUUUCACUAUUUAUCUAUGUUAAUCUGUUUGAUAAAAUGAAGUGGAUGUCAUUAUUUCCAUGCAUCAGUAAUUACAAUCCAUAUUAUGCUCUUGCUAGUCUGUGCUCCAUUUGAACAUCGCAACGAACUUAUUUACUUACAUAUAUUUUGUGCUUUCUGGUUGGAAAUUGGAAGUUUUAACCAAUUUCUGAUCAGAAACAGCCCUUUUGAGUGCUAUGGCAGAAACCGCAGACGCGGCCUAACCUUCAUUUUUAAUUUGUAUCAAUUGGUAGUUUUUUAUAACUCUCUCUUUUCCCCUCUAUCAAUAAUGAAUGGUAUUCGCUAGAGAAACCGUAAGGGGACUAAUCAUUGUGAAAAGCACUAGGUGAUAACUAGCAGUUUCAAUUUGACAGCAAAGAAGCUGCUAAGGAAUCAAUUCUCUGUACAGCCACAAGCAUGGUUUUUCUGGAUUUGCCGCAGUCUUAACAGUCUCAAGCCAAGUUAACUGCAGGUGUUAUAAUGUUGGUGAAUGAAAUCUGUUUUAGCUGUCCAAAUUUGUUUUAUUAACCAAUAUUUUCUGUUGAUACGUUUUGUAUGAUGCAUUUGUGCAGAUCACCCUGCCGUGGUCUGUAUUGUACCAAAUAGGACACUCAGUUUGCACACAACCAAAAUGUUGUGAAUGAAAUUCCUUCAAAAGGCCAUUCAGGCGCUGGAAGUUAUUUUCAGAUUCAUGGAAAUAACUAUAAUACUGGUGGCAUUUAGUUUCCAAGUGAUCUUGGUAGUUCAAUAAGUUCUAGUUCUACACUUGUUUCCAAAGGUUUUGGUUACAUGAUGGUCUGCCCGUUGAAUUACAAACUUGUGAUGAUUUGUACAAGAGGAAAAAAUGUAUUGGUUGGAAUUUUUGUUUCAUAUGAUAUAACUCUGUGAAACAGCUUUACAUUUUGUGUUCAAGUUGAACAACAUACAAUUUGAACGAAGAUUAUUCAAUCAAAUUGAAGAUUUCUGUUUGAAUAUUUUGAAUGACAAAAUUAAAUUUACUUUCAUGCAGAUGCAGUAGCAUUUAAUCAAGUUCCUUGUGCUGUUGAAACAAAAAUAUAACAUCCUUGCUUGCAUUUCAACAUGAUAUGAUGCUACUCUUUUACUGUUAACCAACACACAUACAUCAUGUAGGCCUAAUGGCAAAUGUUGUAAUAUAUAACAUCAUGAUCCAUGGGCUUUGUAAUGAUGGGCAAAUGGACAAGGCAUCAUGAUCCCCCCCCCCCUCCUUUUUUGCUAUGGAUUGUAUUUCUUUUUUUUUCUACUUUUACUUGCGUUGACAAUUUGAGCUUGCUGUCUUGUGGUCUUAGAACCUGCUAAAGUAAGCGUGUAAGCGACAGUGAAGAAGGGGAAGGGUUUACUCGUCAUUUUCUUUUUGAAAGCAAUGCGUUUUAUGCGGUGAUAUUUUUUUUAUCUACGUUGUGAAAAAAUUUGACUGAUUUUGAAGAUCCUUAAAGAUCGUCCAUCUUGGUUCUGGCAUUGUUGCAGCCUUGAAGUUUGCAAAAUGAUUCCUGCUGGAUAAAUUGAACAGCUGCCUCUUUGAUGGAUUAUGUAAAUCUGGCAGACUUGAGUUUGCAUGUGAAUUGUUUCGUAGUUUGCCUCGUCGAGUCCUCGUGGCAGAUGCUGUAACAUAUAACAUCAUGAUCCAUGGGCAUUGUGACGACGGCCGAAUGGAUAAGGCACAUGAUUUAUUUCUUGAAAUGGAAGAAAAUGCUGUGGCACCCAAUGUGAUCACAUUUGGUACGUUUAUCCAUGGUUUUAGCCAAAUCAAUGAGCCAUCAAAAGUUAUUGACCUUCUUCACAAGAUGAGGGAGAAAAAAGUAAUGCCAGAUGCAUCUAUAGUUUCAAUCGUUGUGGACUUACUUGUAAAGAAUGAAAUUAGUCUGAACUCACUUCCGUCAUUUCCUGUCCAAGAGCGACAGGGGGAAGUUGAUGAGUGAAAUGUCAAGUUGUAGCAGCAUGUGCUUUCAGCCCAAAAUCCUGAUCCGCAGCAUCUCAUUCAUGUUACAAAAUGACAUGUUGGCUGGUGACAGCAUGUUCUCUCCGGUGCUGUUAAUGGAUUCUGAUUGUUCUUGUGAUCUGGAGAGUUUCAUUCAUAUUACAGAUCCUUAUCAGGACGAGCUAGCAUAUGUGAUCACCAACUGUACAUGGUUGUUGAUGCCAAAUUAAAUUAUGGUAUCAUGUUUUUCAACUUGUUAUUUAAUAUAGUGCUUCCAUUGAACGGCCACAAGAAACUGUAGAAUCACCGUGUCUUGUUUAGAAGCUAAUGAAUUAGUUGCACCUUGUCACUUUAUUGAGACUUGAUUGUCAUUUGUGCUUUGAAUUUACAGCAUAUUUUAUCCUUGCUGUACUCUUUGCAUAAUCACUUUUGAGGGCUGCUAGUAUGUAUAAUUGAAAAACCUUAUAUAAAUUGUAAGCAUUUUUAUUUAACUUGUUGUAAACGUCCAGUAUAUGUCUCUCCUGUGAAAUGAUUCAUUCUCCAUGCUGCUAGGGCCUAGGCUUAUGACUCUCUGAAAUGAUUUACCCUCACCUGCGCACAGACAUUUAUCACAUUCGAGAAAUCUUCAAACAAUGUGAAAAAAAUGCCUCAAACACGACAUAAACUUAGUUGUUUACAUGAAAAGUGGCAGAAACUUGGUGAAAUUACCGAUUAAACUUCCAAAUAACAUUUCAAAUGGUAUUGUGAAAAAUUUCACUCUUUUGGUAAUAAAAAAGAACCUUAUUUCUAGUUCUCUAUUAACAAUCUUACCACUAAGUUCUCUCUUAAGUAAACACAUAUAUAUGUUAAUUUAUUGUUAAUAUAAACAAAACUAAAUAUUUAUAACUUAAAAGAUAAGUGUUGAAUAGAGGCGUUCUCACAGGGAAAAAAAAAAAGUAUUUAAAAAUAGUGGUGAUAUCAUAAUUUUUUAUAUUGAUACGAGAAUAUCACACUAAAUUUUUAUACCAUGUAUUGGCAAGACAAAGUUUCUUGAAACUGACAAACUUUUCUCUAUGAAGAUUGAAGACAAUAUGAUAAGAUAAAAUUUAUCAAAAGCAUAUAUGCUUGCCAGGGCUGGACCUUUGAUUUUUAGUCCUCGCCUUUCGUUCUUGUUUCAUAUUCUUCUGCUAACAAAUCUUGAUCAGGAUGAGUCUCCUUUUUUCUUUAAAAAAAACCCACACGUAAAGUCUUGGCCAUAAGCCUCAAGACCUAUUGGCUGUUGCAGUGGUGAGUUCACUCUCAGGAAUCAAAUCUUUCAAAUUCAAGCGAAUUUGAAGAAGCUCGAAUUUGAAGAAAUUUCAAAUGCCUCGUGCAGGCCUAAUGCCAAAUGUUGUAACAUAUAACAUCACGAUUCAUGGGCUUUGUAACGAUGGGCAAAUGGAUGAGGUACAUGAUAUAUUCACGCUUCUGUCUAUAACACAUUAAUGGAUGGGUUUUGCUCGACGGGUAGAGUUAACCAUGCGGAGGAACUAUUUGGUUCUGCCAUUGUUGCAGCCUUGAAGUUUGCUAAACGUUUCCUGCUGGAUAGAUUGAAAAAGUUUGUCUGGAUGGCCUGGUUUUGAAUUGAUUUUAAUAGAAAACGAGCUUCAAGCAUGUGCUCCAACUACUCUGGCAUGAGGUAAUACUAUAAUUUAUUUAUUUUUAAUGAGUGAGGCUAUAAAUCCUGAAUUCCAACUUGACAUGGCAUUAAUCUGGUGAGUGGCAGAAUAUUAAUUAAAACAAAAUCAUUUUCAACUUAACUUUCACAUCAAACAGAGGGGCUAAUAUGCUUUCCGGAUUAUGAUCCGCUGGCAAUCGGAAAGCCAAAAAAUUAAUUAUUCCAUUAUUAAUUCCAAUAGUAUCGCUGUAUCAGCUAAAAAGCACAAGAUUAAAUUGAUUUACGCACUUGCACCAUUUAUUUAAGCAUACUGUUGGUUUAGCGUUUGCUUAAAUUUGAAAGUAGAGUGUUUCCAUGCCACAGUGCCAUGACAUUGGUGAUUGGCCAACAGUUUUUUUUUUUUUUUUUUUUGUGUAAUCUUUUUUGGUUGCAGUAAUAAAAUGUUAAUCCUUUCUUCUCAUGAAUGUUUUCUUGAACUGAAAUGUUAAUCAUUUCUUCAUGUUGAGGCAUUAAACUACUACAGACCUAGGGUGGCAAUAUAUGGAAGUAAAUGGUCGUUUAGUAGGACCCUUUAAUUAGGGUAUUAGCUGCUCAAUUUGGAGAUCUCAUGGACCAACAAUUUAUCUGGAAUGUCACAUUCACAUAUUUGAUUGAAAAAGGAAUUAAGGAAUUUCAGGUGGCCCGGAAACGCAACCAACUAUACCCGACAAUGGCAGAAGACAUUAUAGAUUAUCGAUUAUUGAGUUAAAUAUGAAUGGUGGGAUUUCAGGUGGCCUAAAAAGUUAAACAUGAAUGUUCUACAUAAGGUUAUCUGUAACUUGAAGUUCAACAAAAAGUUUUAAAACUAGAUAUUACAAUGGUGGGAUUUUGCCUUUUAUCUCUUGUUUCUCUUCCCUUAAUCGUUUCUUGGCAUGUUUUAUCAGCUCUUCCUUUGGGUCAUUUUGUAGGACGGGUUACACCAGCUAAGCACAUGGAAAGGUUAUGUAGACUGGACUCUGGAGGAAUAAACCUGCCCUGAGAGGCCGUCAUGGUGGCAUGCUUUGCUGCUUGUUUUGUCUUGGGUCGGUCUAUUUUUCCUAUUACUAAGGCACAUUUGCACCGUUAUGUCUUGCGAACGAUUAAACAUUUACACUUUAUAGUAAAAAAAAUUACAUAUUAAGAGAAAUAUUAUAUUUGCAUGCUGAUAUGAAUUAGCACUAGAAACAUGAGGCUUGCUAAUUAGAAUUGUUAUAUUGUCAAACUCAGCUGUGGAGGUACUGGAGAAUCCAGUAUAUCUGGCCAAUGCAAGCAACCUUGUGCUGUAUCUUUCAAAGUUUAUGCGUUUUUCACCAUCCAGCUCUGCAAACAUAGUUACCAAUUUCAUGGGUUCCUCUUUGCUCUACUUGGUGGCUUUUUUACGGUUGCUUUCUUCAACACCGACAGCAGCUAUGUCAUAAGUGAGCAAUAGAAUUCAUGGUAAGUUUUUUGUUAGGAUCAAACUUUUUAACUUGUUAAAUUUUUGUAAUUUCUUACUAAUAAGGCAGAGUUGCCUAUUUUUAUCCGAUUAUCAUGCCUCAUACAAUUUUCUUGGGAUUUGCUUCGAUGCCUCUGUGACUCACCAUGAAACUCAAAAACUUUCUAAAACUAGCUCCAAAUACACAUUUCUUUGGAUUAAACUUCAUUUGGUACUCCCUCAGCAAACCAAAUGUUUCUUUCAAAUGCUGCACGUGGUCACUCGAGUUGUGAGACUUUGUGAUAAUGCCAUCCUUAUAUGCCUCCAUUAUGUUCCCAAUCAGCAGCUUGAAGAUCUUAUUCACGAAUCUCUAGUAUGUUGCUCAAACAUUUUUCAAGCCAAAGGACACGACAUUAUAACAAUACAGCCCUUGGUUAGUAACAAAAGAAGUAUGCUCCUCAUCCUGCUCGAACAUCGGUACAUGGUUGUAAUCCAAAAAGGCAUCUACAAAGCUGAGAAGUCCAUGUCUAGUUGUGGAAUCGACCAACUGAGCUAUUUUAGGCAAUGGAAAAAUAUCUUUGAGGCAUACCUUAUUGAGGUUCAUGAAAUCCAUGCACAUUCUCCACCUCCUGUUCACUUUCUUCACCUACAUCACGUUCGAAAGCCGCUACGAGUUGUUUACCUCCUUGAUGAAACCUGCAUGUAAAAUUUUAUCCACUUCACUACUAAUGCCGUCAUACCUAUCCUAGUUAAAGCAUCUUCUGUUUUGUUUCAUCGGUCUCGCAUCUCUGCUCACUGCUAACUUGUGACAAGCCGCCUUGGCAUCGACCCCUGGCAUAUCUUUGUCCUGCAAGCCAAACACAUUAAAAUGUGGUUGCAACAACUCCACCAGCUUUGCUUCCAAAUCUUCCCCAUGGGUGGCUUUAAGUAUAGGCGAACAAGGCCGUCGCCUAAGCUCUCAUAUUUUAAGAAGACCUCAUUUUUUAAGUAUUUCCUUAAUAAUUCUCUAAUUAAUAAAAUAUUUUAAUAUAUAUUUUAAGAAAUUAAAAAGUUUAUUAGAUAUCUCUCUAUUCUUAAUUAUUCUAUAAUUAAGAAUUAUUUUUUAUAAAAAAAUCUAUAUUUGGGAACCUUAAUUUUAAAGAAAUAAUUAAUACUAUUCUUUAACCAUUAGUUCAUUCCUUUUCAAUUAUUCAAUGUUAGCAUAUUUGACUUUUAAUAUUUCUUUUAAUUUCUAUUAAAAACCUCAUAAUCUCAAGAAUUAGUAAAUGAAAAAAAUUUAUUGUUCGCUUCUCUACAAAUAAAAUUUUUAUAUUCGUUGGUUCAUUUAAAAUAAUUAGUUUCUUAAAAUAUAAAGUCCAUUUUUAUUUUUGAACAUCAAUUCAUCAUUUUAAAAUUUUUAUAUUCUAUCUUUCUAAAUAUUCUAUUUGAAAAUAAAAUUGUUUUUAUUUAUUUGUUUGUUUAUUUUUUAACGGUUUUAAUGGAAUAAAAAAAUUAUCUUCUUGACUAUUUUUUAGGUUUUAUUUUUUAAAUUUUUGAUUUUUUUAUUAUUGUUGAAAUUCAAGAAUUAAAGAUGGAAUAAAUUUUGAUCCUUUGUAUAUAUCUUUGAGUAUUAAAAUUACAAAACAAUAGAGGUCUCAUAAACAAAUUUCGCCUAAGGCCUCUCAAACUCUAAAGCUGGUCCUGAUCUUCCCCCUAGGGGUAGCCAUAAAUUUUGGGUUCGAUUUAGUUUAACCUUUAAAAUCCGAACAUGUUUAAACUUAGAACCUAUUCGUUUUUAAUUGUUUUGUCAAACUUUUAGGAGAUUAAAGGGGUGUGAAAGGACAUAAGAAGUCUUGUUAUGGCUUGGCCCUUUAUAAUAGAUAUUGGUGCACAUGCUCUUUUCUUCUAUAUUUUUAGAGAAAGAAAAUUAGUAUAUGAUCUGUUUGAAGUCGCCUGGAAUUUCAAAAAUCCUAUGCUUCAAUAUAUUAUUAAUCAAAUCCCCUUAUAUCUUGAUAAAAUCUUUUUUACUCUUUCAUUCGCAAGGAGCUGGAUGAUGGCUGGAAAUAAGGAAAUUCCUUUUUUUUUGUUUCACCCCAAUUGUUCUUGUAUUUGUAUAUUGCCAUAUAUCAUAAAAUACAAAUUUAUGUAUGUCAAAAUGAAAUCGAUCUUAAAAAAAGAAAAAAAAGAUCUCGCGUUACUGCCGCUUACACACCCCCAUGCCACAGCUGCUAUUAAUUCCGUUUGGCGCACCAGCAUUACAGCUUCUAGCUGUUCUUUCUUCCUUGAGUUGAUUUGGUUCCUCGUUCUAGGCUUCAAGUUAAUGUCGUCUUCAGCCAUUCUAGAGUCGUUUACUUUUGAUCUAGCUGUUGCUGUCUCUACCUCCUUCUUCAUUAAUUGCCAUCAGCCGCAUAAAGGAAGGAUGUGAGUUUAUGUUUACGAUUCCUAAUGGUGAUGAAUAAGACAUGGUGUAAGAGAUGUUGUUAACUGAAUUUAGUAUGCUUUCUAGGAUCAUAUGCAAUACAUAUGUAUUUCUUGUAUAAUUGUUGUUUGUAUAUUGUAUUUCAAUCGGGCAUGGCUAUCUUUGUCUUACUCUUGUACAUUUCUAUUACUUUAGAUAACUAUUAAGGUGUAGAUGGCUUUCACGGAUAAAUAAUAAGCAAUUUUAGGAGCUUUUCGUGUAAAAAUAUAGAACCUAUAUUGUUGAAAUGUCGAGUAUACUUAGUAGUUGAUAUUUGUUUAUAUUUUUACAUUAAUCUGGGAUGGGAUUUGAACUUUAUAACCGAAAUUGAAUCUAAACCAAAAUUAAGAUAAGAAUAUUCAAACUAAAUCGAUCCAAAAUGCAAACCUAAACCAAAUUGAGCUAAAUUAAAUUUGAUUUAGUUUGGUUUGGGUUUACUCUCUAAACCUGAUUGGAUUGACUUCUCCAACCCAAUUAAGUUUUAGCCCAAAUUGAAACCUAAACAACCUGAAUCAAAACCCGAUUUGCCCACCCUUAUGAUACGAACCCAUCCAAAAACUAACGCAACCCUAAUCAAUUUAAUCUCUAAGAUUAAAUAGAAGCACUACCCAAUGUUCAAUGAAAGCAUGAACCUUAGUAUGUGAGGAUGCUACAAUCAAUUAUGGAUGAUUUGAUUAUAAGUUAAGAGUUUGAAUGACACAGAAAUUUGAUAAAUUCAAAUAGUUUGUUUAAGAAUAAAAAAGAAUUAACUCUCUCACUAAUUGCAUCAAAAUUUAUUUGUCUUUGUUUAUUAGAUGCGAGUACAUUAUAUAGGAUUGGUUACAAAAAUUUUUAGAAAUAAAUCCUAAACCGAAAUCAAAUCAGAAUCCUAAUCUAAUGCAAAUAAGAAAAGAAUUUUAGUCAAAUCAUAAUCCUAAUCAAAGCAAGUAGGAAAGAAUCUAAAUCGAGUCAAAAUUAUAAUCUAAGUAAAUAGGAAAGAAUCUAAAUAAAAUCAUAAUCCUAAUCGGUUUAAAUAAAUUACAUCAAUUAAAAUAAAAACUCAACAAUUAAAAGAGAAAUAACUUCUUGUUUCUCCACCAGCAUCAUCCAGAAACGGGAAAGUAUUCAAAAAGAAAAGUAGCAUAUUUUUCAAAUGGAAAAGUAUAUGAAAAAGAAAAAUAAGAUAUUUUCUCGCCGUAAUGUGCAAGCCAACUUCCUAUUUUAUGGAAGUGAUUAUUUGGAAACUUUAAGAGCCGUAAUCAUGUAUUUAUCACGUGCAAUUCCUUCAAUAGGCCUCUAUAAAUUUGAUCGAGCCUCAAUUACUUGAAUAAACCCAUUAAACGCUUCUUUAAAUUUGUUUGUUCGAGCUCUAGUGACAGGUCCAACGAUAACUUGAAUAGGAUUUGAAUAUAUCUCAUCCCACGUGCUUGUGAUAGUUUUGUCCUCAAUCUAAUCAUUUUACUUCCCUAAUCUCGACCCAAUCUUUAAAAUUUUUUCAUGCUAGCUUGACUUUACUAUGACUGCCUUGAGAUUUUCAACUGGUUUUUAUCUCUCUUUCUUGAAAUCUCUUCAAGUGUCAAGUUAUCUACGUGGCUUCUUUAGUCGCGGACACAUAAUCGCACCUAACAAUUCUCUAGUCACCCUUUACAACUUUUGCCACACUAUUUACUCAUUCUUUGAGUGCCAUGUAAUGGUUAGACAUCAUGGACUUGCUAAUCCUCAUAAAGGGUCUUCCAAAAAUUAUUUGAUAUGGGCUGUCUUCCUCGACUAUUAUAAAAAAAACUGGCAUGAUGGUCUUUUCAAAUGGUCCAGAGCCGAUCGUUACUAGCAGCUCUAGGCAUUAAUUUUCCUCUUCUAUAUCCUUUCAAAGAACUGUUGGUGUGCUUGUUGGGUAAAAAUUCAAAUACUAUGGGUGUCAAUGUGUAAGUAUACACAACAAGUAAUAUAAUGAUAAAUAUACAAGAUCAUCUCCACAGGGGUUGAUGUUACGAAAAUUACUACAGCAAGCUUAACAAUUUUGGUUGAAGUGAAAGUAGAUUGAUCAAUUAAACAAAUAAACUACCUAAUAAAAUGCAAUAAGUAAAUAUGCAGAAAAGCAAACUCUCAGGUCAAACACAAAAAUAAAAUCAAUAGGAAUGAAGUAGUUGAGUGACUAAACUCUUUUAAUGGAAUUGACUAUUUCUUGCAAAUUUCGAUUCAGUUGCUGCAGCAUCUGCUACAGUACUAGGCAUAAUCCUCAUGCAUCAUCAGCUGUCGCAUGUUGGAUGUCUUAUAUCUAUAUGCAACCUAACAAUGACCAAUUGUUAUGCCAACAUAAUAUAUAUCAUUACACAUUUAGGUUCUAUUUACCCUAUAAGGUGAAUCCCUAUAUCUAGUUCAUCACUAAUUUUAGAUUAAGUAUGACCUUUUUUGGAAUCAAGUUGAACUCAAUCUAGGAACCCAAUCUAAAACUAAAUAUUAUUCUAAUAUGUUCCACUAAGAUAAGCCAUUUUGUGGCUCUUUCCUAGCUUGUACCAUUAAAUGGGUAGUCAGCUAAAAUAAUGACUUUAAAUAAAUACUAUCACAACAAAAUGUUAUAGCAAACAUGCAGCCAGGGACGUAGCCAGGAUUUUGAUCGAGUUGGGGCACAUUUAAAAUAAAAAAUGACUUGAAUGCGCGAUUGCUCGUGUGGUAAGUGUGGGCCCCACAAACUCCAAAUGGGAGCUUGCCACAUGUACAAUCGUGCUCCUUAUAGAGUGUUUCUGACUGCAUCUAAUUAAAAUGCUAUUAAAAUAUAAUACACUUCUAAAAAUUUAGAUGGAAAUAUAUAACAUUAUGUUGAGUGUUAGAAAAUGGAUAUUUAUAAAGGAGAAAAUCGUCAUUUUACAUUUCAAGUCUUACUAACAACCCUUACUUUUAUGUAUUUAAGCUUCUUGUAAUUUAAUUAUGUGUGUUUGAUUUUAAUUAAGUAUUUUAUGUAUUUUAGGGGCAUCAUAGUCAAUUCACAAUAAAUGAGAGAUCAAACGAUAAAACGGACAUCACUUUUGAACUCAGGACGGUCGAAAACCUUAAGAGAAGCAUAAAAGGAAAAAUGGCACUGUUCACAUGUACGGUACUAUUCAUAUGUACGGUACUGUCUACGUUACUGUUCACGACACUGUUCAUAUAGACGGAUCGAUGACGUGGCAUUGACCGAUGAUGUGGCAUUCACUGAUGAGGUGUCAUGAUCCUGUUGGACUAAAAUUCUUAUGUACUGUUGAUGGUGACGUGGCAGCAUAUUAGUGGACUAAAAAACGUGUGUACGGUACAUGCAACACAUGGGAAUAUUUUCAACCAAACCGCAUUACUGUUCAAACCGUGUCACUGUUCAAACCGCGUGGUCAAACCGUGUUACUGUUCAAACUGCGUACUGUUCACUGAUGACGUGGCACAAUCCUGAGCAUCCAAACUGUUUUCAAUCCGAUGGCCAUGAUUUACUCAAUGUAUCUAUAAAAAUGGGACUUCUCCCCCCGAACGCAUGCGAUUGCUCAUGAGGAAUAACAUACCUGCUGAUAUCUUUUGGUUAAUCGAGGUGAAAGUACGAUUGGCAGGUGAGUUACCUCCAAAAUUUAUUGCAUACAUGCCUGGUUGUGGUAAAGAAAAUUAUGCAAGAAAACGAUGAGCUCGAAGAAUUUCUGUUGCUUGUCAUAAGUAUGCCAGAAUGAGUUGCGAUAAAAAUCCAUAUUCUUUAGGAAUGGCGUCUGAUAACAGGGAAUAUAAGAUUCAAUUCAUUAGGGAUGACUUGAAUAAGGAGUCAUUGGAUGAUAUCCUUUUAUCUCUUGAAACGCAUCCCAUUAGAUAUGUGCAAGGAACGAUUAUUCAGUUAUGACCAUUAUUCCAGAAAGAGCAUGCACGAUAUAGUCUCGGGAAUCUGACUAUAAACGACCAUGUUUGCCAGUUUAUAAAAAAAUUGGAUGGGAAGCCUAUCCUAGACCCAUAAAGGGCGUUCAAGCCGUUUCUGGACGUAAAACCAGAGGAAGAUGUGAGCCACAGUCGCAACUACCUGUAAAUAUCCUUUUACUUUACUGUUAUUUUAUUUUACUGUUGUUUUAUUGUUUGUAUUAUUGUCUUUAAUAAUUUUAUUGUUGUUUGCUUUUUCCUUUUUACUGUUUCCUUUUUUACUCGCGAACCAUGUGCUUUACGCGUUAUUUGACACUGACAUACUACCUCAUACACAGCUGUGACCCACUGUCCCCAAGAUUCUUAAAUAUGAAUUUUUGUCAAGCACUCACAAAUUAUUUUUGAGAAGUAUCCCAAUGACAGCUACUCCACAUAGACAAUUUAAGAACAUUUGUGUGCUUUCUGGAUUUAACUAUGGCAAACCUAAAGAGUUCGUUGAGGCAGCCAUAGAUCUUGGUCGAAGCAUAGCAGAGAGAAAAUUACACUUGGUGUAUAGAGGAGGUAACUGAGGGUUAUUAAAAUUGGUCUCAAAAGCUGCUUUUGUCAGAGGAAGCCAAGUGCUAGGCAUCAUCCCAAGCGUCCUAAAACCUUUGGGCAGUUUGUCUGACUCAUCGACUGGAGAAGAGUUAGUCGACUCAGGUAUGCAAGCAAGAAUAACUGAAAUGCUUAAUCAUGCUGAUGUUUUUAUUUUCCUUCCAGGAGAUCUUACAACACUAGAGGCACUUAUCACACUAGCAUCUUGGGCCCAUCUGCACAUUCACCAGAAACCCAUCGGUUUGCUAAAUGUCAAUAACUUUUAUGAUGGCUUUAUCGCAUUUCUUAACCAUGCAAUAAAAAAAUAUUUCAUUCCUUCAAAUGCGAAAAAACUUUUUAUUUGUGCUCACACUGCUACUUGAUCUGUUACAAGCUCAUAGACCGGAGCCAAACCCCUGGACCUUUGUGUUGGAGCGUCCAAAUAAUGAUGGUAACAGUAGCAGCAGUAAGAAGUACAAAUUAGAUUUAACUCUCCGCUUGUAAAUAUUUUCUUUUGUGUUGCACCACUCAGGUGAUGCCUUCUACACUCUACUUCUUUCCUUUAAAACAUUGAGGACAAUGUUUCAUUCUGGUUGGGGAGAGGGAAUAGUCGACAAUUGUGGAAUCUUGGUUAAGUUUUUACUGAUUUUUUGUUGUAGAAACUAACUGUUGCUAACUUUUUAUGUUGAAGAUGGCUGAAUAUGGAGUGUAGUGACUCUAGAAACGCAUCUUCAUUGUUUGAAAAAAAUUAAAAAAAAAAAUCAGACAUUUUCUUUUUCUUUAUUAAGUUUUGAUGUUCAUUUUUCUUCUUCUUUUUAAUUUCUCCUCUAUAAAUAUACAUUUUCAAAUUGUUGAGUCGAAGAUGGCUGAAUAUGGAGUGUAGUGCCUCUAGAAACGCAUCUUCUUAGUAAAAAAAAAAAUUUCUUUUUCUAUCAUAUUAAGUGUAACUUUUCUAAUUAGUUUUUAUACAUCCUUUUCACAUUUCUGCAUGCAUAUUUUCCUUUCAUGUUUAGGAUAGGUUGGGGGGUAUAACGUUGUUUAAAAAAAAACAAAAACAAAAAAAAAAAUUUGUGUGAUUUGUUUUAAUAUUGGAUGACAUGAUUAAUUUCAUAUUUUAGUAUUUGUAUUAUCUUUGGUCUUAAGUGAUGUUACACUAUGUUUGCUACUCUACAUGUUGAUGUCGGAGAUAAAUAUGAGUUGCUUGAAGGAAUGAACAUGUCAUAAUAAGUACCAAGUGAGUUUUUGAGCCUAUCAUUUUUCUUGGAGAGUAACCCUUUCCCACAUUUUUUAUACAGCUUAACAGUUUAUUAUUUUAUACACGAUCUCUAGAUUUCUUUUGAGUUAACCCUUAAAACAAAAUUUGUAAAAAAAAGAAGAAAAAAAUGUGUGUUGCUACAUUUGGAGGUCCAUCUAACUAGUAGAUAUGGAAGAUUAUUUAGAGCCCUAAAAGACGGUGGAAAGGUCAUCUUUGAUCCGUUUGAGUCUUUCUACCCAUCCCUUUUAUGAAAUAUCUAUUGUUAACCCUUUUGAGCCUUUUAAAAAAAAAUUAAAAAAAAAAAACCUUUUCUUUGUCAACUUAUCAUCUUGACCCACUCUGAUUUGGAGUAUUAUCCAAUAUCUUACAAGUUCCAUCACCUAUUUAUGUUUGAGAAAAAUGUAAAUAAAUAUUUUGUACAGUGAAGUUAUGCCCAACAAAAGCAAAAACAAAAAAACAAAAAAUUGUUAUUUAAAAAAAAAAAGAAAAAAAUAACAAUAAAAGGUGAAAUCCACCUUACAACUUCAAAAAAAAAAGUUCUCUAUAGUUUUCUCAAACAUACACUUUGUUUUCCUUAUUUCCCUUCUUUGUUAGUCAUGUCCCUAGCCUACGUUACGUCCUAAUAAAAAUCCUUCUUGAUUUUAGGGAACUAUAGUCUGAAGUAAAUUGGGUUGACUACCAUUUUUGUUUGACUUGAGAUCGUAUUAUUUCUAAACUGAGGGCAUAUUUCUUUCAUCUUGGUGAGAGCAUGUGAUAUCACUUCUUUAUUAUUUUCUCUCAAUUAUCAUUCAUUGGAAUAACUAUUUUUAUUGGGUUUAAUUUCUUUGUAAGAGUGUCACUACUUCCAGUGAGAUUUUGGGGUUUGACAUGUCAUUCUUGAAAGUAACUGUGACAAUCUACUAAGCUGAUUCAUGUGGAUGGUUGAUGUGGGCGUGAUGUUCCUUUAGACUGGAGAUAAUGCUUAUACUUUUAUUUGAUUACUAUCAUUAGUCUGAUUAAAUAAACACGAGUGUUUAAAAAAAAAUCAUUUUGAAUUUGAAUUUUAUUUUCGCUUUAUUUGCUAGGGACUAGCAAUAAGUUGGUUGGGGGGUGUGUUGAGUAUUAGAAAAUGUAUAUUUAUAAAGGAGAAAAUAGUCAUUUUACAUUUCAAGUCUUACUAACAACCCUUACUUUUAUGUAUUUAAGAUUCUUGUAAUUUAAUUAUGUGUGUUUGAUUUUAAUUAAGUAUUUUAUGUAUUUUAGGGGCAUCAUAGUCAUUUCACAAUAAACAAGAGAUCAAACGGCAAAACGGACAUCACUUUUGAACUCAGGACGGUCGAAAACCUUAGGAGGAGCAUAAAAGGAAAAAUGGCACUGUUCACAUGUACGAUACUAUUCACAUGUACGGUACUGUCUACGUUAUUGUUCACGACACUGUUUAUAUAGACGGAUCGAUGACGUGGCAUUGACCGAUGAUGUGGCAUUCACUAAUGAGGUGUCAUGAUCAUGUUGGACUAAAAUUCUUAUGUACUGUUGAUGGUGACGUGGCAGCAUAUUAGUGGACCAAAAAACGUGUAUAUGGUACAUGCAACACAUGGGAUUAUUUUCAAUCAAACCGCGUUACUGUUCAAACCGUGUUACUGUUCAAACCGCGUGGUCAAACCGCGUACUAUUCACGCAUAUUGUUGACUGAUGACAUGGCGCAAUCUUGAGCGUUCAAACUGUUUUCAAUCCGAUGGCCAUUAUUUACUCAAUGUAUCUAUAAAAAUAGGACCUCUCCCCCCUAAUUUGGAUCUCUGAAUCCAUUUUUGGACUCUAUUUUAUGUAAUUCCUUCUCCAUCUUGUAUUUUCUACGUAUUUUAAUAAAUUCUCAUUUUGCCCCUAGUUCAAUUAUGAGUGGCUAAUUUUCUUUCAAGUUUGGGUUGAAGGUGAAGUCUCAACAUGUGUCAUGGGCUUUAUUUGGUAAAUUUAUUUUCUCUUCCCCUCUUGUUUUUGUGGAUGUUUUGACUUUUCGUUGACAAAUAAUAAUAAUCUUGUCUAGUACCGCCCUGGUUUCACCGGCUCCCUAGUAUAAGAUUAUUAUUAUUUGGCACGAUAAGCCCUUAGCACCAUAUUGAUUAGAGCGUGGUUCAUGAGGUGUGGAUUCCCCCCUCAUGAUUUAAUUGGCAUUAAUAAGGAUUAUUUAGCCCAUGAUGCAUAUUGAUACGGAUCCAGAUACUCAAGUACGUCAUUUCAAUAGAUUUUCACUUCAAUUUAUUCUUGCCAUUUCAAUUCCAAUUUUAGGAUCAUUUAAGUCACUUUCACCACAAAAUCCAACCACUUCAUACAAAAUUAAUUCUACAUAUAACUAAAAUCCACCUCCUCGUGGGAUCGACACUCGUCACCAUUAGUCUAUUCUACAAUAGAUUCGUGCGCUUGCGAGUUCAAUAAAAUUUGCACAACACAUUACAACUAUAAUAUUCAUUGCUAAUAAAUUUACUUAGUAUAAUUGGUCUCAGUGAAAACUUCUCAAUGCGAUUUUAUGAGUUGCAAAUAAUGCAUUAUCAAUAUAAGCACAAAUAUAUUUUUCAAUAUACAAGACUAGGUUAUAGCUUAAUUUGCUCUUAAAAUCUUUUAAUAAUAACAAAAAAUAUUUAUAUAUUGUAACACACAAAACAAAAUGAAUGCUAGAUAAAAUUCUAGAUUUUAAAACUAGACAAAAGAUUAAUCAAAAAAUUAAAAAUUAGAAUUGGGUAGACUUACAACUUAUGGUUCAAUGUCGAAAUACCAACUAUUUGAUUUUGCUUGAAUAAAAAACAAAACGAUUAAAGACUGGUCCAUUAACCAUUUUACUAACAUUUUGUUGUGAUUGUUUUUCAUUUUAAUAUUUGUUCUUGUGUCUUUAAUCCAGUUUCAUGAAAUGUUAAUAACUAAUUAAAUUAUUUAUAAUUAGAAAUUUAAACUAUGGACAAUAUGAAAUAUUUUAAAAUUACUAGAGUCAGUUUCAAAUUUUACAAUUCAGCUGGGGUAUUUUUCAUAAAUAACAAAUAAAAUACAUUUUUUUAGUAUAAUUAUAAAAAAAAUUUAAAAGCCAGCAGGGGCAUGUGCCCCACUCGUCCCAUGCUGGCUCUGUCUCUGCAUGUAGCAACAUAUAAAUUCAGUUAAUGAGCCAUUAAAGUUGUUUAUCACUCAACCACAAGGAAUAUUAGUUCAUGAUUUUCAAAACGAAACUAAACAACAAAGUUUCAGCCGGCAAAUACAUUCUCAUGUCAAAGAAUAAAAAUAAAUCAAAAUAAGAAUAAGAAAGACUGAAUUCCAAUUGAUUCCGGCAAACUUCUCCACUGAUGCAGUCUUGAUUCUUGCUCUUGAAAUCUAUUUUUCCUUGUUUCUUUUCUAUUUAUGAUCUUGGUUGACGGCCGCCUUUUUUCUUUUGUACAUGUGCCUCUGUUAUAGUCCAAAAUUAGGGUAAACGGAAGUUCAGAGCGCGCAUCUUCCCAAUUAGGAAAUUGCAGAUUGCAAUCCGUUAAGUAUCUUGCGCGAAAUCUUCUCUGUCAUUGUUCCCGAAUUGCUACAUCACGGUUUUCUACAGCAAUAGCUACAGUAUAUGCACUGUUCCAAAUUUACUCCAAUUCUUCUAUAGUCGUAUUCUUUUGUCCUUUUUGCAAACCCAUUGCUACAACAUCCUUCCCAUGAAAAUUUAACUUCAGGUUACCUACAAUUAUGCAUAUGUUUUAAGGACACAAUUAUUAGAAAUCAAGCAAAUUUUAUUAAACUUAAACUAAAAUGAAUGUUAAUGUAAACUAUCAUUAAAUGCACUAAAACACAUCAAUUACCCUCUAAGUAAUCUUGAUUUUAAGUCUAAAAGUAUCAUGAUAAUCUUAUUUCAUAGAGUUUUCAAUACUCUAACUUCAAGUUGCACGAAUCUAUAAGGAUUCUUAUGAAUUCUUUGCUCGUUACAUUAGCUUUUAACACCAAAACAUCUUCAUGCAAGUAUAGUAUCCCUUCCUCAUCGUAUUAUGUCCAAAUGAUUGGAACUUGCUUGGUUCUUGCUCAUUUUGUCAAUGAAGCAUUGAAGAGAAUAUCAUGACUUGUUAUUGCAUACCUUUUGUAGUACUUCUAGGCUUUGUUAGAGUUAUUUACUAGAGUUGGCCCUCUUACAAUAACUCUAGCUACUGGCUCUUCAAAAAUCAUAUCACCAGUAUUCUUUUUUGCUGUAUGCACUGUUGAUCUGUCAUUGGAUAAGAACUGUCAAUAUACUUAUUCAAAUAAUAAUUUCUUACUAGAACUUCUACUUGUUUUUUUAAGUCGUGACACUGUGGUUUGGUGUGGCCAUGGGUGUUAUUCAUCAGCAUUAUCCUAUCUCUUAGGAAAUUUUGGCAAGUAAGGACUAAUGAAGGUAGGUUUUGGUUUUGGUUUAGUUGACCUUGUAUUUUGAGUUGGGUUAACUUGGAUCAUUAUAGUGAGGAUGGCUAUCAACUAGUUAUAUCAUUUCAAGUAGCUCUAUUUAGAGAGGGGUGGGGUUAAUUUCUUUUUACAUAGUAUGGGAGAUAAGAGUGGCCAAAAUCAAAUUUAGAUUGGAUUCGGAUCAAUUUGAUCAUAUAUUAAAUUUUUCGGAUUGACUAAAAAAACUCAUCUGAAUGUACUCGAACUUGAAUCUAAUAUGAAUAUAUUUGGAUAGGAUGAAUAAUUUGGCUUAAGUUAGAUUUGGAUCGGUUUGGUAAAUCUCAAAUUUAAUUUUAAUUUACAGGUCACUAUACUCAAUGGAUAAGACAUAAUUUGUAUAUCUCUGUAAUAAACAUUCAAUUUUGAUAUUCAACUACAUAGAUAGAAGAAAAAUAAGUCAUUUACAUUACAAUUGUGGUGCAUAUCACUGAAAAGUAUCAUAAUAAUUCAUAUUUUUCCAACCAAAAUGAAAAGAAACCAUAAUUUAAACAACAUAAUAAGCAAAUAGAAUUUCUAAAGAAAAGGAAAAAGAGUAGAUGUAAGCUAGAAAAAGAGAAAUCAUGUAUUAGAGAAGAAAAGAGCAUUUUUGCACAAAAACAACUAAUACCAAAACUAAUAAAAAAAUCUCAUAUUCAUUUUCCAAUUUUCUCAUAAGCUUACGCAAUUCUUCCUCUUCUACUCUUCAAAAUCAUUUGCCAAUUUUCUCAAUUUUCUCAUAAGGUGAUCUUUGGUCUUUUGAUGAGAAAAUUACUUGAGUAACUUACAACUGGUUAGGUUUGGGAUUUUGGGGAAAACAAGUUAGGUUUACACAUUACAAACUUCACUAGUCAAAUUGUCGAAUUACAUCCGAAUUAGAUUUGAUCCGAUUAUAAUCUCAUCGGAUUGGGUUGUUUCUAUUUAAUCAAAUUACAACAAUAAUCCAUAUUCAAUUUGAAUAUGUUUGGAUUGAAUCAAAUCCAAUCAAUCUAAAUCCAAUUCGAUGCUAACCCUUAUGGGAAUAAGUAGCCAUCCUUAUUAUGACCGCUCUACUCACUGAUGGUUUGUCAUGAAGCCUAACUAGUCCACUUAUUUUUUAGCUCUCCUUUCAUUUCGUUUUAACUCCACAAGUUACUCGUCUCUAACUCUUGCUGCUUUUUCCUCCUCGAUUUCAAUAUCCACCUUCACCUAGUCAUAAGCAGUUGAAUAAGAGUUUAUUAUUGGGUUCCUUAAGUUAUACCACAAUUGGCCUAUCUUUACUCCCUCUUUUAAUCCCUUCAAGGCCUGAAGAUGAUUGAAAGCUCCAUAGUCAAGGAUUGCUUGGUGAUAUCUCUUGAAAAAUCUCUUAGAGUUUGAUUUUCUUCCUACUCGAGCCUCAUUGGCUCUAUCAUGUCAUCCUCUGGUGUUAUUGCUCCUAAAAAAUGUUCAGCAAAGUCUCCAUGCAAUUGAUUAGAAGUUCUGAUGCUUCCCUAUGGCAAUUUGCGAUACCAAUCAUGUGCAUGCUAUUCUAAUGUCAAUGGAAACACUCGACACCACUGUAGUGGUGUCAAACCAUGUACUCUAGUCAUCUCAUUAAAUCGUUCUAUAUGCAUAAAGAGUCACUCUUUCUGGAAUAUUUGAGGUUUAAAACUAAUCCCUUGAUAUUGUUGUGCUCAUGAUUUUUGCUGAGAGUAAGAUUCAUUAUCCAUAAUUAUUCUCCAGCUCAGUGCUCUUUCAAUCCUAUACUUCUUCAAUAAUUCGUGCUAACCUAUGCAUCUUAUCUUCUAAUUUCCCAACGCGACUUGGGUUCUACACCCUUAUCUACUUGCAGUCAGCGUUCUGUUUAUUCCAUAGAUUUUCACCGAAGUACGUUUUGGUUGCUCUCCAAAAAAAUAAAAAAGAAAGAAAUCACCUAAUACUUUUGGGGCAAGGCAAGCUUCCAAAUAACAUUGCAAAUGAUUUGGUGAAAAAGCUUUCAUCUAUUCCGGUAAUUUAGAAGCACUUUAAUUCGAUUCUCUCUUAAGAGUCCUAUCACUUUAGGAUGAUUUUUAAGUAAAAUCCUUGUAUAUAUUAUAUUUUUGUUAAUAUAACAAACACUAAAUAUUUAUGAUCUGAAAGAUAGUUGUUGAAUGGAGAUCGUUUCACACAAAAAAAGUAUUUAAAAAGAAUGUGGUAUUGUAAUAUUAAAUAAUUUUUUGUAGUGAUAUAAGAGUAUCACACUAGUUUUUUUUUUGCAUUCCAAAAAAUUGAAAAUAAGAUCUAAGUAAUUUCAAGAAUAAAUUAGCAAUAUUAGGAACAAGUUUUACAAAAAGCUUCUGGGACAUGUUAUACAAAUUUGUUAUAUAAGAAAGUCUCUACUAGAUCUUCUUUCCACAUUACAAAAAUUAGAAAUGAGAUCUAAAUCGACCAAUUAUAAAUUUUAUAGUGAGUGGGUCCUAUAUGAAAACAAGGUUUUUUUUUAUUAUAGUGUAGUCAAUUAUCAGCCAUCUACCCUAAGUUUAUUUUAUAUUAAAAAAAUACUAGGAAGAAUUAAUUUGUUUAGUUUUUUACUUUAAUUUUAUAAUUUGUAUUAGUUGUCUAUUAAAAAGAUAGAAUUAUCCUUACUAAAUGACAAAAUAGAAACAAAUACAAAUAACAACUAUGGUCAUUUUGUAAGGGUAAUUCUAUCUUUUUGGCAUCGAAUUGCAUAUUAAACUAUUUUAAGUACUUAAAAUAAUAUAAGUUCUUUAUCAAAUAAAUAAAAUUUUAAACUAUGUAUUUACCAAACAUUUUAAAAUCACAGCUCCUCUACUACAUCUCCAAAUAAAUUCUUAAAAUCAUAAAUAACUAAAUUAAUGGGGUUUUAAAAGGACUCUCCGGAUUUUGCAUGAUUUCUUUAUAUAUAGGUGCUGGGUGAUCAUGUUGGUUCCUAUAGGUACCAUCAGCCACACUUUUUGUUAGUGGUGAAAAAACAAUUUUGGGUACAAUUUGUGAUUUGUAUAACGUGCGGUAUUAAACAUUUGAAACAUACACCGACAGUAAUCUAAUCAAUAAUUAAAAAAAAUUGUAUAAAAUACAUAUGUCGUAGGCAACUCAGAUCCUUUUCUUUAUAAUUCCAUAUCAUGUGAUUAUCAAAAAACUUCUUGAGAUUUUUAAAUUUUGUAAUUGCACUAUCCUUGAAUUAUCAAAAGACUCUUGAUAAUGUUCUUCUUCUUAAAGAUGCCCUUAAUCCGUAAAUGGUCCAAUAAUUAGUUCAUAAAACGAAUUUAUUACUUUAGACAAGUCUCAAAUAUGCAUACCUCUUAUAACUCCGUAUUGCAUAAUUCCUUACUUAAAUGCAUUUGUUUCCUUUCUCUAAAUUUUAGAAUGGCCUUGUCUACUAAAUUUCCUCUUUAAAUUUGACUGCCAACUAGGAAUUUCGCCAAAAUUUCCACCCCAUCUUACUCUCUGAAAUAUGUCUUCCACGUUACUAUAGCAAAUUUUACAUCUAGGAUACUGAAACAUUUUUUUUUUUUCAAUUUUCAAAUAUUUAGCUGUUGACAAUAGGUCUUUAGCUGCUCACCAAGAGAAAAUUUUCAUCUAAAACUUUUUUUGAUAAGGCAAGCCUCCAAAUAACAUCCAAAUGGUUUGGACAUUCAGUUCUACUCAAAAUUCAGAUUAAUUCACACAUAUUUAGAUUUUAGACAAGAAACAUAUGCCACCUAAAUAUUUAUGACUUAAAAUUAUUUAAUAAUCAUGGCACAUUUAACCUAUCUAAACAUGAAAUCUUGUGGAGACUUAUGUUUAAGCAGGAGGAUAACGUGAGAAAAUUGACACAUUAAUUUACAAUUUGUACGCCAACUGAAUAAUUUUUGUUUGUUUUUUGUUUUUGAUAAUAAAACAAGCCUCGCAAGAGCUUAGGUUUUUAGCCAACUGAAUAAAUUUCCCCACUCAAAUUAGAAACAAUAAAAUCUAAUAAUUAUGUUAUGAGCCCAUCAGACAAAUAGUGAGACAUCAUAUUGUUAAUACCUACUCGUAAAAUUAACGGGAUAACGCGGUUUAUACGGACAGAUUAUCAAGGUAUUGUUAAUACCUUCUGUACCGGUAAUUCUUUUUUUCUUCUUUUUCAACCCCAAAUAAUCAAAAGCUCUCCAAUGGCUUUUGUAUCCACAACUCGUCCAUUUCAUUUUACUUCAAUUUCAGUAUCAGCUCUUAGAUGUAAUUUCUCAUCUUCGUUCCCUCAUACCAGAAAACCCACAUCUUCAAUUUCGGAAAAUGAACCCUCAGAUCCGACUACAACAGCUAAACUGAAGGAGUCGCUACGACUGACAGUCAAAGACGGAGCCUCAAUCGAAAAAUUUCUUAAAGAAAGGUGAAAAUCAUCAGGUCAAGGUGAUAUUAAUCUUAUUACUCCUAAUGAAGCCUUGUGUAUCUUUGAUUACAUGCUCCGUAUGCACCCUUCUCCGCCUCCGGUUUCUUCCUUCAAUAUUUUGUUUGGUUGUCUUGCUAAGAAUAAACAUUAUGAUACUGUCCUUUCACUCUUCAAGAGACUCAAUUCAACUGGGUUGUUUCCAGAUCUUUAUACUCACAGUAUUUUGAUUAACUGGUAGAGUUUCUCAUGGUUUUGUUGUUCUUGGGAGAAUCAUCAGGUCUUGUUUUACUCCAGAUGCUGUGACCUUUACUUCUUUGAUUAAAGGUUUGUGUGCGGAUAGUAGAAUCAUGGAGGCCGCCGCAUUGUUUACAAAACUUAGAGUGUUUGGUUGUGAGCCUGAUGUUUUUACAUACAAUACGUUGAUUAAUGGAUUGUGUCGAACUGGCCAUACAAUUGUUGCUCUAAAUUUAUUUGAAGAGAUGGCUAAUGGAAAUGGGGAAUUUGGUGUCGUUUGUAAGCCAGACACUGUUACAUACAACACUAUCAUCGAUGGUGUUUGUAAGGAAGGUUUCGUGGACAAGGCCAUGGAACUGUUUCUGCAGAUGAAGGAUGAGAAUAUUAACCCCAAUGUGGUUACUUAUAACUCUUUGAUUCACUAUUUCUCUCAUGCUGAUGAUUGGAAUGAGGCUAAACGUUUGUUUAUUAAGAUGAUGGACCAAGGUGUGCACCCUAAUGUUGUGACUUUCAGUGUGAUCGUGGAUGAGCUCUGCAAGAAUGGGAAGAUGGAAGAAGCAAGUAGGUUGUUGGACCUGAUGAUUCAGAUUGGUGUGCAUCCAAACACUUUUGUCUAUAACACAUUAAUGGAUGGGUUUUGCUUGACGGGUAGAGUUAAUCGUGCAAAGGAACUAUUUGUUUCUAUGGAGAGUAACGGGUGCAUGCAUGAUGUUGUUAGUUACACCACAUUAAUAAAUGGGUACUGCAAGACUAAGGAUGUAGAGGAAGCUUUAAAUCUUUAUAGGAAAAUGCUGUCUAAAGGAAUUAGGCCAACAGUUGUUACAUAUAGCACCUUGUUUCUUGGCCUUUUUGAAGUACACCAGGUUGAGCAUGCUUUAAAACUGUUUGAUGAGAUGCAGCAUAAUGAUGUAGCAGCCGAUACAUAUAUAUACAAUACCUUUAUUGACGGGCUCUGCAAGAAUGGUUUUGUUCUAGAGGCACUGGAAUUAUUCUGUGCUAUAGGAAAUAGCAAGUAUGAACUUGAUAUCAUAUCCUACAGCUGCCUCAUUGAUGGAUUGUGUAAAAUAGGCAAACUGGAAACUGCUUGGGAACUGUUUCAAAGUUUGUCUCGUGUAGGCCUAUUGCCAAAUGUUGUAACAUAUAACAUCAUGAUCCAUGGGCUUUGUAAUGAUGGGCAAAUGGACAAGGCACAUGAUUUGUUUCUUGAUAUGGAAGCAAAAGGUGUGGAACCCGAUUGUGUCAUAUUUAAUACGAUUAUGCUGGGUUUCAUCCGCAAUAAUGAGACAUCAAAAGUUAUUGAACUCCUUCAGCGAAUGGAUAAUAGAAAUGUAAUGCCAGACGCAUCUAUACUUUCAAUUGUUGUGGACUUGCUUGUAAAGAAUGAAAUUAGCUUAAACUCGAUUCCACAAUUCAAGAGUCAAUGAGUUUAAUGCUGAUUACUUGCAUGUUUUUUUCUGCCUAAAAUCUGGAUCUGGAGAAUCCCAUUCUUAUUACAACAUGUAAAGGAGUGUUGUCUAAUGUUGGCAUGUUCCUAGGUUCUGUCCAUGGAUUCUGUUUGCAGACAUGGCUAACUUCUUGUUCAACAGAUAAGUUUUAAAGUCUUUGAACUUAAUGUUGUAAAAUAACUUUUUUAUUAUUCAAUUCAUGAGUUUUUCUUCUAUAGCACAUCCUUCUCAUUAGCUGGAAGUGCAAAUUUUUUAGGCUUUUCCUGUAUGGCCUCUUUUUCUGUUCUAAAUAAAAUGGCAUUUUAUUUCCCUCCUGUGAGGGUACAACGUUUAUGUUUAAACUUUCUGUUAGUUAAAUUGGUUGUCUUUGAUAUAGGGAACUUCCAGUUGAACUGAUUUGUAAUUCGAGUAUAUGAGAUUACCAACUGUAAUGGGAAUUGAUGCCAAAUUAAUUAUGUCAUCAGGUUUUCCAAUCAGUGUUCAUCAUUUAUUUCUGUUAACAAUUAAUAGCACAGCUUGUCUUCGCAGCUUCAUUGGUUCCUCUCAAAAAAGUAAUGCCAGAUGCAUCUAUAGUUUCAAUCGUUGUGGACUUGUAAAGAAUGAAAUUAGUCUGAACUCACUUCCGUCAUUUCCUGUUCAAGAGCAGCAGGGGGAAGUUGAUGAGUCAAAUGUCAAGUUGUUGGAGCAUGUGCUUUCAGCCUAAAACCCUGAUCUGCAGCAUCUCAAUCAUGUUACAAAAGGACAUGUCGCCUGGUGACACCAUGUUCUCUACAGCGCUGUUAAUGGAUCCUGAUUGUUCUUGUGAUCUGGAGAGUCUCAUUCAUAAUACAGAUCUUGAUCAGGACGAGCUAGCAUAUGUGAUCACCAACUCUACAUGGUUGUUGAUGCCAAAUUAAAUAUGGUAUCAUGUUUUUCAACUUGUUAUUUUCUAUAGUCCUUCCUUUGAAUGGCCACAAGAAACUGUAAAAUCACCCUUUGUCUUGUUCCCUCUUAAUGAUCGAUCACUUUGGGAGCUAAUGAAUUAGUUGCACCUUGUCACUUUAUUGGUGCUUGAUUGUCAUUUGUACUUUGAAUUCACAGCAUAUUUUACCCUUGAUGUACUCUUUCCAUAAUCACCUUUGAGGGCUGCUAGUAUGUAUAAUUGAAAAACCUUAUAUAAAUUCUAAGCAUUUUUAUUUAACUUGUUGUAAACCUCCAGUGUAUGUCUCUUCUGUGAAAUGAUUCAUACUCUAUGCUGCUAGGACCUAGGCUUAUGACUCUUCUGUGAAAUGAUUUACCCUCACCUGCACACAGACAUUUAUCCCAAUCAAGAAAUCUUCAAACAAUGUGAAAAAAAUUGCUUGAAACACGACGCAGACUUAACCGAUUAAAAUGUCCCUACUGUGAGGAAGGAUGCUAUACAACUGACUCGGAAAAUGUAAAAUGGAUAACGUACGCCCAAGAUGAUCAACUAGAAACACAAUUCAAAACUCGGGCUGCUUUUGGCUGCCCGGCCUUCAGAAGUCAAUAUUUAUAUGAACUUUUGAGGAGAAAUUAUAUGAACUUUUGAGGAGAAAUUAUACUAAGGGUUCAGAAGUCAAUAUUUAUAUGAACUUCAGAAGUCAAUAUUUGGCUGCCCGGCCUUCAGAAGUCAAUAUUUAAAAACUUGGUGAAAUUACCGAUUAAAAUGUCCCUACUGUGAGGAAGGAUGCUAUACAACUGACUCGGAAAAUGUAAAAUGGAUAACGUACGCCCAAGAUGAUCAACCAGAAAGUGAGAGAUUAGGAUCACCAGUCAGUCAGAUUUGGAUAGAAAGUGAGAGAUUGCUAUGCCGUGCCAUUGCUUCAAUCCUAAAUGCUUUCAUCUCCCUGAAAAGUAUACAAAUGUAGGGGUUAAAACAGAAUAGAUGAAACCGUAUUGAGGAACUCAACUGAGACAGAUGAUAAAUGAAAACUAACCAACCUUCACGCAAAACUCGUACAUCUCCCUUUAAGAGCUGACUUUCUGAGAAGAGAUCACCACAAUCGUUCACAUCAAAAGUCUCCACUUGAAAAUUUUAUAACCAUAGUACUCAUUCCAUUCAAACCAGAUCCUUGAGAUCAGUUCCUUCUUCAGGCAAGUGGCAUGAUCUUCCUCUUUAGGAGACUCAGCAGCAACCAGUCUAUAUGCACAAACUUUCUUUGUUUGGCCUGGCCGGAAAGCCCUGCUGAUUGCCUGGCGGCUCACUGAUGGAUUAAAGAGAACAUCCAGAAUAAUGAUUCAAAUUUUUGUGGAAUUACUUGUAAAGAAUGAAAUUGGUUUAAACUCGAUUCCACAAUUCAAGAGACAAAACUAAGCAGACGGGUUGAAUCUUUGAUUGAGUAGCAUGUCUCUUCUGCUUUAAAAGCAGAUCUGGAGAAUCCCAUUCUUAUUACAACGUGUGAAGGAGUGUUGUGUAUUGUUGGCAUGUUCCCAGGUUCUGUUCAUGGAUUCUGUUUGCAGACAUGGCCGACUCUUUGUUUCAUCGGAUAAGUUUCAAAUAAUUCUGGCAAAUUUUUGUUGUAAAAUUACUUUUUUAUCAUUUAAUCCAUAUGCCUCUUUCUCAUUACCUGCAAGUGCAAAAUUUUUAGGCUCGUCCUAUUAGACCUCUUUUUCUUCUCUAAAUAGAUAAAACGGCAUUUCAUUUUUCUCUUGCGAGGGUGCAGGUUUAUGCUGAAACUUUCGGUUAGUUAAAUUGAUUGUCUUUGAUAUUGGAACUUGUAGUUGAACUAGUUUGCAUUUAGAAUAUAUGAGAUUACCAACUGUAACGGGAAUUGGUGCCGAAUUGAUUAUGUUAUCAGGUUUUUCAGUCUGUGCUCAUCUUUUAUUUCUGUUAAUAAUUAAUAGCACAGCUUGUCUUCUCUGCUUCUUUGGUUCCUGUCUAUUGUCAAAUAUAAACUUGUAGAGACAUUUUGUUUUGGCAUGGCACAUGCUAGAUUUUGUUUUUGGUUUGAAUGAUACUACACAUCUAAGUGAUUGUCCAGAUUUUUUUUCAUUCCUAGUGACAUGGCACUCAAUUGAAUGGUGACUCGUGAAUCAUGAUUGUGUGUGUUGGUCUUUGUUAUACUACGUGUUGGCAAGACAAAGUCUUUUGAAACUGCCAAACUUUUCUAUAUGAAUAUUGAAGACAAUAUGAUAAGAUAAAAUUAAUCAAAAACAUAUAUACUUGACAGGGCUGGAACGUCUGUUAUUAGUCCUCGCCUUCCAUUCUUGUUUCAUAUUCUUCUGCUAACAAAUCUUGAUCAUGAUAGUCUUCUCUGUUAUUAAUCCUUUUUUUUUUUUUUUUGGCUUUUGGAUUUUGUUUCCUUUAUAUAUAUAUAUAUAUAUAUAUAUAUAUAUAUAUUGUAUACAGUUAUUAGCAUCGACAACUUGAGCUUGCAGUCUUGUGAGUUUAGAGCCUACCAAAGUAAGCAUACACAUGACAAUGAAGAAUUGAAGAUUGUGAACGGUUUACUUGUGCGGCUAUGUUAGAAAAAUUUGACUGAUCGUGAAGAUAUUUAGAGAUCGUCCAUCUUGGUACUGCUAUUGUUGGAGCCUUGAAGUGUCAACUUCUCAUCGUUGCCUACAGUUGCCUCAUUGAUGAAUUGUAGGCAAACUGAAAAUUGCUUGGGAACUGUUUCAAAGUUUGCCCCGUACAGGCCUAAUGCAAAAUGUUGUAACAUAUAACAUCAUGAUUCAUGGGCUUUGUGAUGAUGGGGCAAAUGGAUAAGACACAUGAUUUAUUUCUUGAUAGACCAUUCUCAGGGCACAAAGGGUGUGGUGCCCAAUUGUGCCAUAUUUACUAUGCUUAUGCGAAAGAAUGAGACAUCAAAAUUUUCAUCACUCAAUGGAUAAAAGAAAUGUAAUGCCAGCUGCAUCUAUAGUUUCAAUUGGUGUGCGCUUACUGGUUAAGAAUGAAAUUAGUUUAAACUUGAUGCCAGAAUUCAAGAGACGGUUAAUUAGAUGAGUUGAAUGUUGAUUUAGUAGCCUUGAAGUUUUGCAAAUGUUUCCUGAUGGAUAAAUUGAACUUGUAUGCACACAUGUAAACUAAAAGAAAAAUUAUUUUAAUAGAAAACGUGCUUUAAGCAUGUCCUUCGGCAUGAGGUAAUACUAUAAAGUUUUUUUUUAAGUAAGGUUAUAAAUUCUAGCAAUUGAGUCUCAAUUUGAUAUUAUAUUCAUCUGGUAUAGGGUAGAAUAUUAAUUUUUUCAAUUAUAAAAUUUACUAUCUAAUAGAUGAACAACACUUAACAGUUGAGAAUGAAAUGGAGACUCAAUUGUUGGGAGUCCAAUCACUUUUUUCUCUUUUAACUUGCUAUUUUUGUUGUCCGAAAUUAUCUGAAGUUCCAUGCUUGCUCCAAUAGAACAAAUAAGAUAGGUUAUGAUCAACUUUUUUUUUUUCCAAAUAAAGGAACCACCUGCAUCGAUACUCCAUAAGCAAGUUUUUUCUUUUGACUGCCCCUUAUAUUUGUCACACUCCUUGUACUAGUGCCCAAUGAAACCACAACAGAAGCAAAAAUAUGGCAAUCUCUCAUAUACUACUGUAAUUGGAACAUCGUCUUCACCUUCAAGUUCUAAAUAACCAAUUUUCUUUAGUGGUUGUGUGAUAUCAAUUGAGAUACUUACUCUGGCAUACUAACCAAUGCACUCUCCUUCCACGUCCACAUCAACUUCUUCAACUAUACCAAUUGCCUCUCCCAAUGCUUUGAUUAUUUGCUGGUCUAUACACCCAACUGGGACAUUAUGAAGUUGUACCCAAAGGCAGCAUGAGUAAAUGAUUGUUUUGUUAUUUCCCCAAUUCCACUUGCCUCUUUUAGAACUAUUAGAGCUCGUUCAAAAUGCCACUGCCCACUUGAUAAAAUUCUCAUCUUAUCAACUUCAAAGGCAAAUUUAACUUAAAAAUCUUACUCCCCAGAUUUUCAAUUUCACCUAUUCUACUAUUCUGCAUACUUGUUGUAAUGCUCACUUGAGACCCUCUCUAGUAACUCCUCUUAGAUGUAAGACUUUGCCCAGAAAACAGCCCUCAACUAGCUCUCUCUCAUUCCCUUUCAUGACAUUACCAACAACUUCUUUACUCUAUUUUCCUUCUUCUAAUAUAAUAACUUUACACUUGCAAAUUAGUUCUUCUGUUUUCAUUAGGCACUAAAAUAUAAAUCCAUUGUGAUAACUCUUGAGUAUCUACCACUUCCUCUGUAAUUAAGACUCAACAACUCAAAUGAAAAACUUAAAAGUAAAAGAGACACCCAACUCGUGAGCAACUUUCGCAAUCUUAUGGGCUACUACCAUUUCAUUCUAGAUUCUCGCUCAUAGGGGGAGAACCUGUGAAGAAAGACUUCUACAGGUAGGAGACCGCUUACACAGUAGAUUAUUUAUAUUUCUUUGGACUAACUUUUUACUUUAUCAAAGACAAAAACAACAUAAACAAAGACAGAAGAUUAACAAAAGCAUCAAUUGCCAAAGAGUAGAGAGUAUUAUUAUAUUUUAGGAACAUAGGUUAUGACCAACUUAAAAGAAGCAGUUAGGGCUUGUUCAGUACUGUUUUAAAAGCCUUAUUUUCAUUUUUGUUUUGGGAGUACAAAUAUAAUACAUAUUUAGUGGGUUGAAUCCAAAAAUUAAAUCAUAAAAAAGAAUUGAUAUUCACUUUUACAGUUAUAAAAUUAAGAACCUAUUGAACAUGUUCUCAAACAAAUUACAAAUUAAAUUAAAACAUAAACCCCAAAAUAAAAUCUAAAAAGUUAUCUUCCUCUCCUAAAAUCUUAUCUCCUCCCUCUCGUUAUCUCUUCACAACUCUUCCUUCUUCAUGGUAGAUACUUCUCCUCUAACCACAACCCACCUGAACUGUGCACCGAUCUCUCUCUCCCCAUCCCCUUUAUCUAGGUCUACUUCACAGUUCUCUUCCUCUCAGUGGCUGUUACUUGUUCAUCAACCGCAAUCCAUCGUCGUAAGGUACUACGUCGGAAUAUUUUACCAAAAACAUGUCAAGACAAAGUGAUGUCUAUCAUGGUUUAUUACUGCAAGUGCAUUAUUUUCUUUGUACUAAAGUGAAUCUUUGAUGUAUUUAUUAAAUUUGGUGGAGCAAUCUUAGUUAAUUUUGAUGAUUUAUAUAUGCAUUUAAUUUCAUUUUUAAUAAUUCAUGUGCAGGAAAUAUGGAUUCUUGGCUUUGCUUGGACUGAUGGUUUGGGCAAUUUCAUUUGGAAUCAAUCAACUUCGAGGAUAAACACUUGUAGUUCAUCCUUUGUUCUCUAAUUUUGUUCAUGGGACUUGCUUUUCUUCCAUCCAACUUUUUUGUUCUCUAUUUCUAUGGUAGCAGUUUUAUGUUUUGUGUUGGUGGGAAACUUCAUGCUGCAAUUUUGUCAAAUUCUGUUGACAUACCCUAAUCAGUAAUGACUUUGCUGCAUGGCGAAAGCAUAAGCUCAUAGUUGACAUUGUUGUCAUUAGAGCUUGUUUCCAUAAAAAAAAAGUGUAAUUUGAAAGUACAUUGUACACUAUUGAAUUUGAAUUAUCUCCAACAAGUGUUGAUGCAUGAUGUCCAUCAUGUAAUUUUUUUAUAAUUAUUUUGUUUAACUUAUAUGUGUUGUAAUAUAUAGCUUAAUUAUAGUGUAAAAACAAUGGCAAUGUAAUUUUUUUAUUAAUGCUAAUACUAAAACUUUAUCAUCAUGCAAUGUUUUAUAAUUAUUUUGAUUAAAUUAUUUAUGGUAUAUUUUUGUAUUAAUUAAAUAAACAAUUAGUUUUUAUUAAAAAAAUUAUGACUUACAUGUUUAGUAAAAAUUGUUCAUGAAAAUAGUAUUACCGAACACAUUUUCUCUGUGUUUAUCUUUUUCAAUUGUGUUUACGGAACACAUGUUACUGUUUUCAAUUUAGAAAAUACAAGAUAUAGAAAAUGAUAUUAGAUGUCUAUUUAAUUCAAAAUGCAGCAACUGCAAAACACUAUUUUUACUCUCAUUUUUCUUUUUAGAAAAUACUAAUUUAGAAACAAUACCAAACAAGAACUUAGUUUUAGUACGAAUAAUGUUGUGUUAGUUUUAUAGGUUUACAUGCACCCUUAGAUUUAUUAGAAGUAUCAGCCCAACCCCCUAGUUACUGUUGACUAAUAUCGAACCCGCUGCCCGAUGUUGACUCUUGAAAGUAACUAUAACAUCUAUAUUGUAAUCUCACUUUAUUAACUAAUAAAUUUUAAAAAUAUAAACAGAUCAAUAAUAACAAAAUAAUUAAAGUUGAAAUCCAAGAAAUUACACAAAAAACCACACCUAAACCAAACCUGAAAACCAAAAUGCAUAAAAUUUCAUUAAUUUAGGUUGUGACAAUGAGUCGUCUACAUUAUAUGAUGAAGGAACAACUUCUAUCAUUUUACCAAGUUAUUAAUACUAUGUUUACGUACUAGAGUGGGCCUGAGAAGUAUAGAUUCCUCACACACUAGAGUUUACUUGCAUAUUCUAAGAGGUGUGGGAAUCUCACUCCGUUGAUCCCACCCAAUUUUGAAGUAGGGAGUGUGAUUUCCACUCCCACAAGGGAAGGUCCACUCCCACAACUUUAUUUUUUACCUUUCUUUUAUUAAAUUUAAUACAAUCAUAUUUAGUAAAAUAAAACAAAUAACAUCAUAUUUAUUUAAUAAAUAUUAUUAUAUUAUUUUAUAAAAUUCUAUUUAUUAAAAAGAAUAAUAUUAAUCUUAUUUAGAUAAAGUUAUUAUUAUAUUUAUUUAAAAAUAAUAGCAUUAUAUUUAUUUAAUAUUAAUAAUUAAUAUUAAUAAAUAGUUUAUUCUAAGAAAAUAUUUAUUUUGCACUAUAUUAUUAAUAAGAGAUAUUAUCAUUUUUCCACCAAAAUUAUUCUGAUACAUCAUGUUAGUAGCACGGUUUGGUAAAAACAUCAUUUUACCACCAAACGUUUAAAUUGUUAGUAUUUUUCCACAAUUCCGUUAAAACUCAGUUAAUAUUUAAUGGAAAAUGCAUAAAAAGUCAAUUUUACCCCUGGAGCAUAAAAGAUAAUUUUACCCUUUAAAAAGGAAGAACGACAAAAGAUGAUUUAAUUACAAAAUUACCCCCAAAAGACGACAAGACAAUUUUACCCUUUAAAAAGGGAGAACAACAAAAGACGAUUUAAUUACAAAAUUACCCCCAAAAGACGACACUGCUGCGAGAGUGAGAGAGAUAUGGGUCAGUGACAGUAAGCGAGAGAGGACGAAGAUGGAACAAGAAACGAGAGAGAGGGGGGUUGAUUUCGAUUUUUAGGGCUUCCAUAUCCAAAUUGCUUGUUUUUUUACAAUUGCAAAACACAACGUUUUGCCUUCGCAUGAGAUGUCCAAAAUGCCCUUAUGAUGUCAACAUAAUUUUUAUUUAGUUAACGGAAUGGUGGGAAAAUACUAACAGUAUAAAUGUUUGGUGGUAAAAUGAUGUUUUUAUAAAAUCGUAGUACUGAAAUGAUGUAUCAGAAUAACUUUGGUGGGAAAAUGAUAAUAUCCCUAUUAAUAAUAAUGUUUUAUUUGUGUUGCUCUUAUCAAUAAUUUUUAAUUUAAAUAAUUAAAAUUAAAACUAAUAAAAAUUUAUGAUUUACAUAAUUAAUAAUAUUAAUAAUUAUUGUUAAUUUACAAAUAUAGUGAAAUAAUAUAUUUUAUUUCAAAUAUAUUUUUUUAUUAAUUUUGUAAUUAAAAGGUACAAUUCUUUAAAUAAGUGUAAAACCGUAAUUUGAAACCAUUUACUCCCUUCUCAUUCUAGUGAGAGGAAACAACUUGCUCCCACUCCACACUCUUAAUCACAAGAUUCUCACUUCUCAAUAUUCCCACUAUAAUUUAAAAUGUAAACACCGUUUAAAACAUCAAAUAAAAUUCUCAAUUAAGUAAACCAUAAUGUGAUUGCAUAUAAAAAAAAAUUAAUAAUAUUAAUUUUCAUAAGAAUUUAUGCUCGUAGUAUUACUUUACUUUUUAUUAACCGUUGCUUCAACUUAUGGUAGAUUGUAACAUAUGCACUUUAAUUUUCUUAAUUAAGUGUAUUAUUUAAUUUUUCUCAUUCGAUGUUAAUUUUAAAUUUGUUUUGACAUAAAAUUGAGACAAUUCGAAUACGAUUCAAUGGCCGUGUAGCUGGAUUUUAUUUCAACAUGGGUCAGGCAUUAGCUUAGUUAGUAGUAAUCUUUAAAAAAAAAAGCUAGUUUAUAUAAAUGGAAAAGGGGGAGCUGAUUUCCAAAAGAGGAAAGAAAGAGGGGCACGCGAGAGAAAAUGAGAGAGAGAGAGAGAGAAGUUGACCCGUUUAGCCCGACCCGACCCGACCCACAAGACCGACCCGGCUCCAACUCCCGUUUCUGGCCACCAUUCCAAUCAAGCUUGGUACCAAUCUGAAGCUUGAGCGACGCUGGCCAUAUCCCCGCUGUCAUCGUCACCGAAAAACAGCCACAACGCCGGUGAUCAUCGUCAAUCUCGCUGGAAUUAGGUUGCACCACCGGCUGGGUUCGACUCCUCACAUCACCAGCUUUCAUUUCCGACUAACCCCGCCACCUGAAACCUCUGUUUUGGCCCUGAAUGACCACCGGAAAGCUCACGGCUUUGGGAGCACGAUCCGCCGCCAUCUCCGCGUGUGGGAGGUCACCGUCGACGCCAUUGGGCUCACCGAGGUUAGAACUAUCAUACUUGAGCUUUCCGUCGCCGUUGACUGAAGUCCGGUCACCGUUGAGCAGUGGGGGCAAUUUGGUAAUUUCACAAGACUUUAAGGUGGAUUUUUAAUUUGGUAAUUUUAGGUUAGGGCAGUGAGGUAAUUUAAGACUUUGAGGGUAAUUCGGUAAUUUAAGUUAUUAAGAGCAUUUUGGUAAUUUCGCACUUUGAGGGUAAUUUCUUAAAUUCAAAACUUGUGAUUAAUUUUGUUAUCCGAAUUGAGGACAAUUUGGUAGUUUAAGAUAUUGAAGAUGAUUCGAUAAAUUAUGAUUCCGAUGGUACUUCGGUAAAUUUCGGUGUCAGGGGCAUUUUGGUAAUUUUUGGACAUAAGGGUAAUUUUGAAAUUUUAUGUAUCCGGGAGUUUGGUUUUGAGCUUUAUUUCAUACUGUUAGUCGUAUUUCAUGAUACAGAUAAUAAUUAUGUCGUUUAUUUAAUUAGGAGGACUCGCGAGCAAAAAUCAACCAGCGGACGUUAGUGAUACCGAGUCUGGACAUCGUCACUGUGAGUGGAAUAUACAAAACUUAUUUUCAUGGUAUAUUCUGAUUUUACCAUACAGUACAACAUGUUUUGAUAAUAAGUAUUUGAUGCUUUGAUUUAAUGAUUUUCUAGAAAUUUGAUUUUCAUUCUACGUGCUGAUAUUUAUUAUUAUUGAAAAUGAGUUUGAUUAAUGAUUUUAUUAUCAUUUUUUUUGAGUAAAUGCAUGAUAUUAGAAUUGAGUGGAUUUGAGAUAUGUUGAAUAAAAAGGAAAUGGGAUUUUAUAUGUGAUUAUAUGUUUGCGUGCAUGUGCAUAAAAGAUUGUUUGGAAAAUCAUUGGAAGUACCUUUCCCCUUUUAGAUACAGAGAUACAUAUAAUAUGAGAUGAAUACAGUGAUACAGAUGAUAUGAGAUGAGAGGUUUUUGGGGCCCGUCUGAACACACACAAAGACUUUGGGCCGUGUGUUUGGGCGCUUUUGCCUUUUGGGGGCUUAUGCAUACAGUAUGAUGAUUACAUAAAUACAGAUGUUGAGAUACAUGAGAUAUGAGAUGACAUUUUCCUAUAUAUCCAUUGUAACUCCAGGGCAUGAUGGUUCCCUGAUUGUCCGUCCGUUGAGGUCCGAAUAUGAUGAGAUUAUUCCGCUGGAUACUUGUUUGAUGAUAGUUUUUUGUAUCUAGUAUUUGAUAUUAUAAGUAUUAUGAUUUCAUUGAUUUUAUGCAGAUUUAUGUAAUAUUGUUAUUUCAGUGCAUGAAUUAAAUUAAAUAAGUUUAUGUAAGUUCUUAUGAUAUUUUGAUGAAAUUAACUUGGAAAAGAUUAAAUCAUUUUAAAUAAAUUUAUUUUUCCAAAAACUACUAUCCACUCACUGAGCUCACUGAGUUUUAUAUUCACCCCGUUUUUAUUAUAUUUUUCCUCCUAUAGGAAAUUUGCAGGUACAUCAGUCGACCCAGCAACGAUAGUUAGAUUGAAAUUAUGGCCACGUGAUGGUGUUAGAAAUCAUAGAUGUUUUGUUGGGACAUGUUGAAUUGUAUAAUUUAUUACUUAUUUGUGAUUAAGGAUAAAUCAUUAUAUUCUUGACAUUAUAUGAUUGAAGGAUACUGAUAUUUAAAUUGAGGAAGUUGGUUGUGGAUGUUGAUUAAAUAUUGUAUUAUUUUUUGGAGUAUUAAUUGUAUAAAUUGUAGGUUUGGGGAUGUCAUAAUUAUAUAGAAAACUGUCGAAUUUUUUGUAAAAUUCUUAGAUAUCAGAAUUAUUAUUAGUUUGAUUAGGCGAGAUUAGAUAGACUCGUCCUGGGGAUUCGGGGCGGGUCGUUUCAUAGAUAUUAAGAGAACAAUAAUAAUAUAGCUAUAAAUGGUUGCAUACUAUCAAUCAACUUAACACUAUAAUUACCAACAAAUCCUUAAUACUAUAAAUAAUUAAAUUAUUGGGGUUUUAAAAUAACUCUCCAAACUUUGCAUGAUUUCUUUAUAUGUAGGUGCCAUGGUUCCUAUAAGUAAUAUCAGCCACACUUUUUGUUAUUGUUAAAACAAAUUUAUAAGUACAAUUUGUGAAUUUGUACAAAAUGUGGUAUUAUACAUUUGAAGCAUGAACCGAGAAGACAAUGUUGUGUCACUAAUAAAGAAAAAAAAAUUGUAUAAAAUACAGAUGUUGUAGUGUAACUUGUAUUCUUUUUAUUUAUAAUUGUACCUAUCAUGUGAUUAUAAAAAAAACUGAGAUUUUAAAAUUUUGUAAUUGCACUAUUUUUGGAUUAUCAGAAGGCUUCCUCUCCUUAGUGAUGCCCUUAAUCCAUAAAUGGUCCAAAAAAUAAUUCAUGAAAUGAAUUUAUUAUUUUAGAUAAGUUUCAAGUACGCAUACCUUUACUAGCUCCAUAUUGCAUAACUCCUCAUUUCAAUCAAUGGAUACAUUUGUUUACUUUUUCUUUCUUGUAAAUUUUUGAAUGGCCACAAUUCUAUAGAUAAUUAAUUAAGUGUUAUUGUUAUCAUUAUUUUGUAGAUUUAUAUGUGAGGUGGGGACGUUGGGGGGCAUGUAUCUCAAUAUAGCAGAGGGCCAUAAUAUUUAUUCUUUAAGAGGAACCACAACCAACAUCAAUGCUUUAAGUUCCAUUCCAUGUUCCUUCUAUGCACCAGAUUGCAUAAACAACAUUGAUUAUCCAAGGUCAAAGUCUCUCAAAGACUCUAGUUACAAUACAAAGCAUGGGUUAGCGGCCAAAAUUUUCUUGCAAUGAAAGGCUCGUAAACUGAUGAUAGCUGUUGGAUGGUUUUGGGCCCCAAUGGUUUUAAUAUUAUUCUCUUAAAAACAUAUAUGUUGAUUAGAGACGAGAGGAAAAAUAUAAUCUGAUUCAGCAAGCUGCAGAGGAAAGAGCACGCAGUGGAGUUCAGAUUUUGAAUUCUCUUGUUAAAUUGUUUUUAAUUUACUACAAGGUAGAAUACGUUGCAGUGUUAAAAAAACACUUUGAACAUCCUAUUUUUGUAUUACAAAUAUACCAAGAUUUAAAUUAUUAUUUUUCUUUAUUAGUAUAAACUAAAUUUUGCCUGAAUUCUCAUCCUUGUAAGUGGAAUUUUAUUGUGAAACUAAUAGUCAUUCCUAGUUGAACUAUCACUUUGAACAUAUGUGUCCUCUCUAAUAACAGCUUCCAAACCUGCAGCUACCUGCUUCUCAGCAUUAGAAGUAGCCAUAAUUAGGAGGAGGGCAAACUUCCAAAUAACAUUCCAAAUGGUAUUGUGAAAAAAUUUCACCCUUUUGGUAAUAAAAAAUAACCUUAUUUCUAACUUUCUAUUAACAAUCUUACCACAAAGUUCUCUCUCAAGUAGAAACAUUAUAUAUAUAUAUUAAUUUUUUGUUAAAAUAAACAAAACCAGUGGCGGAUCUACAGCUGGGCUAGGUCUAGAAAAAAUCAUUUAAACCCCUUGUCUUUUGAUUCAUUUUACAUAAGGAUAGACUUUUUAUUUUAUUUUUAUAUAAGUCCCCAAUUCAGUUACAAUUAUGUUUUUGUCAAAUUUCAUAGAAUAAUAGAGUUUUUACUUUAUUUUCAAAUAUUUCCUUAACUCAAUUAUAUUUUUUUCCCAACUGAAAUUAAUGACUUAUUUUAUAAAAUAAUUAAAUUAUAUAUUUAUUGAAUAGAUUGAAAACAUUAGGGGUUUAAAAUGUUAUUUUUAAUUUGUUUUUAAAAAAUUUAAUUUAACAAAGUAUGUGAAUGUAAUAUAACAUCGUCACUAUUAUUAAAAAUACUAAAAACAUAUAUAAUAAAAAUUAUUCAUAAAUUCAUAAAUUUUUUAUGUAAAUGUUAACAUUUUAUUUAUUAUUUACAUUAACUUAGAGGAUAAGUUAGAAAGUAAAAUUUGAGUAUUUUAAUCUGAUUUUUUAAAGAGAGUCAGAGUGUCUGGCAAAGAAAUAACGGCACGCAAGUACCUUUUUGCUAGGUUAGAGUUUAGUUUAUUAUUGAAACUCUUGACGACUAAUAUUUUUAUAAUUUAAAAAGAUGAAUAGAUUUUAAUUGUUUAAUUUAUUUAAGCUUGGUAACUAAGGUGGCAUUUGUUUUUUAACUUAAUGACUUAAAGUGACUUAACUUAAUUAAUUAAGUUAAUUAGAAGUGUUUGUUUUUAUAACUUAGACUUUUUAGAUAAUUUUGACUUAAUAAAAUAAGUCAAUUUUUUUGGCUUUUUACUUAAUGGAGAAAUUUGAAUUAAGUCAAUUACUUACUAAUGUCAAAAAUAUCCAUGUUUUAUAAUUUAUUUUUCAUAUCUAUCCCAAAACUCACCCAUAGAACAUUUACCCCACAUAAAAAUAUCCUUAUUUUUUAUUUCUUAUAUUAUAUACGAUAAAAUUUGAAAUUUAUGGUAUUUUAUAUAUUGAAAUUCUAAAAUAAUUAUGUAUUCACUUGAAUAUAGUUUUACUUAUAAAUGUUAAAAUAUUGUGGUAUUUAAUAUAUUAUUUAUUUGACAUUCAAAUUUAAUAAGGAUACGAAUGUAAAAGUACAUAUUUUUAGCUUUUUCAGUUGAAAAAAACAAACAACUCAAUACUUAUUUUCCGAGAUUCAAACGAAAAAACAAACAUAUUAUUCAGAUUCAGACAUACAGAUCUAUUCAGAAUUCAGACUAAUUCAGGUCUAUUCAGAUUUCAGACAAAAAAACAAACGCCACCUAAGUAUUUUUCAAACAUAAAGUUGUACUUGCACUUUUUAAAUGAUUAUAAUUACAUUUAUUGACUUAUUCUAAUUUAAAAUUCUUAAUAGAUUUAUUAAUUCUUAUAUAAUUAGAUGUUAUUAUAGGUUGCAAUGUUAGAUUUAAUAAUUAAAAAUAGUAUUUUUAUAUUUGAAUUAUCUUUUGUUUUUUAGUAUUUUUGUACAAUUAUUUUUGUUUAGAGUAUAUAUUCGUAGAGUUUUUCGUGUCCCCAUUAUUUGAUGUACUUCUUUUUACUUAUGAAUAUUUAUGUUCACUUCAAAAUAUAAAAUUUUAAAUUUAGCCCGGGGUAAUAUAAAUUCUUAGGUCCGCCCCUAAGCAAAACUAAAUAUUUAUGACUUAAAAGAUAGGUGUUGAACAGAGGCAGUCUCACAGAAAAAAAAAAAAAAAGUAUUUGAAAGCAGUGGUGAUAUCAUAAUUUUUUGUAUUGAUAUGAGAGUAUCAUACUAGAUUUUUUUCCGCAAUACAAAAAGUUUGUAUUCAAGAAUAAAUAAGCAAUUUCGGGAACAAAUUUUACAAAAAGCCUCGAGGCCAUGUCGUAUGAAUUUGUGAUACCAAAAAUAGUAUACUAGUCAAUAUAUCUUCUUUCCACAUUACAAAAAAUUAGAAAUGCAAUCUAAAUCGAUAUCAAUUAAUAAUUUUAUAGUACACGAAAUCAAGGUAUUUUUUCAUAAUUUAAGAAAUUAUUAGUCAUUUACCCUAAAUUUACUUUGUCUCCAAAAAUACUACGAAAACUUUAACUUGUUUAGUUUUUUACCUUAAUUUAUAAUUUAUAUCAAUCGCUCACUAAAAAGAUAAAAUUAGCUCAUAAAAUGACAAAAUAAAAACAAACACAAAUGACAAUACCAGUAAUUUUAUAAGGAUAAUAAAGUCCUUUUGGCACCAAAUUACGUAUUAAAAUAAUUUAAAUAUUAUAAAUUAUUUUCAGAUUGAGUGAGGAACCCUGGUCAUUUUAACAAUUAUGGUCAUUUAAUCUAUCUAAACAUGAUAUUUCAAGUAGACUUAUGUUUGCGUGGGAGGAUAAUGUAAAAAAAGUGGCACUUUUAUUCAACUGAAUAAAUUUCACAAUUUAAAUUAGAAAAGGAUAAAAUUUAAUAAUUAACUAUUUUUUUAACUAAUUCAAUCGGGAGCCAUUAUUUGUAGGCUGUAGCGGUCCCAAAAGCAUGACAUUAUUGUGAGUAAUGUAUCCUACUUGCAAAAUAAACGGCAGAAUGCGGUUUGGGGACGGAUUAUCGAGGUAUUUGUUAAUAUUCGGAAAUGAGAAGAAAAGGUCAAAUAAAAUUUUAACUUAUUAUUAUUAUUAUUAAAGAUUGUAACUCAGAUGAUUAGACAAAUAAAGGAACUUAAGGCCACUUGGCGGCUUCACUAGGAGCUGUUUGAGUUUAAUUCUAUUGGUAAAAUUCUAUUUUGGUAAUUCUAUUCUUCUUCUUUUCAACCCCAAAUAAUCAAAAGCUCUCCAAUGGCUUUCGUAUCCACAACUCGUCCAUUUCAUUUUACUUCAAUUUCAGUAUCAGCUCUUAGAUGUAAUUUCUCAUCUUCGUUCCCUCAUACCAGAAAACCCACAUCUUCAAUUUCGGAAAAUGAACCCUCAUAUCCGACUACAACAGCUAAACUGAAGGAGUCGCUACGACUGACAGUCAAAGACGGAGCCUCACUCGAAAAAUUUCUUAAAGAAAGGUGCAAAUCAUCAGGUCAAGGUGAUAUUAAUCUUAUUACUCCUAAUGAAGCCUUGUGUAUCUUUGAUUACAUGCUCCGUAUGCACCCUUCUCCGCCUCCUGUCUCUUCCUUCAAUAUUUUGUUUGGUUGUCUUGCUAAGAAUAAACAUUAUGAUACUGUCCUUUCACUCUUCAAGAGACUCAAUUCAAUUGGGUUGUUUCCAGAUCUUUAUACUUAUAGUAUCUUGAUUAACUGCUUUUGCAAAAUGGGUCGAGUUUCUCCUGGUUUUGUUGUUCUUGGGAGAAUCCUCAGGUCUUGUUUUACUCCAAAUGCUGUGACCUUUACUUCUUUGAUUAAAGGUUUGUGUGCGGAGGGUAGAAUCAUGGAGGCCGCUGCAUUGUUUAUGAAACUUAGAGUGUUUGGUUGUGAGCCUAAUGUUUUUACAUACAAUACUUUGAUUAAUGGAUUGUGUCGAACUGGCCAUACAAUUGUUGCUCUAAAUUUAUUUGAAGAGAUGGCUAAUGGAAAUGGGGAAUUUGGUGUUGUUUGUAAGCCAAACACUGUUACAUACACUACUAUUAUCGAUGGUCUUUGUAAGGAAGGUUUUGUGGACAAGGCCAAGGAACUGUUUCUGAAGAUGAAGGAUGAGAAUAUUAACCCCAAUGUGGUUACUUAUAACUCUUUGAUUCACGGUUUUUGUUACGCUAAUGAUUGGAAUGAGGCGAAGUGUUUGUUUAUUGAGAUGAUGGACCAAGGGGUACAGCCGAAUGUUGUGUCUUUUAAUGUGAUCAUGAAUGAGCUUUGUAAAAAUGGGAAGAUGGACGAAGCAAGUAGGCUGUUAGAAUUGAUGAUUCAGAUUGGUGUGCGUCCAAAUGCUUUUGUCUAUAACACAUUAAUGGACGGGUUUUGUUUGACAGGUAGAGUUAAUCGUGCGAAGGAACUAUUUGUUUCUAUGGAGAGUAUGGGUUGCAAACAUAAUGUUUUUAGUUACAGUAUUUUGAUAAAUGGUUACUGCAAGAAUAAGGAAAUAGAGGGAGCGUUAAGCCUUUAUAGCGAAAUGCUCUCUAAAGGUAUUAAGCCAGAUGUUGUUAUAUAUAACACCUUGUUUAUUGGCCUUUUUGAAAUACACCAGGUUGAGCGUGCUUUCAAGCUGUUUGAUGAGAUGCAACGUCAUGGCGUGGCAGCUGAUACCUGGGCGUAUAGAACCUUUAUUGAUGGGCUCUGCAAGAAUGGUUAUAUUGUAGAGGCAGUUGAACUAUUUCGUACUUUGAGAAUUCUCAAGUAUGAACUUGAUAUUCGAGCCUACAACUGCCUCAUUGAUGGAUUAUGUAAAUCCGGCAGACUCAAAAUUGCAUGGGAACUAUUUCGUAGUUUGCCUCGUGGAGUCCUAAUAGCAGAUGUUGUAACAUAUAACAUCAUGAUCCACGCGCU